rnacentral:lncRNA from 1 species
UCGCCCAAAUGAAAUGGGAUGAAGAAAAGAAAGUAUAAGCUUUUUGAUUGAUUCAGGGCGCAGCGAAGCCAAAUUCAAUCAAGGCAAAGGGGGGCUUACUUUUCCUGACGCUGAGUCAUCCUAUUCAAAUUUAGCUAUGCUAAUGGAACAGGACAAGUUUUCAGAUGAUAUGGACCCCCAAGAGAUGAGCGAGAACCUCCAAUUGCUUAGGGGUCGCACUCUGUUCCCGCUUGGUGGACGAGAUCUUCUCCCCUUUUAGCUCCCACACACCCUUGCCCUCUUUCACCGAAGAGGAAAGAAGAAUCUUCCAAGCAGACAGAGAUCUAAAUUUCCAUUAGAUUCAUUCCUAAGCUUGCUGAUGAGUUGUUAAUUUAGAUUGUCCAUGCGCGAUACACACAUGCAAAUUUACUCAUGAAUGCAGUGCGUGUCGCGCAUGGACGACCAAAAUUUAACAGCCAUUGUUUCGCUCUAGCUGACAAUCCAUGGGGUACGCUGCCCUUGUUCCCUAAUCCUAUAUAUACAAAGGAAUUUGCUGAAUUGAUUUUCAUAUUCAUUAAUAAUUUAUGGAACUUUAAACGUGCAUUUCUUGCGACUUCGACAUCCAUGGGUCAAUUCAACAUCUAAAGAAGUGCAAAAUAGUGACAAUGGUUGUACGAGUUUUUUUUUUUUUUUUUUUUGUCAUAUGCAUACACAAAAUAUAUCUUCUUAAAAAAUCCUUAGUCAUUAAGCAAAAAAGUUGAGACAUUAUACUUUUGUGGCUUGUUAAUCUUCAUUUGGCAACCCAAAAGGAUUAGUCUAAUUGCUAAAGAAGGGAACUCUUUUUUUUCUUGCUAACUAUGGUUUAAUUCAUACGAGGAGCACUUCAAUAGAAAUCUUAAAUGCAUUAAGUCGAUAUCCCUUAAAAUUGUUCGAAAUGAAGACUUGACCGUAAACAAAAUUUAAGGAUACAUCUAAUCGUAUUAAAAAAAAAAAAAAGACAUUAUGACGUCUAAUGUUCACACAUUCUUUUCAUUUUCAGCAAGAGAAGAGACAAUUGAUUUAUUUAUUAUUUUUCUUCCUUGUAGAUAAGAAAUUCUUCUGCCAUCAAUCUUUAUUUUUCAUUUUCUUCGUUACUGAAAUGUUUAUAAUUUAUUUAUUAAUUAUGUUUUUUAAAGACAAUGCGGUUGUCAAUAAUGGUUUAGCUUGCUGUAAAGAGUAUUGAAUUUUUAAUUUUAGUAACAUAUAAUUUUAAAUAUGAAAUAUAUUUUUUCAUUUUAUGUCCUUAUAGGAACUUUGGGAAAGAAAAGUAUGCAUUUCUGAUUGAAAGUGUUAUACAAUUGACUCGCAUCAGGACAUUCACAUGGAGAAAGUGAGGCUUUGUAAUCUAAAGACAAAAAUUUAAAGCUUAAAGCAUGGGAAGAAAUCAACUUCGCAUUUCAAACACUUUGAUUUGUCAUGACAUCUGCAAUUGAUUUCACUGCCCAAUUAUGACGUGCAGUUAUUGCUUCGUCUUAUAGAAAUAAGAAAGGAUUAAAGGAAUAAAUAACAAUUUUUUAAAGUAAAUUUCAUUAAAAUUUUCAACAAAAGUUUAAAUUAAAAAUUGAAAUAUGUAAGUGAUAGAAUUCAAUAAAUAGAUUAUAUGCACAAGUUACGGGCCGAGACUUAAUUUUCAGACUUAUACAUCUUUAAAAUUCGAAUAUGCAUUCAUUCGACGUUAUACUCAAAUCUUAAAAUUGUGUAAAUCUGAAAGUUGAGUUUCGGCCUGCAAUAUUUACACAUACAAAAAAUAAUAAUUAUAUAUAAUUAACUCUUAAACAAAAACUUAAGAUGAGUUUCUCAAUGUUUAUAAACUUUGGAGUUCAUUCGAUUGCCAUUUCAUUUAAUUGUAUUAAUUAAUUAAUUAAAUUUAAAUUUAAAUUUUUAUUCAAUCAUUUUUAAUAAAAUAUUUUAUGAACUUUUUUUAAAGAACUUGACUCAUAUAAUUAAUAAUUAUAUAAAAACAUAAAAUUGUAAAUAUUUCGGAUGUUGUGUUAUUUUAUUAUUAUAUAUGAGAAUUGGACAAAUCUGAGAAUCUCGACUUAGGUAAAAAUGUUCAUUAAUUUAAGUACCCAUCUAGCUUAAUUAAUAAUUUAUAUUCUGAUUUCAGAAGAAUUAAUUAAAAUAACAGUUAUGAUUGUUAAUGGGUCAUCACUAACAUGAGCCUCAAGUGGCAUUUUCACUUUCAUCUUAUGAAUUUAUAAUGUGAUAUAAUAAAUAUUAUUUUAGUUUAAUUUUUCAUAAUUUUUAAUUUGAUUUUAUUUUAUUCUAAAUAUAUUAUUAAUUAAAAUAUAUUCAAAUGGACUUCAUUUUUUUUUAUUAUUAUUGUGUCUUUUAAGUUUUUUUCUCUUUUUGAUUUUCGUCAGUUUAAAAAAAAAAAAAAACCAAAGAAAAAGCGUGCACGAUUUGAAACUUUAAAGGAGGAAAUUUGAUCCCCUCAACAUGAGAUUGAUCCCAUGAAUCUUCAGCUUCCCUAAAACAAAUUUUCUUCGAUCAAGGGAUCAAUCCCUUGUUUCAGCAAAUCAACCGGUACCAAUCAAUUAUUGAAGAAAAUAACAGCUAGUUUUUUCUACCAAAUCAAUCAAAGGACUUUAAACUUUAAUCUAUUUUAAGGUUAAAAUUAUAUAAAAAAAAAAACCUUUGAACUUUAUAAUUUUAUUUAGAUAAGUUUUAUUACAUUUAAAUAAACCUUUGACAUUUAAUUUGCAUCCAAAUAAGCCUUUAACAUUUAGUUUAUAUUCAAAUAAACCUUUUACUUUUAAUUUACACCUAAAUACGAGUUUAACGUAAAUUAAUAUUUCAUUUGAAACAAUAGAUUAUUUCGAUAAAAUCAAAAUAUAAAUGCUCAUUUAAUUACAAUAAAAGUAUAAAGACUUAUUUUUUAAAAAAUGAAAUAAAUCAAGAGUUUUAUUUUUUUGUAAUAUUUUAGCUUUAUUUUAACUAUAAAAGAGGAAUGCUUAAUAUAUAAAUGACCUUUAAACUAUAAUGAAAUAUUUAAUGUGGUAUUUGUAAGAAAUUUCAAGCUCGAACCAUUGACAUUUUAUGUUAAGUUAUGUGCUUAAAUUUCAUAUAUUUCUUAUAUUGUUAAUUUUUCAUUCAUAUAACUGUUUGUUGGCCUUCCUACAUGAUAUCCUUGUAUGUUUACUUAUGAUGUUCAGGUCAUGAAAUAGGCUUUUGCUAUAUUAAAGAAACUAACAUUAGUAAUAUUUGAGGUAUCUCAUACAUGUAAAUAUAACAAAGAUUACUUCGUCUAUUGUAAAUUGAUUUUUGAUUUAAUGCUUAUCUUAAAAUUUGACACAAGGUUACAAUAGGUUAGCUUAAAUGCCCAUUCCAAAAUUUAUCAUGUUAAAAUUUAGGACAAGCAUUGAAUAAAAAUUAAUUGACAAUAAAUGAAAAAAAUCCUUGUUUUUGCAAGCAUAAGAUGCAUACUCAAACUUAACUGAUAUUGAAAAUUUUUUAUUAUCUAUUUAUUAAAAAAUUUAGAAUGUUGCUUGCCCAUCUCAGUAUCCUAUUUCUACUAUAUCUGAUAAUUUAAAAUUUUUUGUAAAAGUUAUAUUAUAGUUUAACAAAAAUAAAAAAAAUAUAUUUUAUAUUUUUUAUGUUGAUACGAAUUAUGAUAAAUAAUUUUUGUGUGAAACAAGAUAUUAAAACACAAAUUGCCAAAUCUAAUUCUACCAUCCCACACCAUGGUGCCAUGUUAGAAGAAAAGCUUACAUCGUUUUUUUUUCUUAUUUACUUGGGUUUUUAUUUAUUUUUAUUUUGAUUUCUCUGAAAAUUUUGCUUGUUUUCCAUUAAUAGUUGUAGACAUCUAAUUUUAUUCAGGUACAUUCUAACCAAUUAUGAUGCUUUCAAAAUCAGGUCUAGUUCAUAUCCAAUAUUAUUUUAAGAUUUACGAAUUUUUUUAAAUUAAAAUUUGGGUUAAGAUAGCCAAAAUGCCCUAUGAUCAAAUAUGGUCAAAUAAGGUCUAACUUUGUCAAACUUAGUUAAAUUUGGUAGAACUCAGGUCAACUCUUGAAAUUCACAAUUGAGUGGGACAAGACUUGAGAUUAAUAAAAUUAUGAUUUGGAUUCUUGAAAAUCUAGAUUACAGCUCAUAAGGAUAAAAUUACCAAAAUACACUUUAAAGGUAUUUUCAUGAGCUUUUAAAGUCAGUUUUUUGUAAAAGACUUUAGAUCAUGUGUUAUUAUUAUUCCAUGAAUUUUUAUGCAUUGAAAACCUUGUAUGGUAAAGUAUUGUAAAGUUUAAGAAGAAACCAUGUAUGUUGAAGGCAAGUGUCCAAAAAAAGAUUUUUAAUAGUUUUGAAUCCAUUUAAAGAAAAAAAUGAAAGUGAAAAAAUGAAAAAAUAAGACAAGGGAAAGAAAAUGGAAGAAAGUAGAAAAAAAUGAAAAGCAAAAAGGAAGGAAAAAAGAACAGAAAGAAAAAAAAAUGAUUGAUUGGAAAGUAUAAAAAAAUGAAAGGAUAAAUGCCCCAAAAUCAUUUCUUCGAAUGAGAAACAAUGAUCCUUAGUUUAAUCACCCUUAAACACUUAUUCAGGGCCUACCUAUCUUUUUAUUUGAAAACCUCGAACCUUGGCUUACAUUCAUCCUUAGAAAAAUUCAUAUUGGAUCAAGUAUAGAUGUUUAAAUUAAAGAGCUUCUCUUUGAGGAACAACCAUAAAACCUAUGAAUCAUUUUGUCUUUCUUCAUUACCUAAUUACCUGUUUAGAGUUUAAAUUCUUAAGUGUAUGGUGUAAUAAUCAAAAAGAAGGAAAAAAAAAAAAGAUAAAUGUUGCUCUAGGUUGAAAACCCUACAAAAAGACAAUCUAAAGCAAACCUUAAAGGCUUUAAAGUCACUCGUGAUACUAAUUGAGAUAUAUACUAACUAAAAGUAACCCAGACCCUUUUAAAAAUCCAAAAAUAUCAAGGUCCCAAAAGUUUAAAAUCCAUAAAAGAUAUUGAUUUUGAAAAUUUAAGCCUUUUUCUAUUCUAAAAUGACCUUUCAAAAUCUUAAGUUCCGUUUUGGCUAGCUAAGAUAUUUAUCAAAAUGCCACAUUUGAAGACUAAAAAAAAGUGUCACAAUUUUUUUGUUUUCAAAAAAUUCAUACUUUUUAGAUGAUCAUGUUUUCGUUUGUGAGCCUAGUGGGAAGAGUAUACAUUUAUUUUGUUUCUUUCAAGCUGUAAAGCUCUUUUGAAUGAAUCAAGCCCUUGAUAUGCUAAAUCGCCCAAUCUAUUUACAAAUGAAAUAAUUACCUUUUUCGAUUUUAGUAGGAAACACAAAUUUUUACAAGACUCUAAAGUAGCAUUUGUUCAAUUAUUUCAUUAUCUUUGGUUAUGAAAUUUAAUUAUGCGGGGUAAUUUGAAAAUUUUUUGAAUAACUAGUUAAGCACUUUUUGUAGUGAAUAAAGAAAUCAUUUAGACAAAUUUUGAUUUAAAAAAAAAUGUUUUCCUUUUGAAUAAUAAACAUUUUGAAGAAAAAAAUUAGAUUCUUUCAUGCACUCAAAGAGCAAGAGUAACAUAGUUGUUUGUCUUCUUACAUGAUGCAAGGCUUAAAAUUGAAAAUAAUUGUACACAUAGGGUAUGUUUGAAAAAAUAAAGGCUCAUUUAGUUAUAAUAAAAGUAUAAAGACUUAUUUUUUAAAAAAUGAAAUAAAUCAAGAGUUUUUUUUUUUUUUAUUGUUUUAGCUUUAUUUUAACUAUAAAAGAGGAAGGCUUAAUCAAUAAAUGGUCUUAAAUUAUAAUGAAAUAUUUAAUGUGAUAUUUGAAUUUAAAAAAUUUUUAAUAUAAUAUUUGAACAAUAAAUAUGUUAAUUAAUAUGAUACUCACCCCUAACGUAAUUAACUUCAAAUGAUUAUAUGUGAUGGGCAAACAAUUCUUGAAAUAACAUAUUAAUUAACAGUUAAUAAUAUCACAUUAGAGAUUUUUAAAAUUCAAAUAUUACAUAAAAUAUUUUAACAUAAUUAAAAAACUAUACAUAAUGUUAACUGUAAGAGGAAUUCUGACAUAUUUGUGAAGUAAGAGAAUAGGAAUAAAAAGCAAUAUUUUAAUUUUUAAAAAAUUAAAAAAUUUUGAACUUUAAUUCUUCUUCAUUUGUAUAAUAUUUUUAUCAUUCUCUUUCUUUAUACUUAAUUGGUAAACACUCAAUUUUUGGGAUGUCAAUUUACUUGCAAAACUAUUUGUAUCUUCUUGAGUUGAUUGUGAGCAAGUUGGCAAACAGAGCAAUCAAUUUUUAAUCGUGUCACUUGGUCAUUUCAUUUUCAAGAAAAUUCAGAUCAUUUUCAUAUGUGAAUCAUUUUGGAUUUAAGUUAUAUUAGGAUUGAUUUAAUUCAGGUUUAAGUCCAAUUUUAACAAACAAAAUUAAAUUAUUCAAAGUUACAUUUUUACCAACUUUUAGCAUAUUUUUAUUUUUUAAUUUUGAUGUAUAGUUUAAAAAAAAAGAAAAAAACUUUAUGGUGUAUAAUUGUACAAAUUUAAUUUAGUUAUAAUGGCAAAAAAAGAAUAUUUUUCAAUCUUUUCCAUUUAUAAUUGAAAAAGGAUACUUGUAUUUAAGAAAGAUAAUCUCCAAAGGUUUAUGAAAAUAUAUAAAAGAAAGAAUUUUAAAUGAUAAUUUUUUUAUUGAGCAAUAAAUGGUCCCUAAACUUUGUCCAAUAUAUUCUUUCCUUGAGUUAGGCCAAACAUGUUUACCUAUGUUAAUAAAUUCAUGAAAAAUUAUUUUUCUGUUAAUAGAUUCAAAAUUAAUUAGUAAAUUACUAAUUAUGUUAUACUUAUUAUUUUUAUUAGUUAAUAUUUUAAAAUAUAAAAAUGUAUUUAAUUUAAGUUAUUUGAGUCGUUUUUGAUUAAUUUUUUAGGUCAUUCAAGUUCAAAUCAAUUUAAAUUUAAAUUAAUUCAGGCUCGAAUAAUUUUUGGUUCAAAUUUUUUGAAUUUCAAUCGGUUUAAAAUUUUGUUAUUAACAUUUUUUAAUCAAAUAGGAUUGGGUCCAAUUGGAGUUUAGAAAGGUUUGACGAGUUUUUUGGGUUUGACAACUCUAAUUGUGUGUUGUAAAGCUUAUGUCUAAUCAUCAAAAAUGCAUUUGUAAUUUGUUUUGGGUACUAAUAUGCAUUUGUAAAUUUAUUGAUAUAGUGAAUUUGAUUUUUUUUUUUUUUAAGAAUAAAUUCAACUUCAUUAAUCAACUACUGGGAUAAUACAUUUGUUUUUGAUAACAUCAUCUAUGAUGGGAGGGAAAUCUUCCACCCAGUAAGCAUCCCUCUCUAAACCUAAAGCAAGCUUGGCUAGCUUAUGUGCUGCCUUGUUCAUCUGACACCUUACCUGAGUAACCUCAAAUGAUUGAAAAUCUUGUCUCAUCAUUCGUGCCUUAUCCAGGAUAUUGCCUACUGUGGACAGAUCCUUAGUUUGCUUUUUAAGUUUGGAGAUGACCUCAGCUGCAUCUCUUUCCAAUAUUAUCUCCGUGAAGCCUAGUUCCUUGGCAAAGAGAAUGCCAGCCACUAAGUAUGCUUUGAUCACCACAGCUUGUAUAAUUCCUGUUAUUCAUUUUGAAGUAGCCUCUAAGACUUCCUCUCUGUCAUUUCGUGCCACUAUCCCAAUACCUCCAAUUGCCUCUAUGAGAUGUAAGGCCCCAUCAAAAUUAAAUUUGAUAAUAUUGGUGGGUGGCACUUUCCAGAUUCUGGUGAUUUCCAGCUAUCUAUAUGUCUGGUCCUGUCUCCCUUUAACUUCAUACAGAUAGCGAAGAGCAAAAUUUAUAGUUUCUUGAGCAGUUCUGAGUACCUUAUUGUUUAUCAGCUCGUUUCUGCUAUGCCAGAUAACCCAGCAGAUCACAAGACCUUUUUCGAAACUUUCACUGGUCAUGGAGUUGGCUAAGCUAGAAAGCCAUCCUUUGUCUUCUGCAUAUAAGUUAGUCGUCCAACAUCUAUUCGCUUCAGCAAAGAGCAAUAUGUCCUUUGCUUUUUGACAAUCCCUUAAAGUGUGUAUCACCGUCUCUUCAUGGAUUCCACACCAAGGGUAGAUCUUGGUAUCGAUAUCACGCUUCUAUAAAUUACUCAAAACUGGUAAAAUACCAUAAUUUAGCCUAUUAGGAAUAAGACCCAAAUCCCAUAAAAGAUUUGAUUGAGAUUGGCUAGAUAUUAUUUUAUGGAUAAAAAGACUUACAAAAGAAGAAUUAUAUGAGGAAGAGGAUUCUUAAUAGAUAAGUUUGACUUGUAGAAGAAAAUUUCUAUGAAGAAAGGGAUUCUUAAUAGGCAAUUUUGUAUACUUAUAACUAGAUGGAGCAUCUCCAAAGUUAGGUAUGAGAAAAAAAUAUAAGAGAGUUGUAAGAUUUUAUGGGAUAGAUACCCCAUAGGAGUACUGGAGAUUUACAUCUUAUGGGUGUGUAUGUUUGUGAGUGGACUAAAUGAGACUAAAAGAGUCCACAUAGGUAUGGUACAUGAGAGUAGACUAGAGGUGAUUGAGAGGGUCUACAUGGGUAUAAUGAAUGGGUAUAUAUGGGUAUGUGUUUGUUUGUGUUGAAAGGGUGCACAUGGAUAUGUGUUUGUUUGGGUUAAGAAUACUCUAUAGAACUAGAAGAGAUUAAAAGAGUCUAUAGGUAUUGACUGUUGAGUAGUUGAUAUGUUUUGAUGUAUGUUUGUAAUUCUCUACAACUAGUGGAUCUUGUUUCUCAUCCGUAGGCGUAAGUCAGUUGGACUGAAUCACUUUAAAUUGUUGUUUCUUGUAUGUUUGAUUCAUUAUUUGAUUUUGCUUUUACUAGUGUGAUUGGAUUGAGGCCUUUUGGCCUAACAAGUGGUAUCAGGCUGUGGUGAUUCCCAACAAGUGAUGUCAGAGCUAUAGUGAUUCCUAACAAGUGGUAUCAUAGCAUAGUUUGAUACAUGAGAAGAGGCAAGCUUAGAGGAACUCAAUUCAAUAAAAGAGUUUGAGUUCAAGUUUUAAAGAUUGAGGAUUGAUUUGCAUAAAACGUAAAGGCAUACAAGAAAAAAUUAUUAUGAGACUUCCAUUACAAGUGAAGCUAAGCAUGUCUCGUAUGAAGAUAGAUGAUUUGAUGAAAUUUAAGUCAAGAUGAAGAUUGUUAGGAAUAAUGACUUAAAUCCAAUAAAAGAUUUGAUUGGGAUUGGCUUGACAUUGCUUGAUGGAUAAGAAGAUUUAUAGAAGAAUAAUUCUAGGAGGAACAUGAUUCUUAAUAGGCAAGUUCGGCUUACAGAAGAAUAAUUUUAGGAGGAAAGAGAUUUUUAAUAGAUAAGUUUAUAAGCUUAUAAAUAGAUAGAGUCUCUCCAAGGUUAGGUAUGAGAAAAAGAUGUAAGAAACUUACAAGAUUUUUGGAGAUAGAUAUCCCAUAAGAGUAUUGAAGAUUUACAUCUUAUAGGUAUGUAUGUUUGUGAGUGGACUACAAGAGAUUGAGAAGGUCCAUAUAGUUAUGGUAUAUAAGAGUGGACUAGAAGCGAUUGAGAAGGUCUACAUAGGUAUGAUGGAUAGAUACAUAUGGGUAUGUGUUUAUUUGUGUUGAAAAAGUGCACAUAGGUAUAGAUUUAUUUAGGUUGAGAAUACUCCAUAGGACUAAAAGAGAUUGAGAGGGUCUAUGGGUAUUAACUAUUGAGUAGUUGAUAUGUUUUAAUGUAUAUUUGUAAUUCUCUAUAACUAAUGGAUUUUAUUUCUUGUCCGUGGACAUAGGUCAGUUGGACCGAACCAAAUUAAAUUGUUGUCUCAUGUAUUUGAUCAUUAUUUGAUUUCGCUUCUUUUGGUGUGAUUAGAUUGAGGCAUUUUAGCCUAACAAGUGAUAUCAGAGCUGUGGUGAUUCUCAACAAGUGAUGUUAGAGCUAUAGUGAUUCUUAACAUAGCCUCCAUGCAAAAACAUUAAUUUUCGAUGGUAUUUUCAUUUUCUAAAUUUUGCUCCAAUUUUUCCAUCAUUUGCAUCCUGUGCACUAUCUGCAUGAGGUUUCUGUGUUUGGGCCCUCCCCUAUUUUUGCAUAACAGCAUGGUAAGCACUCUUGAUACUAUAUUCUUUUGUACAUUCCCAGUUUUAUACCAAAUCAUCUGUGUUCAAAGUAGCCUAGUGGAAUGCUAUAGAUUAGUUUAGCAAUAUCUUUAUAAAAUGUUUGUUGGAUCAACUACCUCUUCGAUAGCCUACUUUGCCUCUCUAUUAAAUCCUCUAAAAAUGCAUCUUAUGAUAGUAUAUCUUGUUAAAAUGAGUAUGUUAAUACUUGGUCAUUAGGCAGCCACCUAUCAUGCCAAAUUUGAAUUUUCGCACCAUUCCCAACUCUCUAUCUUAAUCCAUCUUGAAAUGUUUCUCUGGCAGUCCAAAUACUUAUCCAUGUGAGAGAAGGUCGAGACCUCAAAAGUGCUUCUAAGAAAUCUACCUCGAGAAAUAUUUCACUUUUAAUACUUUAUAAACCAUUGACUUUUAUUCUUAAAUAGCUUCCUACCUUGCUUUCCCAAAAGGACUAAGUUGAAACACUCAAAAUUUUCGAAAACCCAUGCCUUAUUCAUUCUUGGAUCAGCAAACCUUAGUCCACUUUAGCUAGUAUAACCCCUUCUUAUCUUUCUUUGAGCUCCACCAAUAAGUGCUUAUAAUGCUAUUAGCUUUUUCACAAAAGCUUUCUGGAAGGAGAAAGCAAUUCAUUGCAUAUAUUGGCAUAGCCUAUAAUAUAGACUUAAUAAAUUAUUCUUUCCCUCCUUACGAGAGACACAUCUUGCUCCAAUGUCAAAUCUAUAUCUUUAGCCUAUUGAUUAGUUCCCUGAAAGAUCUUUUUUUUGUUUUUUUUAAUCAUCGAAGGAAACAUCUGAUUAUUUUUUAGUCCCGUAUAAUGUUGCGUAAGUUAUAUUCAUACAAAUAAUUAUUUCAACCUUAUCCGAAUUUGAGAUGAUGCCUAAUUUGAGUAUAUCAUUCUUAUAAUUUUGUAGUCAUCAUUGGCAGCUUAUUAUGAUUGAUAGCAAUUCCUUUACGUCAUACUUAUUUAAUUUCGCUCAACCAAUGGUAAAGCCUAAACCCAAUAUUCAUAAUUUUAUAAAGAGAUAUUACAUAUUAUUAUAUUAUCUUUUGUUUUCUCAUAAUUAUUUUUUUUGUAUUAAGUACUUCUUUCCUAUUCAAUUUAGGGGAAUAUCUACAAUUGAUAAAAAAGCAAAGAUAAAUUGGAUGUCAUUACUGGUAAAUGUGAAAUUUAUUUUUUUAUAUUGAGUUUGUUUAGAUAAAUAUUUUCUAAACCCAUUAAAUUUAUUUUUUAAGUACCUCGUUAAUUAGGAUAUACUGAAUGUGGAUAUUAUGUUAUUCGUUUUAUGAGGGAGAGUUAGUAUUAAUUUAUGACCACAUCAUUCAAGGUUAGUAUUAAUUUCAUAUAAUCGUAAUAUCUUUAAAAAAAAUAAAUUAUGUUCCCGUUUAUUAAUAUUUACUUUUGAUUUUUUUUAUAAUUGGAGAGUAAAAAAAGCUUCACGAAAGAUGAACUUGAAUAAAUUUGUAAAUAGUGGUAUGAAUAUGUGUUAUCGUUCACUACACCUUCAGGUUAGAGAUUGUUGGUUGGGUGUAAAUAUAUGCAUUUCAUUUUUUAUAAUAUUUUUAAUAUGCCAUGUUGAAUGGAUAAUUUAGUUUCUAGAUUGGGAUAUUGGUUUAAUAUUAUUAGUGUCAUAAUGUCUAGAUCCGGGGAUCUAUCGCUAGACAUUGACUUGAAAAAGUCACCACCAAUCUUUUUUAUCUAGGUGCGAUUGGUCACCUAAAGAAUCUUUCUUUUUAAGGAACACUUAAGUUUAAGGGUUCCUAAAACAAUAGGUUCAAGUCUAUUAACCAGAACAGGGUUCGGGAGUUCGAUUACGUGUGAAGAAGGUUAUAACACCCUCAUAACGCCCAUCAAAAGAUGGUACCGGCAUAAUUUUGUGUUAUUCAAUAAGCCUUAAAAUUUUACCAAGUAAUUAACUAUUGAAAAUUAUUCUCAAUUGACUCUAAUACUUUUAGCAAAAAAUUGAAAAAAUUUCCUCUCCUCAAGAGUAUGCAAGAAAACUACUGUUUCACUUAUAGAGGCUCCAUUAUCGGAUUAUUUAAAAAAAAAAAAAAGAAAAAAAUGACUGCUUUUAUGCAGGAAAAAUUGAUACUUUCAACUUUUCCUCAAAAAAACCUUUUUUGAAAAUUUAUUCUUAAGAAAAAUUGAUACUUUCAACUUUUCUCUAAAAUAUUUUUUUUUUGAAAUUUUUAAUUUUGAGAAAAAUUGAUACUUUCAACUUUUCCUAAAAAAAAAAACUUUUUUUGAAAAUUUAUCCUUAAGGAAAAUUGAUACUUUCAACUUUUCCUAAAAAAUAUAUAUAUUUUCAUUUUAUUUAAAAAAUGAAAAAAAAUAAAAGAAUAAAAAAUGAAAAUAAAUAAAAAUAGAAAAAAAUUAAACAAUCUCAAUAUAAUAAUAAUAAAUAAAUAAAAUAAUUAAAAAAAUUAAAAAAUGAAAAAAAAACCUGGGAACAGCUCGGCUUGCGGCUCGGUUCAGCUCGGCUCAAGGAAGAAAAACUUCUCGGAGAUGCGACUCCGGGUGUUGGCUCGGCUCGACUAACGGCUCGAAAAGGCGGGUCACGUGCUGGUCAAAAGCGAGUCGACGCUCAGGUCGGGUCGGAUCUCAGCAAAAUACGCGGAUCCUCUGGGUUACUUAACGUAGAAAAGGCGUUGUUUUGGGAGGGUAUAUAAGGCUGAUUCCUUCGUUUCUUCAACAGACUGAGCCUCCCCUCUCUCUCUCUUCCUUCCUUUUCUCUCCCUUCUCUCUAAAAUUCCUGAAGAACUUCAGUUGAAUAUCACCGGAUUCUAAAAAAUUCAUCCGAAUAUGGGUUUUAGUCGAAACUUCACCAGAAAGUUAGUCGAUUUCUGAAAAUCCUCAUCGAAAACUGGGCAGCUGGUCGAAAACUUCAAACUUGGUCGGAAUACUUAUCGAAAAAUUUAACCUCAUCGAAAAAUUCAACUGAAAUUUAGAAAUUUUCCAAAAAUUUCCCAAAAAAAAUACAAAAAAAAAAUCUCCAAAAGUUUCCCAUCGAUUCCUAAAGCUAUUCUAACGCCUCUAAACCCUUUUUCAUCUUUCAAAUCUCUUCUAUCUGCCUUUUUCUCUCAGUUAGUAACUUUUUUCUGUCCCUUUUCCUUUGAUCCGAGGGUCCUUUUAUAGGGAUUGAUUAGAAGAGUUUCUGAUCAAUCCCAACUCCUCUUUGGAUUGGGAUUCAAUUAUUGAAUCCAAUAUGGACUCUAAUUAAACCCCAAUCACGGUAGAAUUCUCUAAAUUUCAGCCAAAAAAGAAAAAACAAAAUAAAAAAUAUUAAUAGAUAAUUUAAAAAAAUAAUCAAAUAAAUAAUAAUAUUAACAGAUAACUAAAAAUAAAUACUAGAUAAAUUAUAAUAUAUAAUCAGAUAAAUAUAUAUAUAAAUAUUAACAAAAAAGAAAGAAAAAAAAUAGUAAUUAUAAUAAUAAGGAUAUAUAUAUUAAAUAGUAAUAAUAAAUAAAUAAUAAGUAUAUAAGAUAAAAAUAAAAGAAAUAUAUAUAUAUAAUAAUAAUAAAAUACAAAUUAAAAAAAAAUGGGCUUACCCAUUUGGACCAGGCCUAAUUGAUCUGGGCCUAGACCAAAUUGGGUGUCUACAGUUACCCCUCUUUGAACAUUUUCUGUGAAACAGAAAUUACGCAAAGACGUAGACACCCAAUCAAGACUCAACUCAAUCAUUUUUAUUUUUUAAGAUUUGAUCAAACUUCUCUAAGCAGAGGUUCAAUGACUUCGAAAAACAUAAACAAAGCUCUCUAAUCAGAGGUCACGACUUUGAAAUGAAUAAAGCUCCUCUAUUCAGAGCUCAACGAUUUUGAAAAUAAAUAAGUCUCUAAUCAGAGGUCAACGAUUUGGAUAUAAGCAAUAGAGCUCAUGACUUUAACAAAGUUCGACAAGUAUUUUUUGCUUUUUUUAGUUUUAUUGUUUUUUUGUUUUUUUUUGUUUUGCUUCUUUUAAUUUAAUCAAAGCUUCUUUAAGCAAAGGCUCACGACUUAUAAAAAUUAAAGCUCAUCUAAUUAGGACUCAACGACUUUGAAAAAGUAAAUGGCUUCUAAUGAGGCUCAUACAAUUUGAAAAGUAAAUGGCUCCUCUAAUCAGAGGCUCAACGACUUUGAAAAAGUAAAUGGCUCCUCUAAUCAGAGGCUCAACAACUUUGGAAAAUAAAUGGCUCCUCUAAUCAGAGGGCUCAACGACUUUAGAAAAUAAAUGGCUCCUUGAUAAUCAUGUCCAGAGGAGUUGAAAAUCGUGUUUGAAGGAAUUUCAGGAGAUUAUGCCCAAUGGUCUUAUAAAUCAACCCUGAUACUAAAAGACAUCCUAUUUCAAGGAUUAGAAACUUACCUGACAAGUUUCUUCUCAAAUUUAAAAAUAUCUUCACAUCUGUCUUCUUUAUGUGAGAUAUUGAAACACCUUACUUCUUGAAUUUAUACACUAUACUUUCUUGAAAGUAGUAUAUGCUAUGCAAUGCAUAUGAAUUUCAAUGCAUGCUAUGCAAAUGUUGGCCAAUUAAUUCCUAUUUAAUGUAUGGUACUCAAGUUUCUCAAGCUCUUUUCUUGGGCAUCAAGCCCUUUUGAUUCUUCAAAGAUCCAAUUACACUAUUCUUCUAAGACGAGCUAGUGUAGCUCCCAAUCAUCUCUUCCACUCACAUUCUUUUUGUAAGCAAUCUUUUUCCAAAUUCAAUGUCCUUAUCAAGAACUGAACAUCUCAAUCCUGCCUUUAUCACUCUUGACUUAUUCAAUGUAAUACAAAAAUAUUUCAUGCCAUUAUUCAUUCAUCAAUCAUUAUUUCAAACUCAAAAAGUAAGAAUACAUUUGCACAUUUCUUCUAUUGUAGGGUAUUAAGAAGAAAAAAAUAAGAAUGAUUGAGAAACAGUCACCAGAAACAGAUACAAAUAGUGAAAUAGAAUGUCUCUUAUUAGCAAAAUGUUGGCUAAUUUCGGUCAAGGAAGAAUUACAAGGAUAAGUAUGGGGACAAAGCCCAAAAUAAACAAUCAGAUAAUCAUGAUAACACAUCUCAAGAUUUUUUCUAAAAACCCAACCCUUUGAUGUAUUUAACAACUUGGAACUCUUUCAAAUUUGCUAGUCUCUAUGUCAGUGACUUUCAAAUUCGAUGCUGUAUUCUCCUUAUCUAAGCUGCUUUUUCAGGUUUUUAACUUAGACAAACCCCCUUAUGACUCAAACGCCCUUUUAGGGUUUUCGCCCUGAUGACUCUUUUUUCAUUCACUUUUUUUUCUUUUUUCAUUUUUUUUUCAUUUUUAUUUUUUUUUAUUUUCAUUAUUUUCUUUUUUUUAAGCAUAGUAUUUCUUCACAGCAUCAGAAUUUAUAAGAUAGGAUAAAUCAUUUUCAUCCAUCUCAAUCAGUAUCAGCGCUCCAUCCGAAAAAGCUCAUUUCACCACAUACGGUCAUUCCCAAUUCAGAGUCCAUUUUCUUUUACUAUCGUGUUGAAUUGAGAGGAUUCUCUUCAAGAUCAACUCUCCUUUUCGAAAGUAACGGGACCGAAUCUUCUUAUCAUGAGCUCUCAUCAUUCUUCUUUGAUAUAACUGACCAUGGCACAAUGCAGUCAAUCUCUUUUCUUCUAUGAAAUUUAACUAUUCAUAGCGUUCUCAAAUCCAUUCAGCUUCUUUCAACUCAACUUCUUUUAGAACCCUCAAAAAAGGGAUCUCUACUUUCACUGGUAGUACAACUUUCAUCUCAUAAACUAAAAAAAAUGAGGUUACCCAAGUAGAGGUGUGAACUGACGUCCGAUAUGCAUGUAAUGCAAAUGGAAACUUCUCAUGCCAAUCUUUAUAAGUCUCGAUCAUUUUCUCCAAAAUCUUUUUAUGUUCUUAUUGGCUGCCUCAACUACCCCAUUCAUUUUUGGAAGGUAUGGUGUCGAGUUAUGAUGCUUGAUCUUGUAUUGAGCACAUAUUUUUUGUAUCAUUUUACUAUUUAAAUUUUUGACAUUAUCUGAAAUAAUUCUCUUCGAAAGCCUAUAUUUACAAAUGAUCUCUCUUUUUAUAAACUUGUAAACCACAGAUCGUAUCACAUUCGCAUAUGACACUGCCUCUACCCAUUUUGUGAAGUAAUCUAUCAUCACAAAAAUGAAUCUGUGCCCGUUAGAAGCCUUUGGGGUGAUUGGACCAAUGACAUCCAUGCCCCACAUUGAGAAUGGCCAUGGUGGUGCCAUAACAUGUAAAACAGAUGGCGAAGUAUGGAUCUUAUCAGUAUAUAUCUGGCAUUUAUGGUAUUUACAAGCAUAGUCAAUACAAUCAUUCUCCAUCGUCAACCAGUAAUAUCCUACACUCAUGAUUUGUCUCGCCAUUAUAUGUCCACUGGUAUGUACCUCACAUAUUCCAUCAUGCACCUCUUUAAUGAUUUUUCUUGCUUCAGUCUUACUUACACACCUCAAUAAUACUUGAUCCCGACUUCUUUUGUAUAGAACAUCCCCAUCUAGGAAAAAGCUCAUAACCAAUCUUUGGAUGACCCUUUUAUCAUUUUUUGUUGCUUGAACUGGGUACUGUUGAUCCUUAAUAUACUGUAGGAUGUCAUAAUACUAGGGUUUUCCAUCUCCUUCUUCUUUUACAUUAGAGCAAUAAGCCGGUAUAUCCUUAACAUCUAGCUUGAUGGGUUGAAUGUCAAUAUUGUCAUUAAUUCGAAUCAUUACAGCCAGAGUAGCCAAUGCAUCUGCAAUCAAAUUUUCUUCUCGGAGUAAAUGGUCAAACUGGAUAUCUUCAAAUUGUUUCAUCAACUCUAGAAUGUGCUUAUGAUAUGGAACAAGUUUUGAAUCUCUUGUCUCUCAUUCUCCUUUCAAUUGAUAUAUAACUAAAGUUGAGUUUUCGAACACUUUUAAUGCUUUCACUCUUCUAUCUAUAGCAGCUUGUAAGCCCAUGACACAUGCCUCAUAUUCAGCAAUAUUAUUUGUGCAGUUAAAAUUUAACCUUGCUGUUACAUGACAGUAUUGUUCUUUUGGAGAGAUCAAAAUUAUCUCAAUUUCAUGACCCAAAGCAUUGGCAGCUCCAUCAAAAUACAUUCUUUAACAUUUUUCUUCAUGCUCCCCUUUUCCAAUUGAGAAAUAAUCAUUAGAUCUUUAUCAAAAAAUUUUAACUUUAUUGGCUCAUACUUUUUAGUAGCAUGAUCAGCAAGAAACUCUGCUAUAACACCCCAUUUUAUUAUUUUUGGCUCACAUAUAUAAUAUCAUAUUUCGAGAGCAUUACUUGCCAUCUAGCAAUUCUUCCAGACAAAGAAAGCUUCUCGAAGAUAUAUUUAAUUGGAUCCAAUUUUGUUAUGAGUCAUGUGAUAUGAUAAAGCAUAUACUGUCUGAAUCUUUUAGUAGUCCAUGCUAAUGCACAACACAUCUUCUAUAAUGAGGAAUACUUGAAUUCAUAUUCUGUGAACUUUUUACUCAGAUAAUAAAUAGCUUUCUCUUUUCGGCUAAACUCAUCUUGUUACCCCAGCACACAAUCUAUUGAAUUUUCACAUACUGUUAAGUAUAAAAUUAAAGAUUUUCCUGGAACAGGUGGCACCAACACUGGAGGGUUCGACAAGUAUUGCUUAAUUUUAUCAAACGCCUCUUGACAUUCCUCAUUCCAUUUUUCAGGAUUAUUUUUACGAAGAAGCUUAAAUAUGGGAUCACAUUUGUAAGUAAGCUGAGAGAUAAACCAAAAAAUGUAAUUCAAUCUUUCUAGAAAACUUCAAACUUCUUUUGGUGUGCUGAAAGGUGACAAAUUCUGAAUGGCCCGUAUCUUAUCUGGAUCGACUUCAAUUCCUCUUUCACUGACCACAAAGCCCAAUAACUUCCUUGACUUUACUUCAAAAGUGCACUUGGUUGGGUUUAAUUUGAGCUGGAAUCUUCUCAACCUCUCAAAUAACUUUUUGAGGCUGGUGACAUGAUCUUCAUCCUUAUAAGACUUUACAAUUAUAUCAUCUACAUAUACCUCUAUCUCUUUGUGCAUCAUGUCAUGAAAAAGUGUUAUCAUGACCCUUUGAUAUGCUUGCCCUAGUAUUCUUUAACCCAAAAGGCAUGACCUUGUAACAAAAAGUUCCCCACAUAGUUACGAAAGUAAUCUUUUUCAUAUCAUCUGUAGUCAUUUUAUCUGAUUAUACCCUAAAAAACCAUCCAUAAAAGAGAAAAUUGAAUGCCUAGCUAUGUUAUCUACUAGUGUGUCGAUAUGAGGUAAAGGAAAGUUAUCUUUUGGACUAGCCUUAUUCAAAUCACGAUAGUCUACACAUAUUCGUACCUUUUCAUCUUUUUUAAAAAUUGGUACUAUAUUGGCUACCCACUCUGGAUACUUAGCCACUUAUAAGAAACCUGCAUCAAAUUAUUUUUUCACCUCUUUUUGAUCUUUAGUAGCAUUUCAGGCUUCAUCCGUCUCAGUUUCUAUUGAACUGGCUUACAUUCUGGCUUUAAGGGUAAUUUAUGCUCCACUAUCUCCGUGCUUAGCCCUGACAUAUCCUGGUAAGACCAAGCAAAUACAUCUACGAAUUCUCGAAGUAAGUCUGCCAAUCAUUGUCUAUCUCUUGAUUAAAGUGAAGUGCCCAUUCUAACCUCUUUCUUAUUCUCUUCAUCUCUCAAAUUCACUAAGUCAACUAUCUCUGAGAGNNNNNNNNNNNNNNNNNNNNNNNNNNNNNNNNNNNNNNNNNNNNNNNNNNNNNNNNNNNNNNNNNNNNNNNNNNNNNNNNNNNNNNNNNNNNNNNNNNNNNNNNNNNNNNNNNNNNNNNNNNNNNNNNNNNNNNNNNNNNNNNNNNNNNNNNNNNNNNNNNNNNNNNNNNNNNNNNNNNNNNNNNNNNNNNNNNNNNNNNNNNNNNNNNNNNNNNNNNNNNNNNNNNNNNNNNNNNNNNNNNNNNNNNNNNNNNNNNNNNNNNNNNNNNNNNNNNNNNNNNNNNNNNNNNNNNNNNNNNNNNNNNNNNNNNNNNNNNNNNNNNNNNNNNNNNNNNNNNNNNNNNNNNNNNNNNNNNNNNNNNNNNNNNNNNNNNNNNNNNNNNNNNNNNNNNNNNNNNNNNNNNNNNNNNNNNNNNNNNNNNNNNNNNNNNNNNNNNNNNNNNNNNNNNNNNNNNNNNNNNNNNNNNNNNNNNNNNNNNNNNNNNNNNNNNNNNNNNNNNNNNNNNNNNNNNNNNNNNNNNNNNNNNNNNNNNNNNNNNNNNNNNNNNNNNNNNNNNNNNNNNNNNNNNNNNNNNNNNNNNNNNNNNNNNNNNNNNNNNNNNNNNNNNNNNNNNNNNNNNNNNNNNNNNNNNNNNNNNNNNNNNNNNNNNNNNNNNNNNNNNNNNNNNNNNNNNNNNNNNNNNNNNNNNNNNNNNNNNNNNNNNNNNNNNNNNNNNNNNNNNNNNNNNNNNNNNNNNNNNNNNNNNNNNNNNNNNNNNNNNNNNNNNNNNNNNNNNNNNNNNNNNNNNNNNNNNNNNNNNNNNNNNNNNNNNNNNNNNNNNNNNNNNNNNNNNNNNNNNNNNNNNNNNNNNNNNNNNNNNNNNNNNNNNNNNNNNNNNNNNNNNNNNNNNNNNNNNNNNNNNNNNNNNNNNNNNNNNNNNNNNNNNNNNNNNNNNNNNNNNNNNNNNNNNNNNNNNNNNNNNNNNNNNNNNNNNNNNNNNNNNNNNNNNNNNNNNNNNNNUAUGAAUAAAUAUUUUUGAGCUUAUACUUACUAUUAUUAUAACUGUCAGUAUGUAACAUGUUUAUAUUGACAGAUAUUUAUAUACCGUCAGAAGAAGUUUACCUAUAUUGACGGAUUUCUAAAGUGUUAGUGUAGGCAUUACCUAUACUGACAGUAACUAAAAAUUCGUUAGUAUAAAUACUUUUUACUUACAUAAUUUGAUCAUAAGUAUAUAUAAGUGUCAAUAUAUAACAUACUUAUACUGACAGAUAGUUAUAUACCAUUAAAAAAAGUUUAUCUAUAUCGACAAUUAUAUAAAAUGUUAGUAAAGGUGUGGUAUCUUUUGACAAUAUUAAAAAACUAUCAGUAAAAAUCUCUUUUAUUGACACAAUUUGACCAUCGGUAUAACUAAGCAUCAAUAUAUAAAAAAAUUUUGUAGUGAUUUUUUUAUGUUUAUAUGGCAUUGUACUAAUUAAUACAUAGCCUUUUCAUUUGUGAUUAGUUUUUAUUAAAGGCAUUUAGCAAUACUUGAUACUAUAAGUGGCCAUAUGUCAUUUAUCUUUUCAUUAGUGUUGUAAGAGCAAAUCCCUUUGUUAUAGAAGUGGCACCACUUUCACUAUAUAGGUGAAUUCAAUCAUAAAUGCUCUUGUAUAUAACAAUUCAAUAAAUUUAUUUACAUGUUAUGGGUUCAUUGAAAGCAUUAACUUAACCUUUCUCCCUAAUCAUAAGAGUUCAAGCACUUAACGUACUUGGGAUGUACAAUAUUUAGUAAUGUUUGUAGUUACAUUCAAAUGAUGUACUUGGAAUCCUUAAAACGUAAGACUUAGGAUCCAUUUGGUAGCCAUGAAAAUGUUUUCUAGAAGUCAUUUUCCAUGUUUUCCUAUGUUUAGAGUGGCAAAAAUAUUAUGGUAAAUAGAAAAUAUUUUCAAGUCAACAAAAAAUUAAAGCAAAACAUGUGAAAAUUGGCUUUCAUUUGUCUCCAAUGGAAGACAACUUCCACAAGUUUUCUCCUAACAAGCCCACUAAUCUCCAUCAAACUUUUAACUCUUUCAUAAUCACAAGUCAUCAUAUUUUUCACUUUUUUUAAUUCUUCUAUUUCAUUUGCUUUAGCAACUAUCUUUCUUUUUUUUUUUCAUGGGACUUAGGUAAGCACUGAAGAAUUAUUAAUUGUGUUAGCUUUUUUUCUUUUGCCAAAGCUUUGUCUCAGCUUCAAAUUUUCACUUUUGUUUCAUCUCCUCCGAAAAACCCACAAGCAUAUCCAAAUUCUUAUCUCUUUCCUUUGAAUUCUUUCGUAUCUUUUUUUUUUUUUUUUUCACAACCACCACCCCAAAGAUCUCCCAUAAUUUAUCAUCAUUUUCUUUUGUUUUAUAAUCUUUCUUUAAUUAUCCACAAAUAAUUCUUGUACUUUGAAAACCAAAAAACCACAAAAGUCUUUAGCCAAAGUCUAUUACCCACAAGAAAAAAACCUUCAAAUCCAAUGAUUUUGAUGGUUUUUAUCUAUUUGAAAUGGGUAUUUAUGAAUUUUUAUGAGUUUCUAAAAUUUUUAUGAAUAUGGAUGUGGUUGACUUUUGAGUUGAUGAAUUGUUCUUGUUAAAAUCAUGAAAAGCUUUUAUGAAAUAUUAUAAUCAAACUAUGGAAUAUUUAUGAAAAAUGUUAAAAUCAUAAAAAAAAAUUUCAUGAAUGCUAAUGGAAUAUAUUUUUGGUUAUUUUCAUCCAAAUAGCGGAAGAUAGUUAAAAUAAAAUUCUUCAAACAAUAAAAAAUAUUGUUUUCUAAAAAAAGAAUUUUCAUGGAAAAUAUUUUACUUCUGGAAGUUAUGUUUAGGUUACCAAACGAAGUCUUAACAUCUUACGAUUUUAUCUUCUAAAAAACGUCUCAUAAGCUAAAAAUGAUGUGAACAUUUAUACGGUAGGUCAAACUCUGGCACAUAUUCAAUGUGAGAUUCAUGGCUCCCUUCUUGGGAUUGUGGCAUCAUGUUCCACUACAACAAGGCUUUGUUAUCUUGAAUGACAUAUCGUUAAUAUCUUCAAAGCUGGCUUUGAUACCUAAUGCAAAGGUUCAUACCAACCUAUAAAGUAUUAUCUGCUUUAUCUAUUAGACAUCACUAAUCAACAGCUUGAGAAAAUACUAUACAAAGGUGUUCUAUUCGUAUACAAAAGAUUUUCACUAUACAAGGAAAAAAAUACCAUAUGAUAAUCAUAAUCGUAUUAUAAUCCUAGAUAUUAUUCUAAUUAUAAGAUUAUAAUCCCUAACACUAUGUUUAACUAAAUAAUUACAUAAUAUUAUUGAUCAUUACAUUAACACUCCUUCAAACUCAAUGUGGUAUUAUAUAUGCCAGCUUGAGUUUGUUAAUUAAUUCUUCAAAAUAACCAAGAAAAUAUUUUUUAGUAAAAAAAAUCAACAGUUUGAUUUGUAGAAGAUACAAAAGUCACUAUAAGAAAUAGUAUUUUUAGUGGAAUAAACAUUGUCACUAAAAGUGUAAAAUUUAGCCACUCAAAUUUAUAGUGACCAAUUUUAAAGUCGUCACUUGUUAUUACAAAUAACUCUGUAACUAUUGUAUUAGUGAAUGGGCUUAAGCUAGAAUGUAUUUUCUAGAAAUUUGUGAAGAGAUCAAAGAAUUUGUUAAGUGAUCUAACCUUUAUAGUUAGUUAUUAUGUAAUUUUUUUAUGAUUUAUAUUUUUUUUCUAAAUAUCUAAAUGUAUUUUAUUUCUUAUAAAAUGUGAAGCAUGCAUAAGGAAAAACUCAAGAGAGAGAAUCCUUAAAAUGUAGAGCAAAGACACAAAAGAAUUUCAUCAAUUGUUUAAGAUUAUUGAGCUUCUAAUGAGAUUAAUGUCUUAUAUUUUCAAUUUCUUUGGUCGAGCUGAACUUGGAUGUAAAGGUUGCUCAUGUAUUUGUACAAUUCUUAUUUUAUAAAAAAAGGCAAAAAAAAAAAAUGGGCAACUAUAAAUAUUAUAUUUUGUCUAAAAUUUUCAUAAUUUUUUUAGACAAUUUCAACCCAACUGAGUUUAAUUUUUUCCCAUUGCUUUUAUGGGUUUUGAAUUUGGGAUAAUUCAAUAUUAAAUUAAAGUUGGUUUUUGAAACUGCCGAAUUCAAUUUGAAAUCAAUUGGGCUUUUAGGUCUUUAAAUAUUUAAUUAAGCCUCCAGAUUUUUAUGAGAUUUUUUUAGUUUUUUUAUUUUCGGAUUUUGAAAAUUAUAAAUUGGACCUUUGCUUUGUAAUUGGGGCUUUUAAAUUAGUCUAACUAGAUUUUUAAUUUCAUAUGGGCUUUGGACCCAAUAAGAACACCGAAUUGUCCAAAAUUAUUUUUUUUUCCUUUCUUCAAACUUUCGCCUUUUUCUUUUUUUCCCUAUUUCUUUUAUUUUAUUUUCAAUAAAUUUUGAAGAUUUAAAAAAUAAAAAAUAAGUAAAACAAAAAAAAAAAAUAGAAAAUCUAAAGAGAGGUAAGAUUCUGAUUCAAAUGUUUUUGAAAAGCUUGAAUUUGAGAAUAAAGGAAAAUAGAAAUCAUUGAAAUUUUUUUUUAAAUACUUGGGCCUCUAAAACAAAAUAAAAGGAAAAAAAAAUCAGAUUAGAUCUCGUUCAUUCAAUGAAAAUCCAUGAUCUUUAACAAAAUAUCCCUUUAUAGUCAGAUAACAUAUAAUAAUUAGGGAAGCCAAUUAAAACAAUAAUCAAAAGCAAAUACACAACAAUGCACUAUAGCAUCCAGAGCCAUAAAAAAAAAAAGGUUCGUGAAAGAAAUUUUUGUGGCUGUGUUUUUUAGGGGUUCUGGGUUUAGAUGAUUUAGCUUUUAUUUUCGUGCAUCUAGAUCGCGAAAAGGACGAAAGAAACAAAGUAUUUUCCUAGUGGUUUUAGGCUUUCCAAUGAGAGUGAAAACAAUCUAACAUAAUUGCUAUAAUUGUUUGAGGAAAUAUUUUAUUAGAAUUAAAUCAUUCAAAAUCACUUCACAAAAAGUAUAAUUCUCUUACUAUUUAAAUUUAAUAUUAUAGCUAAAAUGUAAAUUUUAUUAAUUAAAUUCUUUAGUAUACACAAGCUUUUCAUAUUAUUUGUUUUAGAAAAUAAAUAUCAAUCAAUCAAAAGUCAAAAUUAUUUUGGUAAGUUUCAUUUCAUUUUUUGUUAAAAGUAAUUUCUAGCUUUGUUUUUAAUGUGAUUUAAUUAUAUAUAUAUUUUUUAUCUACGUUUGUAAAUAUUAGAAAAAUAAAAAUUAAUAAAAUAAAAAAGGAAAGAAAUAAAAUUAGAAUAAUUGACCAAGAAUUUUUAUUCUUUGUUAACGCAUCAAAAUGUAUUUAUUAGAAGAAAAUAAAAUUUUUAUAAUUAUUAUGAAUGAAAAUAAAUUAUCAUUUUUGUCAUUGAUUUUAAGUUGAAUUUUUAAUAUCAAAGACAAAAAUAAUAGUUCUGUUUCAUUUUAAAAAUUUUAAAAUAUUUGAUUUUUUAAUAAAUAUAUUUAAUAUGAUAACAAAGACUAAUAAUUCUAGAUUUAUUAUCCUAAAUUGUAAUUUUCUCUUAUUUUAUGCAAAAUUGAUAGAGCCAUAUUGACAUCAUUUUAAAAGGUUUAGGAAUAUCAUGAGACAAUUUAAAAUUUAGGAAUCAAAAUGUAGGUUUCAUUUCUUUCUUACUUUAUUAUUAUUUAUUUUUUUCUCCUAAAAAAAGAGAAAUUAUGUUUUUAGGUAUAAAAAGUAAACAAUUUUUUUAUGAAAUUAUAUUAUUAGAAGAAAUUAUAAUUAUAAUUAAAUAAUUUUUAAUAUACAUUAAUAAGGAAAACCAAUAAGUAAACCAAAUUGACAACUAAUCAAUCAAAAUAUAAUUUGAACAAAACUCACAUUUGGUGGAAUUUGAUCCUAAAGACAAAUAUUUGAAAGCUCAUAUUAUCGAGACAAAAUUUCAUUAGAAAGUAAAUAAUAUUCUUUAAAUAAGUAAAAGUAAAAAAUUAAUUUAUGGGAUAAUUUAUUUAAAAAUAUGUCUUAUUUCACAUUUUAAUAGAAAUAAUUUAUUAAUGGCUAAAUUCUAUCAACUAACAAAUUUAUAAUCAUAUAAUAUAAUAUAUAUAAAAUAUUUUUUAAGAAAAAUUUACAUUUUUUAUAUUUGUAUUAAUUUUAAUAAAUCAAGAUAAAUAAAUUACACAAAAAUUUAUUAAAACACAUAUUAAUUUAAAUUUUUUUAGAAUUCUCGAAUGUGGCUAUGCCACUGGUUCUAUCAAUAGGUCGGACCGUCCAUUAAGCUCGCGGGUUUCAAUUUGUUGAGGCUGGGCUUCAAAUAAAAUUUGUGAAGCUUGAAAAAAAUAUAGUAAUAAUGAGGUGCAUAAAAAAAUUAUGAGACCGCCCUCACAAUAACCUUCCUCAUCACCAAGUUAAAUUGCCAAGGGGGACAGCGAGCUUUACCGGUUCCUGAUUUUCAGCCUGUCGGUGAGAAUAGUUAAAAUGUAAAGGGCAAAUGUAUAAUUCCACCAUAAAACGUAGCCCCAUUCUGGAAAACUCUCACGCACUCUCACUCCUUUGUACCACUAUUUAUAAUUGCGAUCUAUCAGUUACUCCGUGUUAUUUCCCGCGGCUUUGAACGCGCCUUCAAUUUUGGCUUUUUUCUUUUUCUUUUUUUUAUUGUUAUUUUUAAUUGUCUCCUCUUCGCAUUCUGAAAAUCCAAAAAGAAAAUAAAAUUUAAUAUUAUUUAAUUUUUAUUUAUUUUUUUAGUUUUGUUUUCGGAGCCCAAUGUUGCAGGAAUCGUUGUGACUUUUUCACUAGUUAAAACUACCUGUGCCAGGUUUGUAUAAAUGAUGCGGCCAAUCCUUCUUUUUUUUGUUCAUCGAUUUUUAAAAAUUUGUUUUCCCUUUUGUAAAAUUUAAUUAAAAAUCUUCAAUCUUCUCAAGAUUUCAAUGCUAGUCUUCAGCAAUGAUCGAGUGGAUCUUGUUUGGAUUAAAUGGAAGUGAGGAGAAAGUGGAGGAAAGUGAGGGAAAAUAAUGAAGUUCUACAUAUCAACAACAGGGAUAGGGAGGGUUACGAUAUCGAACUCGAGUGGAGGAGGUGGAGGAGGAGGAGGAGGGGGGAGCAAGGGAGCGACGGUGGCAAUAACGGGGGCUGCGGCGGCGCGUGGACGGCUAUCGAGCCGGACUCUGUUGCCGGUGGUGUUAGUUUUGGGGAUCGUUUUGCCUUUCCUUUUCGUUAGAAUUGCCUUCUUGGUUCUUGAAUCUGCUUCUUCGUCUUCUUGUUCUUCCCCUAUCGGUAAUUUCCUAUAUCCUUUGUUCACUCCAAUUCGUUUUAACCGAAUCUUACUAUUUUUGCUUUUUUUUUUGUUUUGGAAAAUAAUUUUUUAGGGAUGCACUGCUUUAACGGUGUUGUACCUUUGGUUUGUAUCAAUUUUACUGUAUUUUUUUUACUUUUAAAUUCAAUAAAUUAUUAUUACUUUUUUGGAGAAUUGACCAAUGAGUUGCUUAUAUUUAAUCACUCUGCCGUUCGUUUAAGCACCUGGCCUAUGUUUUUAUUUACUUUAAAUGUUGAAAAUUUUAUUAUAUUUCAUUUUAUUUUAAAGUUCUAAUGGAUGAUUCUAAUUAUAUCUUUUUUUUUUACAUUUUUUAAAAUUAUUUUAAAAUGAAAUUUAUUAAAUAAUUCUUUUCUUCAUAUAUUUUUUUUCAUUUUUAAGUUUUUUAUUUGCAAAUUCUACUAUUUUUAAGAAUUUUCAAUUUUUAAAAAUAUUAAAAUUUGUAUAUUUGAAAGAUUUAAAAGUUUUUGAAUUUAUAUAUUAAAAAAUUUAAAAAUUUUUAUAAGAUAUUAUUAAAAUUCUUUUCCUCAAGUUAAAUGUAAUUUUGUUUUUAAUUUAUGAGGAUAUAAAAAUUUGAUAAAUUAUAUAAUUUAAUGAAAUUUUAUAUUUAAAAAUUUUAAAAUUAAGAUGAAAAAAAACUAAAUAAAUAGUUUUAUCUAAAAAUUUUGAAAAAAAAAAGUUUAAACGUGGAGAAAAAAAGUGCGUUUAAAAACUCUCAAACUUUUGUUGAAAGUAGUAAUUAACUGUUCAUUUUAAUGGCAUUUUGCAGAUUGCAUAGGAUGGAGGCUUUUUAGUGGACGUGACACAUCUCAGGUUAGUGUCAUUUUAGUGGUAUAAAACUUUUUUUUUUAUUAUAUGAGGAGAGUAAAAUUUUAAUAUAAAUAAAAGGAAAAAAAAAAACUCGAAAUCAGAUUUUUUUAUGUCUCCUCGAACGUCGUAGACGGUAUAAAAACUUUUAUAGUAACCGAUUUGCCCUUUAUAUUGUGAAGGGGAUUUUUCUUCAUUUCCUUCAUUUUAAGUUAUGAGAAAAUAGUAAUUACAAAAAUUAAGAAAAAAAAGGACAUAAUCUGAACAAGUCAUGCUAGAAUGUACGAGCAACUUGUAGUAUUAGAUUGCCACGUGUAUCAAGGGGAGGUGGGCAGGAUUGGAAUUUGUGAACUUUAUGGUUUUUUAGGAGAAAAUAUUUAUCCAUAAAAUAUUAAAAAAAAUACGAAACUUAAAAUAAUUAUGACAAUGAGGUGAAAAUGAAAAAAAAAAAAAGUUGAAUUUUUUGAAAUAAAAAGGAGUGUCAGGGGUCAUUGCUGCCACUUGGAUUUUGAUUAAAGAUUAGAAUUCCCUAAUUUUUUUUUUUUUUGCUAAAAAGAAAAAAAUCUUUUGUGUUAUAAUUCAAUAAUCAUUAAUUUUUAAUAUUUUAUUUCAAGCAAUCAAACUCUUAAGUUUUUAUUUUAAUUCAAUUAAAUCUUUAAAUAAAUAAAAUUUAAUUAUGUGAUAAAAUUUAAUAAAUAAAAUUUCAAAUUACAAAUAAUUGAAUUUUUAGAGGGAUUUGGAGGGAGAGGGAUAAAGAAAAUAAAAAAGAAAAAAGAGGAUAUUUUAUUUUAUUUUAUAUAAUAUAUAUUAAUUAUGUCAUUUAGCAAAUUUUUAUUUAUUUUAUUAAUAUUAUAUAAAAUUUUAUUUUAGUAGGUAAAAAAAAUUAAUGAUGGCAACUGUUUUAUUCAAAUAAAAACUUAAUUGCGUGUAAAUAAAUAUUGGAUAAGUUGAUUAAUUGUAAUAAAAAAAAAUAAGAGUUUAGAUAAAGUUUUAAUUAUAAUUCAUGGAUCUUUUAUGCCUUUUAAUUUUUUUUUUAAUUUCUGUCACCUUUUCCCAACUUAAUUUAUCUAUUUUUCUCGAACAAGACCCAAAUUUUGAUUAUGAUCAAUUUUGGGAUAAAAUCCAAAAUGAUAACGAUGUCUUGGUAAUUAAUUUGCAAAAUCAUGCCAGAUAUCUGUCAAUAUUUUAUCCUGACGCGUUACCUUCUUUUGGCGGGCGCAAGUUGCUCUAUACCUCAAUUCCUGAUUUUAAAAAGUGCCUAUUUUUCAUUUUAAAAGAAAUGGAAUUCAAUUUUUUUUUUGAACAUAUUUCCUAUCAUUUUUUUAUUAUAAUUUUAUAAUUAUUUAGUUACAUUAAAAUUUAUUUAAAAAUUUAUUAUUUAUAAAUGUGUGGUUUCACAUAAAUUUUUGAUAGAUUUUUAUAUAAUUUUAAAUUUUUAUUGAUUAAUUAUAUUAUAAUAAUUAUAAAUAUAUUUUUUUCUCUUAAGAGGAGUAUCGAAUCAUCCAUCUAUUCUUAUAAUGGAGGGUGGAUACAAUAGUAUUUUGUUUUUGUAUAAAAGAGAAUAUUAUGAUUGUUAAAAUAAAAAGAAUAUUAUGGCUUGAUAACUUUGAUGUAAGAUCUCAACUCAAGUUUCCAUCUCUUAAAUAUUGUUUCUUUCUUUGGGUACAAUGGGAAAUAUAAUAAUUGUUUCUAUAAUACUGGAAUUUAGGACUCCUAUGACUUGAAACUUGAAGGUUGGAGUUUACAUUAGUAAAAUAGUAGAAAAAAGAAAAGAAAUUUUGAUUGAAUUAUGGUACUAUUGUCCAAAAUUUUCAACUUGCAAGUCUAAGAAAAAUCAGUUUUAUCUUUUCAUUAUUUUAAUGCUUUUUCCUCUGUACACUUUGACAUUUUCUAUGCCCACAUAUUUGUACAUAGUAAAGGAUGAAACAGUGGGGACAUUUUGGCAAACGGGACAUCUAUUAUCAUCCAAAACGAAAAUACAUUAAAAGAAAAAAAAAAUUGAUAAAGAAAACAAAAUGUGUAAUGGUGGGGUAUACUUUUUCUUUUUUACAUUUGUUUUGUCGCUGUUUCAACUUAUUUCUAUAGUGGGCACUCAAACCAAAAGAUAUACUAUUAAAAAUGAUUUUGAUGAUUGAAAAAAAGAUAUAUUUCUAUUUUGUAGCUUUUUUUAAUUUUAUAUAUCUAGGACCUCUCAUAGAGUUUGAGAUAUAUUUAGAAAAAUCUACAAGGGGAAUGGCAUUUCGGUCAAAAACCCAAAACAUUUUGGAAACAACAAAAUGCUGAUAAUAAUAAAUGGAUCAUGAAAAAACAUAUCUGGAAGGAAAUGUCGUUAUUUCACUUCCAUUAAGUUGCUUUCUUAGACACAUGGCCAGUUGUCAUGCCAUCGUCAUAUUAUUAUGCUCGUCCACUUGCACGAAUUUUCUGCUGUCAAUACUUUUUACAUGUUUCCGCUAUGUUCUCAAUGAAAGCUAGAAAAAGUGUAGAGCUUUUUUUAGGUUUGGAACAAGUCAAAAAGGAAUCCUGUCAAUGAUGGUCCAUCAUCAUUACCUUUAGUCAUCAUAUAUGUCAACAUGGUUUAGUGAAAUCAACGGUUUGAAAGGCAUGUGCAGUAUAGUUGAUCAUAUCUGAUUUAGUUGUAUGGUUUUAUCAUGAUCAUGCAUGUACCAUAAAGAAACUCAAAGAAGAACUGACAAGGGCACUAAUGGAGGUGAAUGAUGGCAACAGUGUUGAAGGGGGAAUAAAGGGUUCCUUGGAGUCAUUCAAUGAGCUUGUGAAGGAGAUGACGUCAAAACAACGAGACAUCAAGGCCUUUGCUUUCAAGACAAAGGCUAUGGUAAUUUACUCUUACUCAUUUUGUUCUUGUCUUUAUAGAUCAAUUUAUCUCCGUUAUUGAUAAUGGGUUAAUUUUUUUUUUUUUCCUCUGAAGAAACUGGCUUAAUUCUGCCAAAACAUCCUAAGUAGUGAUUUGAAUUUAUAUUAGCAUUAUGCUCUUUAUUUCAUUUUAAUUGAUGUGAAUCAAAGCUAUGCUUAUUUCACCCUCUACCUUACUAACAAAAUAUAUAUGAGGAAUUUUUAAGAUUCUUAAAUUAUAGAAUCUAGACUUUAAUCACUCGCUACAUGAAUGUCUUCUUUGACUUUAGUAGUAAUUUCACAGUUUUAAUUAAAAUAGGGAAUGAAAGCGGAAGAAUGAAAGAGGAAAAAUGAAAAAUGUUCAAAAGACUGAAGUGUUGGAUUUCUUCUAGAAAGAGGGGAAGGACAAAUGGCAAUGUAGGCAAUCAGAGUUACGAAUUCUACUCGUUUAAAAAAGUUUGAAAGAAACUGCCAGUGUAAUGUGAGACCCAAAUCAGGGUCUCAGAUAUUAUGUUGUUAAUAGGUAUAUAUGGAAUGUGCACUUUUUGACUUAAAAUGGAUAAAACUUGACACAGGGUACUGGGACUAAGCAAUUGAGACACAGGGAAAAAUAGGGCAAAAAAUUAAGAGAUAAAAACAUAUGCAUUACCCAUACUUUACUGUAGGACAUGAGGACAUCAUAUGCCCGAUCAUUUUCAAUGGAUGUAAAUUGUUAGAUUGGCUUGUUGGAAGCACAGUUUUAGAGUAACUUAAUGAAUUUUCUUAGAGCCAAAAGCUUGUUUGAUCAACUAAAAGUUUUAUGAACUCAGAAGCCAGCAGUAGUUUUUUAAUUACCAAGAAGAUUACAGUUGCAUUCUUCAUAAAAAAGGAAAAUUGGGUCAUGAACUUUCAAAAGGAUUCCUAGGGAUUCUUAUAACUCCAGACUAAUUAAAUUUGGAUGCCUUUACAGUCUGAAAAUUACAUAUGGUAUAUGCAUGCAUGUGGACAAAGAUGGUGGGUUGCUCUUGGUUUCGGACUUUUGGAUGUUCUAGGCCAUUUUAUCUUGACCUAUGUCUUUAUUGGUUGUUUGUCAAAACAUUAAGAUGUAUAUUGUCAUUAAAGGUCACGUAACCUUUUGGGGUUCUACCAGAUAUUAUUUCUCAUUCAAUGAGAGAAGUUUUGCUGAUGUGUGGCAAAAGCAUUCCUCCAACAUGCAUUAGAAUUUCAUCAUUGAAUGUUGAGAAAGUAUGAAAGUUGCCAAGGCAUCUUUCCCAUGAAUUUACCCUAAAUAUUAUUUAAUUAGGGCUGCCAUGUGAGGACCAUCUCUCUUGAAUCGUAAAACAUACAAAAUUUGAUUAAGCUAAUUGAUGAUGAUGCAUUUUGUCCACAAUUAGCCAAUGCAACUAUUUAAGCAAAUUGCUUUUGGUUUUUAGCUAUUUUUGUUUUAUAUUUGUCCUUGUUUAUUUUUAUUUUUGUUUUUCUUUGGGAGAGCUAUUUCUAGUUCCUGUGGAUUUGUUUCAAGAAAUGAGUGUUGGGCAAAGAUCGAGACAAGAACUCAGUGUGACAAAAAGAUAGAUUUAGAUUAAUAAUGACCUCAAAAUACCUUUUUUAUAAAUUGUUUGUAAGCAAUACCUAAUUGUUUUGAUAUAGAUAAUUAUUGCCUCUUAUUCCUAGUACAAGUGGUACUACCAUAUCGUUCUUUUUCUCUUUAACACCGGCAUUUUGACAGACUUCUACAUGUGAACUAGAUAAAUAAUUCAUAUGGGGUAAAAGUUCAUAUUUGUAUCAAUGGUGUUUCUUUUAUUGAAAUCAAUAAGUAUAUUUUAUAACUAGUAAGUUUGUAUUAUUUGAAGUGAGGAAAUCUUUAGAAUAAAACUAUUUUAUUCUUUUAUAUUUUUUUUAUUACAAUGCUAGAAUUGCAUGAAAAUAUAUAGGCUAAAGAUUGAAUAUUCUCAAUCUUAAAACUCAAGAUUUUAUGCAUUAAAACAGCUAAUUAAAUGAGUAAUUUACUCUUUACACAUAAUAAAAAAAUAUAGUGGAUUUUGUGUAAUUACUUAAAUCACUUCUUAUUUUAAAAAUAAGAAACUUAACUAAAAUAGAUAAAGUCAACUAAUCAAGUACUAAUGAAGAUUAGAUUUCCACACUCCCUUUCAAGCUGGGUGGCAGAUGUCAAUCAUGCCUAGCUUGGACUUCAGAUUCUCAAAGUUGUUCUGAGAGAGAGCCUUAGUGAGUAUGUUUGUAGUUUGAAGGCAUAUGGGAGUAUAAACUUAUCUAACAAUUCCUUCCUCUAUCUCCUCUUUAAUGAAAUGAUGAUCAAUCUCCACAUGUUUAGUCCUAUCCUGAUGAACAAGAUUUUUGCCAUACUUAUGGCAGCUUUGUUGUCGUAGAAUAUCUUCAUGGAUUCUUCUACAAAGGUUUUUAACUCCUUAGUAACCUUUUCAGCCAAAUUGCCUCGUAUAUAUCAUGAGACAGCUCUAAGCUCAGCUUCCGUGCUAUUUCUAGCCACCACAGAUUGAUUCAUGCUUUGCCAAGUAACCAAAUUUCCCCACACAUAGGUACAAUAACCAAUAGUUGAUAAGGCAAGGGCUUUGAAAUUUCAUAACUCGAUAAGGCAUUCUGUUUAUUAGAUUUGUAGUAGUAAGAACAGCCUUAUCCUAAAAAUGCUUAGGUACAUGGGCAGCCAUCAUGAGGGAUCUUGCAACUUCUAACAAAUGUCGAUUCUUUCUUUCAGCAACGCCAUUUUGUUGAGGAGUGUCGACACAUGAGUUUUGAUGAAUUAUAUCAUGCUUCAUUAGAUAUGAUCCAAGAAUUGAAUUGUAGUAUUCUCUCCCAUUGUCGGUUCUCAACACUUGGAUUUUGAUUUUGAAUUGAGUUUGGAUCAUAUUGUUGAAGUUUUGGAAUAGCUAGCCGACUUCUGAUUUUACGUCGUAAGGAAUACCUAAGUAACCUUGGUGUGAUUAUCAAUUAAUGUGACAAACCAUCUGGAGCCAGUAAUGUUAUUUACUCUUGAGGGACCCCAAAUGUCAUGUGUAUCUUGAAAAAGGAUGGAAUGGUUUGUAAGGCAGAUUAGGAUAUGUGGUACAAGUAUGUUUGGAUAGUUGGCAAACUUUACAUUGAAGGUUGUUAGGAUUUUGAUUGAAUAAUGAGGGAAACAACUUUUAAGGUACAAAAAAUUUGGAUGAGCUAACUGAUAGUGCCACAACAUAAUAGUACUAUCUUUAUUAUUAGUGGAGGAUGAAACCAUACAAGAGAUCUUUUGAUAUUGUCUUUCAGAAUCAUUAGCUCUUAGGAUAUUGAGUCUUGCACCCAUCUUAGCAUUGUCAAUCAUCUUCCUGAAUCCAAAUCCUAAAAUUCACACAUAUUUGAAAGAAAUUUAGUAACAAACUUAAGGGUUCUUGUAAGUUUACUUAUAGAUAGUAGAUUGCAACUUAGAUUUGGGAUAAACAAAACAAAAUCAAGUGUUAUCUCUUUAGAAAUAAUAACAGAACAUGUAUCGGUUACUUUUGAAAGUGACUCACCGGCAAUUCAAACUGUGAAGUUUUCAUAACAUGGAUUGUAUUUACUAAAUACAGAUGCAUUCCUAGUUAUAUGGUUUGAAACUUCUGAAUCUACAAUUUAUAAAUUUGAUUUUUAUAGUUUUACACUCAAGGCACUUAGAAAAUUAUCUUUUUGUGGUAGAGAACCUGUUCGAAUAGAAGUGGUAAUGUUCUGUAAUGAUUGAGAAACACUAGCUCCAAGGUUAGAGGUAACCUUCGACACCGGACUCUUCUUUCCGUUGGCCAUAUUGGACUCUGAGUGAAAAUUUUCAACGGUUCAGAUCGAGCUUUGAUAUCAUGAAGAAAUCUCUAAAAUAAAACUAUUUUAUUCUUUUAUAUUUUUCUUAUUACAAUGCUAGAAUUGUAUGAAAAUAUAUAGGCUAAAAAUUGAAUAUUCUCAGUCUUAAAAUCCAAGAUUUUCAUGUAUUAAAAUAACUAAUCAAAGAAAUAAUUUACUCUCUACACAUAAUAAGAAAAUAUCUAAUGGAUUUGGUGUAAUUACCCAAAUAACUUCUUAUUUUAAAAAUAAGAGACUUAAUUAAAAUAGAUAAAGUCAACUAAUCAAGUAAUAAUGAAGAUUAGAUUUCUUUGUGAAGGAAAGCCUAUUCUAUUCCAAGUUAGAAAUAGCUAACUUAACCAGCAACAUGGACUUUCCCAUUCUGUCAAAUGGUUGAGUUAAUGUUGGAUUUAAAAGUGUUCUAGAGAGCACUGAUGAUGAGACUUUACGUUUAGCAUUACUCAAUUGUGUGGCAUCAGAAUUUUUGUUCUAACUAGUUCUUAUAUGUUGCGGCAGUCCAGUUGCCUCUGUUGACUUAUGUCAGUAUGAAAAAGGUUGUUUCACCACAUGUUGUAAGGUGUUUGACCUCAAAAUGGAUAAGCUUACAGAGACUGCAUUUAAUUAUUACGCUCAUGUGCUCGUGUCCUCAUGUUCUGAAAUAGCUGCAAACUUACUUGAUCCUAUUUGUUGCUGGCAAUCCAUCAAAUAUGAUUGUGUGUAAUUGAUCUUGAACUUUUUAUUAGGUUGAGAAUUGUGGCAUAUUUUACCUUCCUUCAUAGGCUACUAUUUUUCAGGACUUGAGUUAAUGCUCACUAUCAUGCCCAUUUCUUUCCUGUUUCUGACACAUCCAUUAAUUGUUUGUGUUUACUCAUGAAUUACCAGGGAAAUUUGAUUAUCAGUGUCUAACAAGUAAUUAGGAAAGAAAUAAUAAUAAAAAAGGUCCUUGCUAUUCUUGUCAUUGGUCAGAGUCCCAUCACCAGAGAAAGAUCUUAAAAUUUGUAUAAAUGAUCAAUUGUUACCUAGUGGAAUAACAUCAAUUGUGUUCUACUUUCUCUUAGGAACUUGGACGAAACACCUGCAUUACAAUGUCAUGCAAUUUGAUAUAUUUUUGUUUCAAGCCUUUGAUUCUUCUGAAUCAUGAGGAUGCCCAAGUGUUAGGAAUAAACAAUUAUUUUAUCAUAUAUAUUGUUUUCUGGUUCGAUGCUACUCACUAAACAAUGUUUUUGGGUGUGUUUACAUAUUUUCUUGUGGUUUGUAUUUGCUUGUAUGUUCUUUUGCUUGUACAUGGAAUUAAUGCUUUUGAUUACAAUGAGUAUAAGAAACUGUUCUGUCUAAUGAAUGGAAACAACUGAAAUGAGGUGUCAUUGAUAAUUAUAUAUUUUAAGUCAUUUGUUCAAAUGUAACUUGCAAUACGUGUAUCCGCUUCAACAUCCUGUAAUAAAACAAAGUACUUUCUUUUUUUAUUUCCAGCUAUUAGGUAUGGAGCAAAAGGUGCACUCAGCAAAGAAGCGUGAGUUAAUGUACUGGUAUUUAGCUUCACGGGGUGUCCCAAAGAGCCUACAUUGCCUAUGCCUGAAAUUGGCAGAAGAGUAUACUGUAAACGCAAUGGCCCGUUCUCAUUUACCUCCACCUGAACACGUUUCUCGUCUUGCUGACACAUCCUUUCACCAUGUUGUGCUUCUGACUGACAAUGUCCUGGCCGCCUCUGUUGUCAUAUCAUCUACAGUUGAAAAUGCAGCAAAUCCCGAAAAUAUGGUGUUUCACAUAGUAACAGACAAGAAAACUUACACCCCAAUGCAUGCAUGGUUUGCAAUAAAUUCUCUCAAAUCAGCAGCCGUGGAAGUUAAGGGAUUACAUCAAUAUGAUUGGUCUGAGGAGGUGAAUGUUGGAGUUAAGCAGAUGUUGGAAAUUCAUCGCUUGAUCUGGAGUCAUUCCUACAAUAAUCUGAAAGAAGAAGACUUUGACUAUGAAGGAGAGAAUAAAAAUUGUUUGGAGGCUUUGAGCCCUAGCUGCCUUUCCCUUAUGAAUCAUCUUCGCAUUUAUAUCCCUGAAGUAAUUACUCUAAAAUUUGCUUUGAAUUUUCUGAUAAGCAAUUUAUUCUCAACCUUAAAUUUCAGCGGGCAUUGAUAUUUUCUUAACUUUCAUGGGUUGCACAGCUGUUUCCAGAUCUCGACAAGAUAGUAUUCUUGGACGAUGAUGUUGUAGUACAACAUGACAUAGCAUCAUUGUGGAAAUUGGAUCUCAAUGGGAAAGUUGUUGGUGCAGUUGUUGACUCAUGGUGUGGCGACAACUGUUGUCCAGGAAGGAAAUACGAGGACUACUUGAAUUUUUCACACCCAAUAAUUUCAUCCAACCUUGAUCAAGAUCAUUGUGCAUGGCUUUCUGGUAUGAAUGUCUUCGAUCUUGAGGCUUGGAGGAGGACCAACAUCACAACAUCUUAUCAUAAAUGGUUGAAACUUGUAAGUAAAUUGUCGGUCGGCUGAUCAGCUAUUUGGCUAAUAUUGCUUUAAUGUCCAUUUUAUUGCAAAUCAUCACCUAAAUUCAGUGGAUAAAUCAAAAUUAAGGAAACUGUAUUUGUUUAUAGACUUCAAGUUGCACAAAGCAUUUUGCUUAUCCCUAUUGACACCUCUACUGCUUGGCAUUGCAUUUUCGUACCGCGUAGCAUGGUACUGAUUGAAAUCUUAGACCUGGCAAUUGGUGUAUUUGUGUUGUUAUCAAUGGGAAAAAUGGAACAUUUUUAUCUUAAUUGUAAAAUGAAUUAAUUCCCUUUUUGUUAGUUACCGUAAUCCAAUAAAUAAUCUUUUUACAGAAUCUCAAUUCUGGAUUGACGCUAUGGCAACCGGGAGUACUGCCACCAACCUUGCUUGCUUUUGAGGGUCAUGUGCAUCCUAUUGAUCCGUUAUGGCAUGUCGCUGGGUUAGGCUAUCGAUCCUCGUCUGCUCAUGGAGAGAUAUUGGAGGCUGCUGCUGUUUUGCAUUUCACUGGCCCUGCAAAGCCAUGGCUCGAGAUUGGGUCUCCAGAAGCACGAAGCCUGUGGAAUAGACAUGUAAAUUUCUCAAACAGCUUUAUUCGGAAAUGUAGAAUAUUGGGGGUAGGAGGAUGAAGUUCUCUCACAUUUACAUACUCAGUUUCGGAACCAAACCGGCAGUAACUGUAUGGAACCAGAGGGAAGAAGGUUUUGCCUUCAGUCUCUGCUUAUACUUUCAUAGCACGACAUUGGUAGCUUUUCAUGUCCAUAAUAGAAAAUAGAUGAAGGUACUUCCUGAUAUACAAUAGAGUAAGAAUCUUAAACCUUCAAGGGAUAAUAGUGAUUAUAUCGUUGUAGCUCUUCAACAAAAUUGUAAAUUACUUUAGUCAGCUUAUUGACAUUACUUUAUCUCAAUGGUGAAACUCAAUUUUAAUUUUUUUUUUAAAAUAUGUAUUUUUUCCAGUUCAGAGUCACACUUAACCCUCUUGCUUCAGAACUCUUAGUCGAAUGAAUCUUGACAAAAUAGGGGUUGAAUUAAUUUUUUACCAAAUUAAAUCGAUCAGGCGAUAAGGUGAGUUUUAAUUCAAAUGAGUAGGAAAAAGAGCGAAAGUAUGAUGAGUUUUGGGUGUUUCCUAUGGAGGCUCUUCCAACGGUUGCAUCCUCCAUUUUAGCAACUUAACUUAACUCUAAUUUUGGCUCAAAGCAGCGGCUGAAGAAAGUUAUUCCGCAAAAUCCAUUUCUGAUUCCUUGGCAGUUUAGCUGCUGCCAAUAUUUUUCUGACUAACCACUAUAUCCAUUUUACUACCACAUGGAGUUCUCUCAUUCGUCCAACUAAGCAUCAACUUGGCUGAUUUGGUUGCUGCGUGCCAUUGUCAUCUCACCAUUCUGUCAUCGAAAUUUUAGUGACUGGCAUGUCUUUAUCAUGCCACAUGUCAAAUAUUGAUUAAUUGAUAAAAUUUCCUGCCAUAUUUACUGCAAAGUCAGCCUUCUAGCCACGUCUGCUUUGUUGCCGGGUAAAUUUUAGUUGUCAAAUAUUUUUUCCUUUGAGCCAAAAAAAAAAAAAAAGGAAAGAAGAAGAAAGAAAGGUAUUUCAAUUGGAAACUCGCCAUUUUUACCGGCCCAUCCGAUCAGCAUUUUUUAGUUGACAUUUGCUACGAGAUAAUCAUUUUAAAAAAUAAAAUAAUUUAUAUAUGAUAAUUAAAUUAUUAUAUUUAGUAAAUGAUUGAUGAUUUUAUGUAACGAUAAUUUUGAAUCAUUAAAAAUAAUCAAAUUAUUAUUUUAGGAGAUAAUUUAAUUCUCAUUUAAAAGAGUAAAAAAUUUUUAUUAUAAAGAUGAAAUGAUAUAUAAAAUUAAUAAUAUUUAAUAUUAUUCAUUUAAUAUGUGAAUAAAAAUUUAUUUUUCUUAAAAUUAUAUUCAUUUUAUAUUAUAAAUUUUUAUAUUUUCAAACUAAUAUUUAUUAUAAAAAGUUGAAAAAUAAAUUGUAUAUUUUUUAUUUUUUAAUAUUUUAUAUAUAUUAUAAUUAAUCAUUUUGUUUUUCUUUUAUUAUGAUUUGAAUAUAUUAGUUUUAUUUUCUAAUUAAUUUUUUUACAUAAUUUAUAUUAUAGUAUCAAUAUAUAUACGAAAUUUAAUAAUUUAAUAAUAUUUUAUUAUAAAAUAAAUAAAAUAUUACUAAUAUUUACAAAUUAUUAUCUUUAAACAAUAUUAAAACCAUUAGCUUGUGUAACUAUUACAAUAUGUCAGAUUAUUUUUGUACUUUUAAAUAAAAUAAUGUUUAAUUUUUAAUAAUAACAAAUAUAAUGAUAUUUAAUUUUUAAAAAUUAAUGAUUAUUAAUUAAAUAAAAUGAUUUCAAAUCACAAAUGAUAAAAUCAUCUUAAUAAUAAAAUCACCUCGAUAAUUACAUUAUCAGGAUAAUCUUACAAAAAAUACCAAAUAAUACCUUAGAGUUUGAAUAAAACUCUCAAUUAAGUCAAUAAAUUUUGAGGGCUGCUCAAUCCGUAAUUUCCUUUUUAUUUUCAAAUUUCUUUCUAACUCUGCCUCUCUUCUCUUCAUCUUUACCUCUUUAUCGUCAUGCAUGGUUAAUGGAAGCCUCUACGAUGGAAAUUUGAGAAAUUUAUGAAUGGUCAAUUUUUAAAAAAUUCUUUAAGUGAAUAAUUUUUUUAACAAAAAGUUUUUUGUCUUCUUUUAAUCAUAAUAUAUUAAAACAUUGAAAAUGAUGAUUAUUUCAAAAUUUAAAAAAGGAGAUUUUCUAAAGAAAUUUAAACAUGAAAAUUUUCUUUAAUAAAAAUGAAUUCUUUUAAGGAUUAUUAUAGAAAGUCUCAAGUAUGCAAACAUUUUUCAAAAUUUUGUUGAUGACAAAAGAAAUUAAAAGAAUUAGAUUUAAAUAUUAAAUUAAGAUCAUUUUUAUAAGUUAAAAGGAUAACAUAUAAUUAACCCAUAUCUUUUUUUGAAUGGAGGAUGUUAAUACUUUUUUCACAUAUAACAGUAUUUUCAAACUCAAUUUUAGUUUUGAUAACUCAAAAAAAUUAUUGAGAUUUAUUAAAAAAUUAAGUUUUCUUAUGCGAUCAAUGACAUUUAAAAAAAAUAUUAAUGACGACUCUAUCUUCAAAAUCUUUGAAACGGAUGGACUCUGGUUUGCAUGUUGUGAUAAUACAUAAUCAAGAUAAAUUCAUUAAGCUAAAUGAGAAAAUAGUUAGUACACUGUCACAAUGAGACAAAGGAAAUGAAAGAUAAAAUGCAUAAAGAAAGGACAAAAAUAAAAUUUUAAUGUCUUUGAUUUUAUUUCUAAAUUGUUUUAAUUUAAUUAAAGAUAACAAUGAUAAUUUAUAGGUGAAAUUUAAUUGUAUGACCUAUAAAUCUUUGAAAUUUGAUGGGCUGGAAUUUGGUUAUAUCUCUGAAUCAUUUGUUAUUUAAUUAGAAAAAAAAAAAAGAUGAUUUAUAGCUGAAUUCUGAUUGGUUGGACUAUGAUAAGUCUUUGAAAUUUGAUUGGCCAAACCAUUUGUUUUCAUCUUGACUUGUCAUGAUAAAUCAUGAAUUAAUUUCUUUAGCAGCACUAGAAAAUUUUAAUUGGUAAAUUAAAAAAAAAGAAAGAAAAAAAAGCCAUAAGCCACUUUAUAAAUAGUCGAAAAUUUUCGCUAGGAAAUGAGAUUCAAAGCAAAGAAGCCCUUAACAAAUCAUAAGUAUCAAACACAUAUCAACAAAUGGUAAGACUGCAUCUGUUAAAAAUAUGCUUACAUUUGGACAUAAACAAACAUGACAUACUGGUUCCCCUUGAACUGUCAUAUUACAAGCAUGGCAAUUUUACCUAAUAAUGUGAUUGAUUUAUAUUUCCUGUUUUAUAAAAGCAUAAUUUGUUACAUAUAUCCAAGUUGAUGAAGUCCAUGCGAAAUCAAAUAACUAUAUGUCCAGAACUGCUUAAUCUAGUUUUUGAGUUGAACAAAUAUUAGAAACAGAAGUGAAGGGAUGAAAGAUUAAACAUGUUAUCUAGUGUUUUGGAAACAUAUAAUACAAGAAUAAUCCAGCACUGAAAAGGGAACAGAAUCCAGUACUAAAAAUCUAAGUUCCUUGCUUAAGCGAUGAACAACUAGUUUUCAACUAUUUAUAAACUAUAUAUACUUCCAAGCUUAUAUGCUUAACCAGAGACAAAGUUGGUAGAACAUUUGUGACUGCUUGCAUUUCAGCUGCAUGAAAAACAAAUAUGCAUCAGAAUAUGAACAUAUUUUUAUGUACUACAUUAUUUAUGAAUGAAUUUAUAUUUGAUGUACUAUUAAUGAAUAGAUGUUAUAAACUGUUGGUGAAUCACACAAUAAUACUUUAUAAAAAAAAUGCAAUCAAUCCUAACAAUAUAUUUAAAAUUAAUUUUUUAUGAGAUAUCAUUAUAUAAUUCACUUUAUAAACUGAUUGAACAUCAAAUAUAAAUCCAUAUAUGAAUAAAAAAAAUGAUCAAGUAGCAUUAAUUAUGUUUUCAAUACACGUGAGAUGCAGUCAUGCAGAAUCAAAUACCUAUUAUGAAGUAUGAACAAGAAAAAAUGGAAAGAGAUGAGGGAAUAGCCCCAUACAUUUGAGUACUGUUUAAUGCUUCAAAGUUAAUAGUUAGAUAAUAGCAUAUAACCUUUUCCAAUUUUAGGAUUGUUUCCCAAUGUACCAGUAUUGAUUGAUCCAAACACAGCCGAUCCGACUUAAGUUAAAGAGUGUUGCAUUUUUAGUUUUCACCAUUUAUUUCCUUAAUUAUGACUAUAUGCACAUGUUGUCAGAAUAUUGUUCUCUUCCAUAGUGAUUAUGCAAAAGCAUAUUAUUUUGAUGGGCCAAAUCUAAUCUUGGUUAAUUGUAGAUGAAAAACCUUAUACAAGUUGGAGAGCAGUUUGGUCUUGGUUUGGCUCCAGCUGGAGGUUUACAGGCAGAAAGUUCCGAUUAUAGGGUUGUGAAGUUGCAGUCUGGUACACAGACCCUUGUAUCAGGUUUGAUUGUUGUUGCGCUCUUUCAUUUUCUGCUAUCUGCAUAAAUAAAUCAUCCAACAUUAUUUUCACUUAUGAUUAAUAUCUAACUCCUCUAUGUAUAUGAUUGAAAGAGGCAAUCAGAGAGAGAAUACCUUUGCUCGCAGGUACAUGUUAUCAUUCUGCAGCUCAACUUCCUACAAAACAUGCACUUACAAUUUGUUAAUAAUAAGAAGAGGAUUUUUACCCUCCUCUUAUUAACAAUAAAGAUAUAAUAGUAGGGAAGAACAUUUACCCUCUUUUGCAUGAACUCAAUUUCUGCAACUAGUAAUUCGUUCUGGUAGAGUUUAAGAGUGUCAGCAAAUUAUCAUCAAUAUAACAUAUAUAUAUAUAAUAUAGAUAAUAUAAUAUAAUAUAUAUAUAUAUAUAUAUAUUCUACCACCCCCAAGGUGAAGGACAAAACCUUUUUGGAUCUGAUUCUACUAAUUCCUUUCUCGAGUCUUCCCUCCAGGUUCUUUAGUUCCUUGAAGGUCAAAGAGCUAAGUGACUCACCAACGAUAUGCCUAAAAGAAACAUCUUUGAUGAAACUUUUCCAGCAGAGAAUGAACAAAAGGAAACAAAACAACCAUUGAUAACAUCUUUAAGUGAGCUUGAAAAUAAAAAAUUAUAUACGCAUUGAUGUUACCUGUUCAUGUUCUGAGCAUCACGAAUUUGUCGUCGGAGUUUCGUGGCUUCUUGCUGGUAAAACUGAUGAGUUGAUUUUUAAAUAGAGAUAGUAUCAGAGUUAAGUAUCAGUUAUUUGACUGUUGACCAAAUAUAUAUAUAUAGUUAGAAACAGAAAUAGUAAAAAUGAUUAUGGAUAUAGACUUAUUUAUAUUUGAUGAACAGGUAUAUCCUUUUUACGAAUAACUGUAUCAAUUUGUUUACAAUAGUGGAUAAGCUUUUUUUUGUUAUUAACUGCUAUAAACAAAAUAUUUAAGUCGUAUUUGGUGCAUAAAAUGAUGAACAAGAUAAAAUGAUAAUUAUUUUAUAUUAUGUUAUUUUUUAUCUAAAAAAAUAAUAAGUAUUAUAAAGUAGAUUAAUUAUUUUUUUGAUAUAAGAUGAUUCAAUCAUUCUAAAAUGAAGAUAAUUAUUUUUAAUUUAUGAGAUUGAAUUUACAUAUCUUAUUAUAUCCUUAAAAAUUAUAUCAAUAAUUUAAAUUGUAUAAAUUUGAGAAAAGAUAAUUUUGAUCAAUAAAUAAAUUAUUUUAUCUUGAUCUUUGUACACAUCAAACAUAAAAUAAGAUAUUAUUAUUGAAUCUAAUUUUAUAUAUAAUAUCAUCUUAUCCUAUCUUACUAUAAUCUUAUAUACCAAAUAUAUUUUUAAAGAUAUAUAUUAGAACUUCAUUACAGUGUGAAUCUGUGUACUUCUUUAAUAAGCAGCAGAUCAGUUAUACCCUAAACCCAUAAAUGUAAGAAAAUAGUUUUUUAUUCCCUAAUUCCCUUCCACCUCUUUCCUUUCUGUUUGCUUUCUACCAAACACAAGAAACACAUUUUCAAGAAACAAUUGUUGAUAGGAAAUAUCCCAUAUAUCCAGAGCGAGUUGCAAAAUCAUGUUAGCAGUACUUUCAUGAAAAAAAAUGAUAGAAUUUGUUGAUUAAAUACGUGCUUGCUAUCUUGUUCGAACUCGGGGUAAGUGUUAGAUCUUAAUCUGUAUCUGACACAAGUGCAUUAAUUUUUUUUAAAAGUUCUUAUUUUUUAUAUAUUUUAAGUAUUGAACAUAUGUAUUCAUGUUUAUCAGAUAUCUGUCAAAUAUAAAUACUUCAAAACAAAAUGAAGAGACCGAAUAAUAUACACAAAAUUAUCAAGAAGGCUCCCUUGAAUGGUGAAUUUCCUGUCCAAGUGGGCUAUAAUUGCUCAAUAUCAUUUCUUUAUAUCUCCUCACAAGUAGAAGGGAAUCUUAUCGAUCCCUUUCUUUUCCUUCCAUGUUUAAGGCACUUCUAGGUCACGUUUUCUAAUCUAGAUUUAUAUGCUUACUAUUUACAUGACCCUUACUAAGAGUUUGGCGGUGAGAUUGACUCCUAUAAGAUUAAAAAUAGUAGUUGUGAUGAGAUUGAAUAUUGUACCAGUAAAAUUAAAUUAGUAGUAAGAUGUGUUUGGAUACAAACAUAGUAAUAAUAGUACAGUGAAAUCUAGUAGAAAAAAAUUAUAGAAAACAUUAGAUUAAAGGUAGUAUAUAAUAAAAAUUUUAAAUUAUUUGAUAUUUUUGAAGUUAAUAAUUAAUUAAAAAUUACUAAAAUUAUUUUUGUAUCAAAUCACAGUUUUAUUAAUAAAUAAUUAAAUGGAGUAGUAGAAGUAGGAAAUUUAGUUUUGUUCAUUUUUUUUUCUAAAUACAGGGUGCCAGGAGAGCUGCUUAUGGUCUAAAUGGAACUUGCCUGUUGGGUUUCCGUAUUGGUGUCAAUCUAGCUAGAUUCAACGCAAGAUCAAUUUUUUGGAGAAAAGCCCAACCGAUAGUGAAUCAUGAAGUUGUCGGCAAACAAGGUUCGAGGAAUCAGAGAUUUGGAUUAAGCAAUCAAAAUUAGGGUGGGACAGUCUCAAGGCAUUUUGCUGGUGAUGAUGUUGCUGUCAAUUGCAAAACAUAUCUUCAAGCUUUUAUGCAAAAUGACAUUUCAAAUACGUGGAACGGGUUCUCGACGAUAUUGACCAUAAGGUUGCUGGUACCGUUAUUGAGGAUGGUUAUGUGACUGUUAAUAUAAAAUCGUGUCCUAGAGUCGUGGAUGAUGAAGUUUUGCACAAGUUGGAUAUAUGCUUGAUUGGAGUCACUAGUGGAUACUAUAAAAUAGGGAGGCUUAUGGAGAAUUUUAAAAUUCAAGGGGUGUUUGAUAUCAUUGUUAAAAAGAAUCUCAAGUAGGCAAUUCUUAAUUCAAUUUGAAGAUGAAGAAACAACGAAUACAAUGAUUGGAAGGUCAUGGCUAAAAGAGUGGUUUGAUGAAGUUGAACCAUGGUCAGAGAAUUUCUAUUAAAAUAUCGAACUACGUGGCUGACUUGUUUUGGAGUACUUAUUCACACCUGGAAUUAUUCAACAGUCAAGAACAUUGCUAAUAUCUGGUGUGAGUUAUUGAGUUUUGAUGGUGCAACACUAAAGUUCCAAGAUUUUAGUAGGGGAGCUAUACUGAUUAUGACUAAUCAAUUGGACAAAAUUGAUGAAGUUAUUUAUAAAGUAUAGUAGAAAUUCCUUUCCAGUUACGGUCACUGAAAUUGGUUUGGAGUUUGUCUCAUUAUUUCAUUGCCAUUGUAAAAUUUCCAUUGCUGAAAACACUGGUAAUGAAAGUAACUCAUACUUUGAUCAUAGUGUUUGGUAAAUUCCAGUGUUGAAGAAUUCAUGAAAGAUGAACAGGUCAUCUGUAAAAAGGUAAAAGUGGUAAGAAUGCUGGAAUCAAGAUUUCAAUGAUCGAGGUUGUUAUUGAGACCAAGGAUAGGUGCAUGUUUCUCGAAAAGUGAGGCAUCGAACACGAGAUAUUGGCCUGGAUAUAGUAAUUAUGGAUGAGUUCCAAAUGAAGGUCAUACUGUAAAGAAGAAGAAGCUAGGUAGGAAAAGUAGCUCAAAUGAUCAAGCACUUUCGAUUGGGUUUAAUGGGGAUGAGGAAAAAGGGUCUGAAGUUGGGAUUAAUGGUUCAAGAGACCAAGAACCUAGUAAGGGUGGUCAUUUUAAAAGAUGUAUGUCUGGGCUAAUAAGUUUGGAGGGUGAAACCCAACCCAUGUCUCCUUCAUUACAGUCUAAAUAUCAAGUUGAAAAGACAGGGUUGUCUGACUCAGAAAAGGCAUGAGAGAAAGACCCAAGCAUUGGAGGAUAUUGAGGAGGCUCCGCACAAAAAAAAAAAAAAAAUUCCUUGAAGGCAAAGAACAUAGGUAAAAGGUCUAGGAUGUAAAAUAAAAGCUUCUAAUUCUAAAACUGGCAGCAGUAAUUUCGCAAAUGAAUCCCCUUUUGACGGAAAUUUUGGAAUCGAUUGAAUGUUAUUGGUAAAGAGGCUUGAGCGACUUGGGAGGUAGGGGAAAAGUUAGGUUUGAAGGCCUAGUUGAUAGGUUAAUUGAAUUGGAGGCUAGGGAUAUGAGGCAAUCCUAAUUGGCUCAGGUUUAUUUUCUACACUUUAUUGUAAUUUUGUCGGAUUUGGGUUGUUGUUAUUUCUUUGUGUUUUGAAUUUGAGGAUUUUAUCAGGGAUUAGAGGUUUGGGUAGUCAUGUGAAAGUUGAGUUUUAAAGACUUUGGUGAUUUUUAAUGAAAUUGUGAUGAUGUUAGUACAUGAAACUUAUGUUUUUUGGCUUGUCACUAAGCGGAUGAGUAUUUUGGAUCUUCUGAGGUAUGUGGAGUGACAUUAAGUAGUGCAAUUUAAGGAUACUAAUAGGUUGUCUAGUAUAUUGAGAUGGCAUUAUGGGUACGAUUACAUGGGGCUAGAUUAUUGGAGGAUAUCAUAACAAUAUUUUUAGAUGGCUACUAUACCAUUUGAUUACGGUGAUGGUCGUGAGUUGUGGCCUACCAGGAUUGCUGAUGAAGAAUUGAUUACUACGGAAGCCAAAGCUUCUUGGAUUUUCAGGGCUGGUUCUCUAUUGUUUGGGGUCCUUAGAAUAAUGAUAUGUCACUGUUGUGAUUGAUUUCUUUUCUUGGGAUCGAUUAUUGGCAGUUUGGAGCUUUAACAUGUGGGUAUGCUUUGAUUUUUAAAUGAUGAUUGGUAUGGUUUAAAUUGCUGUUUAUUAAAUCUUUGGUGAAGGUUUACUGUUCAGAGUAUUAAAAACAAGCAUGAAACAACAUUUGGAAGUUUUGGGCCAUCGCAAGAUGAGUUUGGUGGAAUUCAAUUAGUUGUGCAUAUUAUCAAAUUUAUCAUAGCUAAUCAGUUUGUAGUUUAAGCAGCAAAGUUGGGAUGGUUUUCUUGUUUAGUUGGUGAAAUUUGAUUCCAUUGUUAUUGUUAAUUGGUAAUGGUAUAUAUCAAAUGAAAUUUUUUAAAAAAAUUUAAAUAUAUAUUGACUUUUCAACUUUUUUAUUUACUAUAUUAUAUUUUUAAUUUUUAAUUUAUAUAUAAAUUUUAUAUAUUAAGUGUUAUUCACUUUAUUUAAUUCCGGAUGAAUAUAUAUUUAUUAUUUUUUGAGAAAUUUAUAAAUUGUUUAUUUGUAUUAGAGUUUAAGGUUUUUAAAGGACAUUUUAGGACAAACAUUAAUUACUUAAAAGUAAAAUUGAAUAAAAAAAUAAUAACACGAUAAACAUGAAAUGCUAGUUUCUAAAUUUAUUAAGGUUAUUUUAAUCUUAAAAAUUUAAAUAUAUGAAUAAAAUUAUACUAAAAAAUUGAUAAGUAUAAAAAUAUUCAAAGUAAAAUGUGAUAGUUAAGGAUGAUAAAAUAAUUUGUACAUAACGUGCUUAAUUUUGCUGAAUUGCAGCACUGAUUAAAUCCAAACGGGGCAUAAUAGACUCAACCGGUUAUAUAUGCAAAUUUUUGUCAGCCAAACAUGCAACAGAUUGCCUGAAACUGAUUGCUCAAGUAUAAUAUGGAUUCUAAUUUAAGGUGAAAGUAAGUGAAUUGGUCCAGAUUUCUUGCAUUUAAUCUCGUGAACAUGAAUGUCAUUGUGCAACAGCAAUCCUUAUAAAUCUUCAAUAAAACUACUGCUAUAAUGCUUGUGGGAUUAAGAAGUUUAGGCAGUUUAUGAAAUAAAACAACAAGAAAAAUAUUUUACUAUUUUAAUGUGAUUAUGUAAUAUUGCAUAUUAAAUAUUUUUUUUCAUGUGAUUAUGUUAUAUGGUCAGAAUGAAAAGUAUAUUUAUUGAUAUGAAAUAACUUUUUUUAGAAUAUUUUCUCUUCUUGAACGCCUACGAGCACAUCAAUGUUGUCUAGCAUUAUAUAGAGCAAAUUAACUAAUGUAAUAAUUUUCUUACUUUUAAUAAAUUGAAAAUAUAUAUUAAUCUCAUUUUUUUCCUUUUACUUUUAAUAAUGAGAUCAAAAUCUAAAGGAGUAUUAGAGAUGCACAUGCAUAUGCAUGGACGUACACACUUGGUCAUAUACUUACAAUUCAUCUCCUACACAAAGAUUACAUAUAGACUAUAUCUCUAUCAGAACUCUAAAGAUCAAAAUGCAGUCUAUAUUUAUGGACAAAUUAACUUGUUUACUAAGUAAACUUGUUUAUCAAGCGGUAUCUUAGCAAAUCUCACAAAUAUUUCAAAAUAUUUUUUAUUAAAUCUUUUGAGAUUUGAGUUAAUAUUUUAGACGAACUGAAUUUUUGGUCUUUAUGUACAAUUUUCACAAGCUUAUGCCAAGAAUUGAUAAAAGCCAAGACAAUAACAAAAACCAGCUCAUAACUACGUAUGAGUAUAUGACUAACACAGGCACUGAACAGUGUCAUUUCAACAUUCAGGUAAAACCCAUCCUUGUAAAAUCCUGAUGAUCUUAUUCCCUUAUUGUAGUUAUGUAAGUUCAAGGAUAAGAAAGAAUCAUGGGAGUUAAGACAGAGGAAAACAGAAGACUGAGUCUCCAAGGAGCCUUUGGUGACUAUACUGCCCGAUGUACAUGUAUGCUGAGUAAAUAGAUAAAGUUAUUAUCUGCAUAGACUUGUAUGCUUUUUUCCGUUCACUUUUCUUAAUUUACCCUUUUUUUUUUCUGUUUAUGAAUAAUAUAUAUUUUUUUUUGGAGCAGUUCUUGGUUUGUAAGCUAUAUAAUGCAGAAUAUUUUGCAGAAAAGGGUCCUAAAGGACAUGGAAUAUAUGAGCUGUAAAAAAGACAUUACCUGAAAGGAUGAAAUGAAAGCAUCUUAAGAUUUUCUUAUGAAAGAAUGUGAACCAUUUGUUCAAUGAAAGACCAUUAAAUUUACUUGAUUAGCUAUAGUGAACUUGCCUGAGUGUUAGCUUCAGCAACAGAUCCUGGGUUUGAUGCAUCUGAACAUGCUUUCUUGUAUCUGUCAAUUGUUGCUCUGACACUGCAAAAUUAUCAACAGUCCUUCAGGUUAUUUGAAUGAGAUUGUACACCGUCUGAUCCCAAAAGCAUCAUUUCGUUCAUCAUAUGUUUAUACCCUUACUAUAGUACUUGAGUUUCUUUGUUGCAUAUACGUAACAGAAGAAAGUAGUCAAAUAUUCUGAGUUCAAUUUCCUAAUUAGAGGACUAUAUGAGGAAAAAAAAAAAACCCAUUUCACUCAAUGCUGGCGGAGGAAAGAUAACCACAUCAUUUUGUUAAAAUUCUAUGAUCCAGCCAACAGCCGCUGUUAGUAAAGUGCUGAAUUUUUGGUUCCAAAUGAUAAGGGUUCAAAUUCUGAUAGUCUUAAGUAAAAAAAAAGAAAAAAAUUCUAUGAUCUAGCAAAUAGAUUUUCAAAUUCACUUGGAAAUUAAAGAAAAUUAUUUUACAAGAUCAUCUAAGAAAGAGCAAAAGUGAUUCCAAGGAACAUAACACCAUAGAAUUAUUGCAUACUGCUCAAGCAUUUUACAAUUAUAAAUGUCAUGUUAAAAUUGUAAACAUUUGACGAGUGGCUUCUUAUACAAUAAUAGCAAAGAUGGAAUAAGAGUACCGAAACAAUGGACAAUAUUUUUGUAUUGACUACUGAAUAUCUAUCAGGCUUUCUUGUCAUGAUAAAAGGCCAAAGAAUUUGACACUCUCCAACAUAAAGGGCAGAAAGAGACAACUGCAAGAUCAAUACUCCAGAUAACCUCACGAUAAGUCUUAUACAUUUCUUAUUAGAAAUUCAUGCCUUAGAGUGAGAUGUUGAAAUCAUUCCUGAGGGUAAUAUGAAGACUUUUUGUGUGUAUAUGGACAAAACAAAAUGCAAAUGAUGCAAUAUAUUUAGUAUUUUUAGUAGUACAACAUCUCAAAAAACCAGAUACUCCAGGUCAUACAUAAUGUAGACAGAGAAUAAGAAAGAAAUAGUUUAUUGAACAAUCAGGAGUUGCUUGCACCAGAAUAUGUUUCACUUUCAUCUUUGAAACCCUUCUUUUUUGCCAUUCAUUUUGAAACUAAAUGUAGCUAUUUUCUCUGUCCACAAUCAUCAUCUUGGACUUACCUCAAGUUGAUACGAGUCUUUCUAUAAUCUUAAUCUCAAUCAUAAUCUCUAAUAAUCUAUGCAAUUAAUAUCUAUAAUCUAAGUAUAAAUAUAUACAUAUAUAUAAUCUAUAUUUAUAAAAUAUAUGGAAUCCUUUUAUCAAAAUAAAAAUAAAUAUGAAAGCCUUUUGCAGUGGAUCAUCUUCUCUUUUCUUUUCUUUUCUUUUCAUACAAAUGAUUUCUACUAAAAAAAAAAAGAUCUCUUCAAGUGGUCUACAAAUAUCUAAUGACCAAUUUCAAGAGACAACUUCAAAUUGAUCUAUACCUGUUUUAUGUUAUAAACAUCACUAUUGUCCAUAUGGCUGAUGCCAAUUUUACUUGAAAUUAGUAAUUAAUCUAAUUUUUUCACUCUAUAUAUAUCUAUGUCUUAGAAACAAAAAAUAUCCUUGAGUUGCUCUUAUUUUUAUACCAAAUCCUUCAUUGUUUACAUCAAACUGUGUUUGUAUUUAUAUCAUGUUGAGCUAGAAUAAGCCAAUGAGAUAUUAUCUCAAUGAUAAAGAGGAGAUAUUGAAACUUUUAAGUUUUAUCAUGUAUAGGUUUUAGUCAAACUUUAUGUUUAUUUUAUUUGGUUUGUUUGUUUGAUUAAUUUGUCUAUAGAGUUUUUUUUUUGUCUCUCUCUCUUUAUAUAUAUAUAUAUACACACACUACUUUUUAGUCCCGUGCUAUGAACAUGAUAGCCAUAAUGUAUGUUAGAUGAUAUAAUUUAUAAGGUAGAAAAGGAAAGAAAGAAGAAGUUUAAGUGUAGAUUACUUGAAAACAAUGAGUAAAUGUUCUUAAUUUGUUAUCUAUAGUUUAAUACAUAAUAAUAAGAUAAAGUUUUAAAUCAUAAUAACUUAUUCUGCUAAUGCAAAUAUCAAAAUAAAAUUAAAUGAAUAUAUAUAAUAUAUAUUAAGUCAAUAUUUCUAACAGUUAAUAUUAUAAAUGAUCCUCCAAAUUAUAAUGAAAUGUUUAAUAUUAUACUUAAAUUUUAAAAACUCUAUGUAUCCAAAUUAUGAAUCUAUCAAUUAACAUGGCACUUAGAAAGUUAUUUGUUCGUCAUAUAUUAUCAUUUGAAACUAAUCACGUUAGGAGUAAAUACUAUUUUAAUUAACAGAUUCAAAGUUUAAGCACCACAUAAAAAAUUUAUAAAAUUUAGGUAUCAUAUUAAAUACUUCACUAUAAUUAAAAGUCAUUCAUGACAUUAAUCCAAACUCAAAUUAAAUAUAAAUAAAUUUAACACAUUUUAAAUUUUAAUUUAAUUAAAAAUUAAUAUAAUACACGUAAUUAUUAAAUUUGAAUAAAAUCACAUCUUACUCUUACAAAAUAAUUCAAAGAAAAUAUUCAUUCAAUAUUUAAUUUUCAAGAACAUACCAAAUGAUAAUUUAAUAUAAAUUUAUUUUCAAAAUUCAAAUUUUCUCGGUUAAAUUUUUUUAGUUUAUCAAACACUACCAAGUCUUUAUAUUUGUGCAUUUUGAAAUUUCUUAUUUGAUUUUUUUUCUCUUUUCACUAAACUUCUUCUUUAUACAAUUUUUUUUUCUUCCCAUUACUUAUAAAAACUUUGUAAGAAAAUAAGCUAAUCACAAUCCUUCUUAAUAAUCUAAAAAAUAUUACUAAUUAUUUUUAAUGUCAAUAAUGUUUUAAUUUAUGAUUCUUUGCAAUUGUUUACAAUUCAAUUUAGAUAAAUGUGUUCUCUAACAUUUGUAUAAAAAUAAGGAGAUUUUAGAAUGAACCCUAAAUGAAAAAAUUAGCAUUUUUAUUUGUAUGGAUGUGUAUAAAUUAGCAUUAACAUGUAUCAAUAUAUAUAUAUAUAUAUAUAUAUAUAUAUAUAUAUAUAUACCAAAACUCCUCACCUUGUUAGUGCUAGUCCAUCAUUGUCACUUAAGCAAAUACAUCGAUGCACACAAUUUAUAAUUUUUUAAUAGUUAUAAACAGAUUGAUAUUGUUAAAAUUAAAUUGGGAUGGUUAUUUUUUAUUGUUUCAAUCUUUUCAAUUUUUUUCAUUAUUGUUACUUAUUUGUAUUGAUUGUUUUUAUAAAUGUUUUAUCUUAUUUUUUUGUUUCUUAUCAAAAUUUUUACUUCAAGUUAAUGUUGUAAAAUUGAAAAUUAAUUAAAAAUUUUUAACACUUUAAUUUCUUUGAUGUGUUUGAUAAUUUAUCUAAGGAAAGCAAUUGAUGGAAUAUUUUUAUGAAAAAAAUUUGAAAAAUAUAAUGUAGAUAAAACCUUUUUAGUAUAUUCAACAAUGUCAUUUAAGGAAAUUUUUAUAAUUUAAUUACGCUAUUGUUACAAAAAAAAAAUAGUGACACUAAUAUUAAAAAAGCCCUUGAACUUUUUUUUUUUAUUUAGAUAAAUUCUUAUAUUUUUAUUACAUCCAAAUAAAUUAUCGAUCUUUAAUUUGCACCUAAAUAAACUUUUAACUUGUAAUUGUAUCCAAAUAAGCCAUAACUUUUAAUUUAUAUCUAAAUAAGCUCUUAACAUAAAUUAUUUUUUUUAUUUGAAAUAAGGGUUUAUUUGGAUACAAAUAAAAGAAUAAGAGCUUAUUUUUAUAUAAUAGAAAUAUAAAAUUUUAUCUAAAUAAAAUAAUAAAAUUCAAUUACUUUUUUAAUAUUUUAGCCUAAAUAAAAUUCAUUAAUACACUUAUAAUAUGUGAAAACAUACAUGAUUACAAUAUGCAAACAUUUCACUCUUUUAGGAUUCAUUGUCCACAGUUUCAUCCUUUUUAUCGUCUUCUAUCUUUUUUUUUUUUUCCAUCUUUAUAGUAUUCUUUAAAAAAAAAAAAAAAACUAAAAAUAUACCAAUAAUGAACGUGUCAUGUUGGAUAUACAUGAAUUAUUGAGUUAAUUUGAUUAGUGAGUUGAUGAAUUAUGAUAUAAAAUAUAAGUGAAAAAAUAAUUAAAUUAUAUUUUCUAUGUACUUAAUCUUUCUCGUUCUAUUUAUGUUAUGCAAACAUACAGGUGAAACAUAUCAUGUAUGCAUCACAUUAUUCAAUUCAAAGUAUUUUCGAUUUUCUGUCUCAAAAUUCUUAUUAUUUUUCUUAUUGGAUUUCAUACAACAUUACAUCAUUUUAUUUAUUAUUUAUUUUUAUUUUAUGUGUAAAUAAUAUUUGCUGUCUCAAUAAGAGUCUACUAAUAAUAAAAAAAUUAUUUAAAUUAAAAUUUAUAAAAAUUUUAUUAUAAGUGUUUUAGUUAAUCACUUUUAAUACUUAUAGAAUUAAAAUUUUAUUAAAACUAUUUUAGUCAAUAACUUUUAAUAUUUUUAAAGCUCAGACUUUUAUAUAUAGCUAAUAUAUGCUAUUUUUUUUGUUUCAGGAGAGGGUAUAGCCCUUAUAAGAGGAAAGGGGGGAGAAGAUUCUGGCUCAAAACUAUUACUUUUAUGUUCUCAUAAAACUUAAAAAUUUCAGCUUUAAUUAUUUAAAUUAUCUUAACAACAUUAUUGGAAAAUAGUCAAUUCAAAAAAUUUUAGUAUUUAUUUAUCGAAUUGUAAUUAAUAACAAGUUGGAAAAUAAAAAAUUGAUUAAAAAAUUAAAUCUAGCUAGGACAAUAUAUAUAUGUGGGGUGGAGAGAUUAUGAUGUUAUCUAGCUUCAUAUCCUUAAAUCUUAUAUGCAAUCAACAGAUUUUAACAUGCAUUUCUAUACUUAGAACUAUAUGGGAUCAAGGGAUCAUGAGAAAAGAAGAAGAAAAAAAAAAGAAGGAAAGAGAGCUAGAACAAAUAUUGGCCAAAUGGCAAGGCCAAGCACUGCAGAACAAAAAAACCAGGGAGGCAGCUGUUUCCUUAAUAUUUUCGAGCUACUGAUUGGUUGCCUGUGCCACUCUGGGACAAGAUACCCCAACAUGAUUGGCUGGAAACCCUUAACUUUAUGUAAGAUGAAAAGUAUCACUGGCUAAGCCAUUCCACAACAUGUAAUGACCAGAAAGAUCCUAAAAUACCCAGAGAUCCUUUCCUUGGUUUGAUGCAGAAAUUAAAAUAAGAUAUACAAAAUGAAGAUUUUUGAAAAGACUUUGUAACUUUGGGUGGCAGUGAACCAUGAACUGCGUGACUGAUUUGUAAUAAUGAUAAUCGAAACAGUUUCAGGCUGUGCCCAAUGCUGCACGUCCAAGAAAGUGCAGAGAACCUCAUUGGUUCGUACCCUUUGUUUUCCCCCUCUCUGAUCCCCCAUCUCUCCAUCACUUCAACUUUUUAUCUCUCUCAUAUUGCCAGUAUAUAUUUUGUCUUCUAUUUUUCUAUAUUUAUCUUGAAUAUUUAUACAUAAUAACACAAAUGCUUGACUUUUGUUGAUAUUGUUUAUAAAUUUGCAUAAAUGAGUUUGGUGAGAUCUUUUUCAUAUCUUUCUUUUUAGCGUUUGUGACAUAGAAAUGGUGAAGCAUAUCCAGCCAUUAAACUUGGGAAGUUUGUUUCCCAAAAUAUGUAACUUUUUCUCUCUUUCCCUAAGUAAAUAAUUAAUAAAAAAUAAAAACCUUUCCAUUAGAUUUGGCCCAAACAAAACUAUCAAUCUAUAGAAUUCGUUGGUCUAAUAGUAGUCUGUUUUUGUUGUUUAAAAAAAAAAAAAAAAGAGAUUUUGAGGCUUUCACCUUACAUUUUCAUGAUCGUUGUGACAUGAGAACGUUGUAAAAUUUAAGCAGUAUCUUGUUACAUAAUGAAAAAGGUGAUCAAAGAAUAUUUCACCAUUUGAGAUUUAAAAAAUAAAAAAUAAAAAGGAAUAGCAAAAAGAGAAACCAAAUAAAAGGAAUCAUUGAAACCAAUGUUGUCAGUAGUGACGAACUGAAAAAUCUUGCCUGACGUGACCAAAGAUUCGUAUAUUGUAAAACUAAGACAAAACCCUAGCUUUAUCCAUCCAAAAUGGUAAGGAAAAAAUGGAGUAAAACCAGGAUUCCUUUUUGAUUUGUGUAAGAAAUUUGUUCUGGGAAUUUAACAAUAGGUAUCCGUCUCAGUUUUGAAACCCUAAUCUUCAAGUUUAACACUUCUUCUAACCAAAAAGAAGUUCAGAAGAUUAAUUGUUUGAGAAAGAAACAAAAGCCAGAUACCAAACAUUAGUGUAUAAAUUCCUUUUUUUUUAAAUAUUUUUGACAGACUAAGAUUAGAUUUGAUGAGAGAAAUACCCAUUUGGGAAAAAACCCUAAUCUAAGGUCUGAUUGAGUGACUGGUUUUGUCAUACAUCCAUUAGACCAUUACCUUAAACUCUGUCAGCUGAUUGAAAUUUGACUUGUGACGACAAACAAAAGGGACAACAAAAGACUACUCUAUGAAUCUGAGUUUUGAAAUCUGAAGUUGGGUUAACAUUUUCCUAAGAAUUAUUUAAACAAAAGAGAUGGAAGAUAUGAGGAAUGGACUAAUGAGAGCGUGACACAGUUUGUGUUUGUAGCAGUCGUUUCCUGUAUGUCAAAGAUGACAUGUGGAGCGAUAGUAAGAAAAGAGGGUCUGCUUUAACACAUAUGCUGCAUAUAUCAUUAAAACCCUAGUUGUUGCUCUUACAACUACUACUUUUACACCCAUAUGCUGCAUAUAUCACCUAUAUGCAGCAUAUCUUUCAAACAAAGAGAAAUGAAGAAAAACUAUCUAAUUGAGGCUUAGAAAAGUACAACAAACAGAACAUAAGAAACCAGGUAAAUCUUUGUUAGAUGAACUCAAUCUUUUUAGUUUAAUAGCCAAGAAAAGAAAUUUCUCAACUGCAAAAAUCCUAUGUUUUACUGCAAAAGAAAAAGUCCAUUAAAAAGAUGUCUUUAAUAGAAUAGAAGCCUAUAAGCAUUAGCAUACGUAACUCCAAACAUGAAAAAUAAAAAAGAAAAACUGAAGAAAUUUUAUUGAUGAAUCAACUGAAAAUGAAAAUAGAGACGGCCAACAUAGUUAGAAGAAGAAAGGAAUUGAAGCAAAGAAAAGCAAAGAAAGAAGCAAACCUGUUGUUAGCAUACUCAUAGAGGCGACCACGGCUGGAGAAGAUUAUGAGAGCAACCUCAGCAUCACAAAGCACAGACAACUCAUAGGCCUUUUUGAGCAGUCCAUUGCGGCGCUUGCAGAAGGUGACUUGUCGAUUAGUCGUGUUCUCGAUCCGCUUAAUCUCAAUUUUACCUCUUCCCAUUUUUUUCUGGGAAGAGCUUUCCGGUUCUUGAUUUGGAAACUCCGUGGUUGAAAGCUGAAAAACAAUCAAACCCCAAAUUUUGAUAAACUUGAAUUACAAAGAAAACUACCCUUUUGAGAGCCCUUAGAUGAAUUCGGACAACACCAAAAACACCUACUUAUACUAAUUGGUCACGUUAGAUUUUGGUUUAUGUGCUCUAACCUGGCAAGGAGACCAAGGAAUUGACUUAGGAAAACAAAGGAAGGAGAAGUUCUUGAAGUCCUACUCUUCUCUUUCUUUUGAUCAAUAUGGUUUAAUUAGAGCAACAGUUUUGAGUUGCAAAAAAUGGAAGUACGCUGCUUUGGCAGAUGGGCAUUUAUAGUCAGAAAAUUGACCCUUUAACAAUCACCCAACACUAUUUUCUUUAGUACAUUUGUGUUGUAGAAGAGGAAUAGGAGAGAAAGGGUGUUGGAACGCAAAAGAAGGAUGCUUGAUGUUCACUUUGAGAUUCCAUUAACCCUCCAUUUAUUCUUGUAUGGGAAAAAGUGAAGGGUGAUGAUAGAGGGUAUUUUGGAAAGUGACUAGCAUUCUACCAAUGGUCUUGAAUGAGACAUUGUGCUUAGCUGCCCUCAGAAAAUGAAAUUGAAUUCAAUGCACUGCAGCAGAAAAAGCUAUCAAAAUCAAAAUUAGAUGGCCUCCCAUGCUAUAGUUUGCCUUGUGAAAUUUUGGGGCUGGGCCCUUUAUUCUAGUAUUUUAUUCGGAUCCUCAACCCUUGGUUGAAACUUGAAACUUUUUGCCGUCCCUCCUUCUCAUUCUCUCUCUCUCUCUCUCUCUUACAUUAUUAGAAUUUUUGUUAAUGUAUCUGCUAAGGGCUGUGAACCACACCCUGUGACGUAACUGAGGGUGACUCCCAUGUGAAGUUCUGGUCAUCUUCCAUUCCUGGGUUCGUUUACUGUAGAUUUGGAAUGGGCAUGAUUGUGUCAUAUUUAUAAUUUAUUAAAUUCGUGUAAAACAUAAAAAAUUUAUAUUAAAUUCAUAUCGAUAUUAUAAAUAUAAAUUUUUUUUUAAUUUUUGUCAAAAUACAUAUAUAAUUUUUUAAAAAAUUUUAAAUCAUAAUAUUUUGAUUAUAUAUUUUUUAUAUUAUUUUCGUAUUAUAUCAUUAAGUCGUUUUUAAAAUUAUUGAAUCAAAUUUAUGGUAAGAACAGAAGAGACCCUUUGAUAAUUUUGCUGCACUCUAUUUCACCUGUUUGAAGAGAAAUGUAGAAGCGUGGGUUCCUCAACUUUCAAGACCCAAAUUGCCAGUACUCAUUAUCAUUGUUGCGAGCACCAACUAAGCUCCAGCUGGCAGCAAGCCGUACUAACUAAAUUCUUCUAGUAUAUAGUUUGUUUUUGAAAUCAAGCAAAGCAUCGAAGCUAAUCAUUCAUAUAAUGUUAUUAACUUGUUCUAGUCUAGAAUUCUAGAUUCUAGAGAUCUAGUGCAUGUGAAAAUGUUUGUAUGAGUGCAAUAUUUAGCCUGCAUACCAUAAUUCUUUUCCUUCAAUGAACAAAAAUAAAAAGGCCUGGUCUCUACAGUUCAAGUUCGGACGAUCGGUUUCACUUUUUGCAGAGACCAAUAAGUUAAAUAAAGCCUUAUAAGAGUAGAGGGAUGGUGCUUAUUGAUGGGGAUGGCCACCAGCAAUCAUUCCUUUUCUAUGCAACAAAAUGUAUGACUUGUUCUGCAUAGAGUGCAUAAUGUGAUACAAAUGUCAUAUAUAUGUUGGCAGAUCCAAAUAACUGGAUAGAAGUCACAACUCCAUUGAAGAGUAUACUAAGGCCAUUUUUUUUCUGAGGUGGGUACCAAAGUAAAUUAAACGUUUUAGGUAAGACAAGGAUUUUGUUUUCUGGCAAUGAACUAAAAGGAAAAAUGCUUCAAAUUACCUAAGAGAAAUUUUAUUUGUACCCAAACCUUUAUCCUAGUGGUUAAAGGUGCUUGAGGAGACAUCAAUCAAGGGCCUGGUUUCGAAUUAGACCUCCAACCUUCUCUUUACUUAUACUAAGACUUUGUCAUUUUGAUAUAAUAAAAAAAAAAUAAUUUAUUGACAGACAUGUAUGAUUUUACUUAUUGCAAUCAGCUUACAAAUUAUAGUUUAAAUUAAUUUACUUAAUUUUAAGAGAAAAGAUGAAGUUUGAUUUAGGUGGUUUAGGGUGUUUGGAAAGUGAGAGUUACCAACUAAAUUUAUUUAGGAAUAAUAAAGUAAUUUUUUUUAAUAAAAAUUUAAAUUUUCUGCUACAAUUAACAAAAUUGUUGCUGCUUAUAAAAUUUCUCUAACCUUAAUUAAAACCUGACUGCAUUUUCACAUGUUAUUAAGAAAGUUUGAGAUAAUGAGGUAAAGCGCAUUUUGUAAUUUCAAACCAUUUAGUAGGAUUUCAUUUUGAUUUAUAAAUUUUAAAUUAUUUUAUGAUAGUCCCAAACAUUUUAAAAAGAUAUCAAUAUGGUCCCUAAUCAAAUUUUGCAGGAGAAUUACAACCUAGUUUAAUAGAUUCAGAAUUAUUACUGUCUAUUAUCAUACUAUAAUGUAUUUAUUAAAAAUAAAUAAACUUUUUAGGAAUGAAACAUAACUAUAGUUUUUGCCUUAAUUUAAAAAAUUCAACUUCUGGGAAAAUAGUAAUUUAUUUUCCUUCAUAAUAAUUAUAGAAAUUUUAUUUAUUUUUUAAUAAAUACAUUUUGUUAUGAUAACAAAAAGUACUAAUUCUAGAUCCACCAUGAUUUUAUUUUCUUUUUUUAUUCUUAUUUUAUCAAAAUUUAUUUUCUCUAUAUUUAUAAAUUUUGAUCAAAGAAUAUAAGAUUAAAUCUUAUUAAAUAUAAAGCUAGAACUAAAAAAAUAAAUGAAACAUACCAAAAUGAUGUUUUAACACUUGACUAAAUAGAAUUAAACAAUAAUUAAUAAUCUUAGAAAAAUUUUUGUAAAUUAUUACUAGUAUAAUUUGAAACUCACUAAAAUUAUGCCAACCUAAAACAAAUAACUUAUUUACUACUAUAAUCUCUUGAGAAAAUAUUUUAUUAGAAAUAAUUCAUUCAAGAUCACUUAACAAAUAAGUGUAAUUCUCUUGCUUUUAAGUUUAAAGUUAUGGUUAUAAUGUAAGUUCUAUUAAUUAAGUCCUUUAGCAUAUACAAGCCUUUUAAUUUCUUUUUUCAGAAAAUAAAUGUCAACCACCCGAGUGUAGAAAUAAUUUGGAUAUGUUUCAUUUCUUUCUUUUCUGUUAAAAAUAAAUUCUAACUUUAUUUUUAAUAAGAUAUAAUUUUAUAUUUUAUCAAAUUUAUAAAUAUUGGGAAAAUAAAUUUUAAUAAAAUAAAAUAAAGGAAAUAAAAUCAAGGUAAUAGAUUUAGAAUUAUUAUUCUUUGCUAUCAUACAAAAAUAUAUCUAUAAGAAAAAAAUUUUAUAAUUAUUACGAAAGAAAAAAAAAGUACAAUUUGCCUUUGAUUUUAAGUUGAAUUUUUAAAAUAAGAUAAAAUGAUACUUCCGUUUCCUUCUAAAAUUUUUAUAAAUUUUAUUUUUUUAAUAAAUAUAUUUAAAUUAUUUGGGUACAUUUCAUUUCUUUCUAUUUUGUUAAAAAUAAUUUUUAGUUUUUAAUAAGAUUUAAUUUUAUAUUUUUAUCAAAAUUUAUAAAUAUUGGGGAAAUAAAAUUUAAUAAAAUAAAAUAAAGAAAUGAAACAAUCAAGUUGAUUGACCCAUAAUUAUUAUUUUUUGCUAUCAUACCAAAAUAUAUUUACCAUAAAGAAAAUAAAAUUCUCAUAAUUAUUACGAAAGACAAUAAAUUACUAUUUUUAACCAUGAUUUUAAGUUGAAUGUGUAAAAUUAAGGGAAAAAAUAAUAGUUUUAUUUUCUUUUUAAAAACUUUUGAAGUCUCAUUUAUUUUUUAAUGAAUACAUUUUAGUAUAUUAGUAAAGAGUAAUAAUUAUAAUCUAUAACCUUAAAUUGUAAUUCUUUUGCAAAAUUUGGUCAUAGGGCAUUUUGACACCAUUUUAAAAAGUUUAAGACCAUUAUGAAAUAAUUUAAAUUUUAGUAAUAAAAUAGAACUCAAAUGAAAAUUUUAAGACUACAAAUGCACUUUACCCAAAGUUGAGUUCAUGAGCUGAAUAAAAAUUGUGAAAGUUGUUGUCUAAUAUAUUUUGUAAUCCAACCUAAUCUAAAGAGAGAGAAAAGUUACAUAUUUAUUGAAAAUAGAGGUACCUACAACAAUUAUUGCAAUUACACCUAAUAAUUUCAUGUACGGUAUAAUGAUAUAACAUAAAAAUAAUAUAAAAAAUGAAAUUAAUAUAGUUUAAAAUUAACAAAAAUCAUAUAUAAGUUUGAUAAAUAUAAAAAAUAUAUAUUUUAUAUUUGACGUGUCGAUACAAAUUAUAAUAUGAUAAUUUUCAUGUUUGACAUUUAUUUGAUAUAUAAUAGAAAUAUAGAUAUAAGUAAAAAUAUCAAUGGGUAAGGUAUGGCGAUUAGAACAUUCUUCAUCUCGAUCAUUGAAUUUUUAUAUUAUACUCAUCAUCAUACUUAUAUCGAAUGGAUAUUUCAAAUCAUUCUCAUUUUCAUUUCCAUAACUAUUUAAUGGAUAUGAGUAAUUCUCACACCUAUAACUUUUUAAAAAAUAAAAAAUAAAAUUUAUUUUUUAACUUUUUUCAUUUUAUUUUGUAUAUUUAAGUAAUUUUUUUUUAUAAAUAUAUAGUAAUAUAUAUAUUUUUAAUAAAAUAUAUUAAUUAUAAUUAAUCAAAAAUAAUAAUUUAUAUUAUUUAAUAAAAAAUUUAUUUACUAAAUAUAUAUAAAUAUAUAUAAGAUAUGAAUACAGAAUAUGUAUUAUAUUACGUACGAGUCUAUAUCCUCGUAUCCAUAAAAAUUUAAAAUUAUAUUUAUCAUCAUCUCUAUACCCAUAAUAAAAUAUCCAUUUCAUUUCAUUUGGAUAAAACAAUCCAAAUUUUCAUUAUAUAUAAAUAAAAUUGAUAUCCCUAAAUACACUCGAUUAAUAAUUACAAUCCAUCUAAGAUAUAUAAAAGGAAAAAGGAGAAACAGAGGGAGUACAUACUAAUUUAAUUUAAUGGCAACACAAGUCACAUGACUAUUAGUGGUAGGGAGGGUAAUUAUCUACACAAAUUUAUAAAGAGAUUGAAUUAUAGGAAAGCUUGUACACACUAAAUUAUAUUAGGAUCAUUUUAAAACGGAUUGUUAAGCGUUCAAUAAAAUCUUGCCAUCUCAUAAUUUUUUUAAUAAAAAUAUUUAAUUAAUAUUUUAUGCCCCCUCACACUAAGUUAACUUUCAUUAACUCAUGAUUAAUUUAUUUAAAGAAUAAUAAACUUUUAAAAAACUAUUAAAUAUUAUCAUGAAAAUAAAAAACCCAAAAAAAAAAAAAAUUGCAAAAUGACUUUCCUUUGUUGCUUGAGUAUGAAAUACUUUUCAAUUAACAAAUGGAUUAAUAAUUGUUCUUUCUCAUAAUCUCAAGAUUUUUUUUUUUCAUUUUGAUUUUAUGUUGUUUCCACUCUAUUUUUAUUUUCUCUAGGUAAAUAAGGGGGUUUGUGUCAUGCUUAAUUUGUCUAUUCCAAGUUGUUUUGAUGGAUUUUUUCUCAUCAUAAAGGAAGGUUGUAAUGUUCAUUUUGUCCAGUCUCGUUUUAAUUUAAAUAUAAUUUGUUAUUUAUUUAUUUAUAGUUUAUUAUUAUUAUUAUUAUUUAUUUUAUUUCCUCUCUUAUUUCUCGCAUAGUCUGAAAGUCUUUAGGUGUAAUAAAUGCAUUGAAAACACCCCUCGUACCACCACCCACCAAAAUCAACUGCCUGCAAGUCCACCAUCCUAAGAGCUGUCUAACUGUGCAAUAGAAAUCACGAUGUCCAAAAGUCACUGAUAUGGCCUAAAAUUCUCCCCUCAAUCUUACAAAAUUUGAAAUUUGAAUCCCAUAUUGGUUCAAGCUUAAAAUGGGGAAUAAAAAAAAACAAAAAAAGAAAAAACCCACAGAGUAAAAAAAAACCUACAAAACAAAAAACCUAGAAAAACAAAAGAAUUUUUUCCAUCCAAAAAAAAGAGAAAUCUUAGAAAAAAAAAAAAGAGGAAAAUACAUAGAGAUGGAAAACCAUGCCCAAACCCAAAAAAAAAUUUUUAGCCUACUGAAACACAAAAAAAAAAUAAAAUUAAAAACACAAAAAAAUCCAACCCUUGGAACGGGAACCAUAGCCCCAGAAGCAAAAGAAGGCAAAACAAAAACCAUAAAGUUAAAAAAAAAUCAUUUUCUACCAAAACUUUCAACCUUGAUCUAGGCCAUUUGAGACUAGCUUUUGCAAAACUAAGGCUAGAUCGAAAGUUAGGAGGCCAAAGGGAAUUUUUUGGAGAUUUUUGAAAAUUUUUUAUCACUAGCAACGGUGACCUAUGACAAUGUGAAGGCAUGAGACAGAACCUAGACAGAGGGGCGAUACCUAGGUUUUCUCUUAGACAGAGAGAGAGAGAGAGCGUUUGAGAGUGAGUAUUAAUUAAAUUUUUUGCUUUUAACAUAAUAUAAAUUUCCAAAAUUAAAAUUAAAUUAAACAUUGCAAAAUCCUUUCUUAAAAAUUCUACAUUAUUUUAAAAACAAAAAAUAUAUUUUUAUUAAGAUAUUAUUUUACAGAUAAUUCAUAAUAAAACAUAUUAUUUUCUAGCAAAAAACCUAUUUUCUAUCAAAAUAUAUAUCUUUUCCUUUUUCCUUUUUCAAACGUAUUUUAUAAAAUAUAUUUUACGAAAAAUGAAAACAAAAAAUAAAAAUAAUUAAAGAAAAUUUGAAUUUUUUCUAUCUUAAAUAUAUUUUAAAAUAUUGUAAUUUAAAGUAAUUUUUAUUUUUGUUGUGAUAUACUUUAUCAAUAAAAUAAUAUUUUAAUAAAAAAUAGAUUUUUAAAAAGUUAAAAUUAAGUUAAAAAUUUUAAAAUCCUUUUUACAAAAAAUUCCAUAUCAUUUAUAAGAAAUUAAGUAAAAAUUUUUAUAUCAAUUUAAAGAAUUAAAUAAAAAACUCCUUAUCAUUUAAAAAAUAUUAAUUAAGUAAAUAUUAAUUAAAAAGUCUAUUUUGAAUCUAUUUUCCAUUAAAAAUUUUAUAUUAUAUAAAAUAAAAAAUAUUAUUUUCAAUAAUUUGAUUUUUUUCUUAUCGGAUCAGCAAAGGUAAAGGCUAUUAUAAAUGUUAAAUUUUAAUAAAGAAUAUAUUCAGAAUAAUUAUUUUCAAUAGAAAUUAAUUAUGAAUAGCUUCAUAUAUUUAUUUUUUUAAAGAGAUUUGAAGUUUUUAUUCAUUUUUGUAAAUUAAUGUAGAAAUUUAUACAUAAUUUUUUAAAUGACAUCAAAUUUUAUUCAAAAAGAUUUUGAAAUUUUUAACAAAAUUUCAAAUUUUGAAAAUUUAUUUUUAUUAAAAAUAAAUAAUAGUUAACUAAUAAAUUAUAUUAAAAUAAAAAACUUUUUAAAUUUAAUAUUUUAUAAAAUAUAUCUAAAAUAUAAAAAAAUUCAAGAUAGUAUCAUUUUUUGUCCCAAAAUUUUGAAUAAAAUUCUAUUUUGAUUCCUCAAUCUACCAUGUAAGAUGCCACCUAACAUCUUUCAUGUAAUGCCAGCUAGUAUUUACCAACAAUUUAAAUAGUUUCAUAAAUGAAAUGACUAAAAUAAUAUAAUUUUGAGUAAUUAAUGUCGUAACGAUUUUGGAGCCUCCCGACGAAUUUGAAAACAAAAAAUAAAAAAGAUAGAGUCACCACCAAUCUUUUUUGGCUAGGUACGAUUAGUCACCUAUUAAAAUUUAUCCUUUUAAUAAAGGUUUAAAAUUAAUUAAAAUUUAUUAAAAAGAUAAUUUUAUGAUCUGCGAAACAGUCUGGGUUCAGGAGUCGGUUACACGUGAGAAAGGAUUAGCACCCCUACAGUGUCGUUUAAAAUGGUAUCAAUUAACUAUGUGUUAUCCACUAAUUUUGAUAAAAACAGUCUUAUUUUCGGUGUUUGAAAAAUAAUUUUCUUGAUUUUCUUUGUUUUUUGAAAAAAUUUUCUUUUCUUAUUUGAUUUUAUUUAUUAUUUCAUUUUUUAUUCAAAUUUUAUUUGACAAAAAUAAAUCAAAACCCUUUUAUUGAAAUAAUUCUUAAAAUGUUCCAAUAUGUUGGUAACAUUAGAAGAACUCCUUCUCACCUAGAGAUUUCUUAGGCAUCGCUUCUCGAAAUACCUUGGAAUCUCAUUUUCGGAGGCUCAAAUUUAUCUUUUGCAAAAAACUAAGCCAUGCAUGCAAUGCAUAUGAUAAUAUGUUAGUGCAUGUAUUUUAUUCUCUUUUUUAGAAAUUUUAUUGGUUGUUUUAUUAAUUUUUUGUUAAAACUUUGAAAAAAAGAGGAACUUUUAUUAUAUUGAAGAUUUUCUAUAAAUAUUCUAAUACAUUAGUAAUAUUAAAAAAAAAUUUCACUUAGGGAUUUCUUAAAGCAUUUCUACUCGGAAUACUUUUAGAAUUCUGUCAUUAGAUAAAUUUUUUUUUUUCAUUUUUUAUUACUUUUUUUAAUUUUUUAAUUAAUUUUUAUUUAUUAUUUUAUAACCAAAAAAUUUUUUAUUGUAUUGAAAAUUUUUUAAUAAAUACUCCAAUACACCGAUAGUAUUUAAAAAAAAUCUUUUCACAUAGAGAUUUCGUAGGUAUCACUACUCGGAAUACCUUUGAAUCUCAUCGUCAGAUAAAAAAAUUUUUUUCUUUUUUUUGUAUUAUUUAUAAGAUUUAUUUAAAAAAACAAAUUUAUCACAAAUUUUUACUGUAUAUUUCAUUAUUUAUUCUUAUUUAUUAAUAUUAUAAAACAACAAAAAUUUAUUCUAGCAAAUUUAAACAUUUUAAUAUGCAUAAAUAUUAAUAAUAAAAUUAAAAAUAACAAAAAUAAUAUUUAAAAAAAUAAAAAAAAAUCACUUAAAAGUCAAUGUCGAUCUGGGCGGUUUGGCAGUCUAGUCAGGUUCAGCGGUUCGGGGCUAGUCCGGCUCGGUCUGGGUCAAUUCAGCUUAAUCGAUUAGAGGUUAAAUGAGAAGUAUGCAUCGAGUAGGAUGCGCAGAUCUCGGGUAAAGGUUGUGCUGACGUGAGGAUUCUUCGGGUCAAAACGACGUCGUUUUGACCCCUUUAAUGAAACGACGUUGUUUUAGCUUUCAACUUUCCAUAAAAGCCAAAAAAAAAAAUUUUCUCUCAUUUUCUCUUCUCCCUCUCUCUUUCUACACUCUUAAACCCUAUCUCUAGACUGAUAGGUCGAUCACCGUCUGUCGCUCUGACCGACAUCAGUGGUCAUCGAUCGAUCACCGAAAAAUACUCAAAAAACACCAAAACAUUUCCUUUAACUCCUUCUCAUCGGAUCCGACCUCUUUUUUCACCGAAAAUAGCCCCGAUCAAUGUAGAUUGGGGUUUAAAGUUUCAACCUCCUUAUUGUUUUAAACUAAAACUAACUAUUUUAUUUUUUUUGUUUUGCAGGUUUUGCUUGGCGCUGGGUUCCUCGUCGAACUAUGAUUUUUGUUUGAAUAGUUUUUUUUUUGCCAAGAAAUUUUUUUUUUAUUUUGAAAACUUUUUUUUUACAAGAUCCCUUCCCUUUCCUCUCUGUCUUUUUGGGGUCAGCAAGGAGCUUUAUUUUUAGAGCUUUCGUCAUGGCCUUGUGCCUAGACAGGUGGCAUAAGUUUGAUAGAAAUGGGUGUCAUGUACAGCAUUCCAGCACCAACCUUUCUGCCUCUUUUUGUUUAUUCUAUUUUAUCUAACUUUGGCCUUGUGCUUGGGUAGAUGGCAUAAGGCAUAGCAGGGGGUGGUGCUGUGCACGGCACCAGGCACCCCCUGCUUUGUUUUUUCCUUUUCUUGUAUUUUUUGUUUGUCUUCUUUUUUUGUUUGUUUUUUUGUAUUAUUAUUAUAUUUAAUAAUAAUAUUAUCUUAUUAGUAAAUUUGAUCAAGGUCUGACAAAUUUGAUAUCUACAGUUACCUCUCUUUACAUAUUGUUGAGAAUCAAGAAUAGUGCAAAACAAAGACAUCAAUUUUAUUCGAGAAAGGUUUUCUUUUUUUUUUUAUACUUAAACUAAUUAGAAAGCUUUUCUUAUCAAAUCGAAAUGCUUCUCUUACUCGAGGCUCGACAACUUUUGAAAAUUUAAAAUCUAAAAAAGGCUCAUCUCAGCAGAGGCUUAACAACUUUAAAAAUUCUAUCUUGAAAAAGCUCAUCUAAGUAGAGGCUCAACAAUUUUAAAAUCUCAUCUUAGAAAAAGCUCCUUUCCACAGAGGCUUAACAACUUUAAAAUUCUAUCUUGAAAAAAGCUUCUCUCAAUAGAGGUUCCACAACUUUAAAAAUUUUCAUCUUGAAAAAGGUUCCUCUCAGUAGAGGCUCAAUAAUUUUAAAAAUUCUAUCUCGAAAAAAGCUCCUUUCAGUAGAGGCUCAACAACUUUAAAAAAUUCUCAUCUUGAAAAAAAGUUCUCUCAGCAAAGGCUCAAUAAUUUUAAAAAUUCUAUCUUGAAAAAAAGCUCAUCUCAGUAAAAGCUCAAUAACUUAAAAAAAUUCUCAUCUUGAAAAAGACUCAUCUCAACAGAGGCUCAAUAACUUUAAAAAAUUUAUCUUGAAAAAAACUCAUCUCAGCAUAGCCUCAACAACUUUAAAAAAUUUUCAUCUUGAAAAAAAAGCUCUUCUCAGUAGAGGCUCAACAACUUUAAAUUAAACCAUUAAAAAAUAACUUCAAAUAUCACUAUCAAAGGAUAAAUAAUCUCAGAUAUCACCAUCGAAAAGAUGCAAAUGACUUUGGAUGUCAUCACCGAAGGAAACUCGAAUAUCACCAUCGAGAAAAUGCAAUUCAAGCUUUAAUACUCAGGUAUCACCACCGAGAAAAUGCAAAUGCAAAUUCAAACUUUAAACUCGGAUAUCACCAUUAAGAAUAUACAAAAGAUUUCGGAUAUUGCCAUCGAAGAAAACUCGAAUAUCACCAUCGAAAAAAUGUAAUUCAAGCAUUAAUACUCGGAUAUCACCAUUGAGAGAAUAUAAAUGCAAAUUCAACCUUUAAACUCAGAUAUCACCACCAAGAAUAUGUAAAAAACUUUGAAUAUCGCCAUCGAAAGAAACUCGAAUAUCCCCAUCGAGAAAAUGCAAUUCAAACUUUAAUACUUGGAUAUCAUCAUCGAGAGAAUACAAAUGACUUUUUUAAUACUUGGAUAUCACCACUGAGUGAUUUUGAAAAUGUCUUGGAUUUCACCUCCAAGAAAAUGCAAAUGCAAAUUUAAACUUUAAACUCAGAUAUCACCACUGAUUGAUUUUGAAAAUGUCAUGGAUAUCACCACCAAGAAAAUGCAAAUGCAAAAAUGCAAGUGCAAAUUUAAACUUUAAACUUGGAUAUUACCACUGAUUGAUUUUGAAAAUAUCUUGGAUAUCACCACCAAGAAAAAGCAAAUGCAAAUUUAAACUUUAAACUCAUAUAUCACCACCGAUUGAUUUUGAAAAUAAUUUAUCACAAUAUUUUCCUUGACUAAUGUCGAUUCACUGGGUUAACAACUUUCUUGCUAGCUAGAUUGGGCUUAAAACUUUCAUCUUGUACCAUCACAUCUUGAUCUUUUGAAUAUGUUUCUACCUUUUUUUUUUUACAGGUAACAAGCUUUAUUUAUAAAGCUUUUUGGAAUUCAAAUCCCAAAUUUUUUGGGAUUCAAAUCUCAUAUUUUCAACCGACGUGUUAGACUUUUGGUAGCUGAGAUUCACAUUGUCAAGUUAGGCAAGGUAUCAAGUGGCUGUCGUUGGUGGCGGUGGUCGUGAUUUUGGACUUUAGGGAGAGUGCAUUUAAUGCACUCAAAAUUCUGUCGAGCAAAAUCAAAAAAGAAAAUAUAUAUAUAUAUAUAAUAAUAAUAAUAAUAAUAAUAAUAAAUACAAAAUGGUGCUUACAGCUGCUCCUCUUUACUUAUUUCUGAGAAUCAUAAAUAAGACAAAGACAAAUGAACAACCAUUUUGUUCGAAAAAGAAGAAACAUUGAGCAUAAAAUCUUUUUUUUAAGGGUUCCAGAAGUUCAACAACAUUUUUUAAAAUUUAAAACGCUCAUCUGAGCAGAAGCUCAACAACUUUUAAAAAUUUAAAAAGGCUCCUCUAAGCAAAGGCUCAACAACUUUAAAAUUCAUCAUCUUGGAAAAGCUCCUCUAAGUAGAGGCUCAACAACUUUUAAAAAUUUAAUAAGGCUCGAAAUCAAGUUCUCAUCUUUAAACAAAUAAAUUUCUCUUUUUUGAAAUCUUUUGUUUGACCAUUAUCUUCAUCCGAAUAUCAAAAUCUUGCUUUUCAUUAGGAAAUGAAAAGUCUUUAUCCUUAUUAUAAAUGCUCAUAGAUGCAUGUACUGAGUGCUUUAAAUGCAAUACAUGUAAUGCAAUCAAAAUUAUUUUUUGUAGUAAAAAGGUUCUCAAAAUCUCUCACUUUUUGCUUCUUUUAUCACAAUUCUUAAUAAUUGUCAUAUGACCAAUCUAUUCUUAACAUCUGACCGUUGUAUUCUUCUCUAAUGAUACUUUUCUUCUUCAAAAGUCUGUAACAUUAAUGUCUUAUCAUGCCUUUCUCAUCUUUUUUCAUCUGUCUUUACCAACUUUUAAAAAAUAGUGCUAAAAUAUUUCAUGUUUGUUUUUUUUUUUAUCAUUUUAAGUUCAAAACAAACAAAAUGCAAUCACACAUUACUCCUAUUUGUACGGUGAACAAAAAUAUUAAAUGAGAAUAAAAGAAUGGAUAGGCGUUAUUUCCAAAGAAAAAAUAGCAUAUUUCAUUAGAUGACAAAGUAUUUGAGUCGAAAUAAAGGUGCCCAAAUAAUGAUCAUAAGAUAAUUAUGAAUAAAGUAUUCCUAGAUUCUUUUUUUAAAACUAAAUCAAAUGACUUGAUACUUCAAAGUUCGUCAAACUACACUUACCCCCUAUGUUGUAAGUACAUCCAAAUACUUUUUUCAGGUUUUUAGCUUAGAUGAGUCAUUAUUUUUCAUUUCUUUUUGACUUUUUUCUUUUUUUUUUCAAGCAAGAUAUUUCUUCACAGCAUUUGAAUUUAUCGGAGUAGGUAAAUCACUUCCGUCUAUUUAUGCUAAAAUCAAUACCCCACUAAAAAAAGGCCUUUUUCACCACGUACGAACUCUCUCAAUUUGGUGUCCAUUUUUUUCGAAUGUCAUGUUGAUUUGGAAGGAUCUUUUUCAGUACUAAGUCUCCUUCCCUAAAGUGAUGGGGAUGGAUUCUCUUGUCAUAUGCUCUCAUCAUCCUCUUUUGAUAUAAUUGACCAUGACAAAGUAUUGUAAGUCUUUUCUCUUUAAUGAUAUUCAAUUGUUCAUAACGAUUUUGAACCUAUUCUGCUUCCUCUAACUCUAUCUCCAUCAGGACUUUCAGCGAGAAAAUUUUUACUUCGACUAGUAGUACAGUUUCCAUUUUAUAUACCAAAGAGAACGGGGUGGUGCCAAUAGAUGUUCGGACUAAUGUUUUAUAAACAUGCAAAGCAAAAGGUAACUUUUCAUACCAAUCUUUGUAAGUGUCAGUCAUUUUCUCUAAGAUUCUUUUAAUAUUUUUAUUUGCAACCUCCACUGCCCCAUUCAUCUUUGGACGAUAUGGUACCAAAUUAUAAUGAUGGAUCUUAAAUUAAAUGCAUACUUCAUUCAUCAUUUUUCUGUUCAAAUUUUUGGCAUUAUCAGAAAUAAUCAUUUUUUAAAGCCCAUAUCUACAUAUUAUCUAUUUUUUUAUGAACUUGUAUACCACAGAUUAGGUCACACUAGCAUAUGAUGCAGUUUCUACCUAUUUUGUAAAGUAAUCAAUUACCAUAAAGAUGAAUCUAUGCCUAUUUAAAGCUUUUGGAGUGAUGGGAUCGAUGACAUCCAUAACCUACAUAGAGAAUGACCACAAAAAAACCAAAACGUGUAAUGUUGUUAAAAGAGCAUGGAUCUUGUCAACAUAGAUCUGACACUUAUGGCAUCUUCUAACAUAAUUAAUAUAGUUUUUCUCUAUUGUCAACUAAUAGUAACUGACCCUUAUAAUUUUCUUAUCCAUCAUAUGACCAUUUGCAUAUGCCCCACAAACUCUAUCAUGUACUUAUUCAAUAAUCCUUUUCGUUUCAGCUGCAUUCACACAUCUUAAGAGUAUUUGAUCUUAAUCAUUUUUAUAGAAGACAUCUCCAUCUAGGAAAAAACUCAUAGCCAACCUUCUGAUAGUCCUCUUAUCAUUUUUUGUUGCAUGUUUUGGGUAUUGCUGACUUUUAAUGUAUUGUAUAAGGUCAUGAUACCAUGACUUCCCAUCAACUUCUUCUUUAACACCCGAAUAAUAUGCUGAUUCAUCCUUCACAUCCAGUUUGAUGGGUUGGAUUUCAAUAUUUGUAUCUAUUUUAAUCAUUGCAACUAGAGUAGCUAGUGCAUCAAUAAUUUGGUUUUCCUCUCUAGGUAAAUGCUCAAAUUAAACUUCUUCGAAUUGUUUGACCAACUUAAAAAUGUAUUUAUGGUAUCGGAUCAACAUGGAAUCUCUUGUUUCCUAUUCUUCUCGUAACUAAUAGAUGACUAGAGCUAAAUUUCCAAACACAUCUACUAUUUUGAUCUUUUUUUCAAUCGCUGCUCAUAGACUCAUAACAUAGGCCUCGUAUUCAGCCAUAUUGUUUGUCCAAUUGAAAUUCAAUCUGGCUGUGAUAGGAUAAUAAUGUUCAUAAGGAGAUAUUAAAAUUACCCCAAUACCAUAGCCUAAAGCAUUAACAGCUCCAUCAAAAUACAUCCUUUAAGACUUCUUAACAGGUUCAUUUUUUUCAAUGGCCAUCACAUCUUCAUCAGAAAAAUCCAGUUUCAUGAGUUCAUAAUCUUCGGUUGCAUGAUUGGUAAGAAACUCGGUUAUCGCACUUCUUUUAAUAGCCUUUUGAGUCACAUAAACAAUACCAUAUUCUGAAAGCAUAACUUGCUAUCAUGCUAUUCUCUCUGUCAAUGAAGGCUUUUCAAAAAUAUAUUUAAUAGGAUCUAACUUUGCUAUGAGCUAAGUAGUAUGAUAAAACAUGUAUUGUCGAAGCCUUUGAGCUGUUCAGGCCAAUGCAUAACAUAUCUUCUCUAAUAGAGAAUACUUAGACUCGUAAUCAGUGAAUUUCUUGCUCAAAUAGUAAAUUACUCAUUUUUUCUGUUAGUUUUAUCUCUUUGCCCCAACACACAUCCCAUUGAAUUUUUAUGCACUUUAAGUACAAAAUCAAAGGUUUUUUCGAGAUUGGUAGUACCAACACAGGUAGAUUUGACAAGUAUUCUUUAAUCUUAUCAAAAGUUUCUUGACAUUCGUCAUUCCAUUCUCUUGGAUCAUGUUUUCUAAGAAGCUUAAAAAUAAGAUUGCACUUAUAGGUGAGUUGAGAGAUAAAACGAGCAAUAUAGUUCAAUCUCCCUAGGAAACCUCGCACUUGUUUUGGGGUACGAAGAUGAAAUAAGUUCUGGAUGGCUUGUAUCUUAUCCGAAUUCAUUUCGAUUCUUCUUUCACUAAUCACAAAGCCUAAUAAUUUUUUUAAUUUGGCACCGAAUGUAUAUUUAAUAGGAUUCAACUUUAGCUUAAAUCUUCUCAACCUGUUAAAUAACUUUUUGAGAUUAACUACAUGAUCUUCUCUUUUAUGAGAUUUAUGAUCAUAUCAUCUACAUAUAUUUUUAUUUUUUUAUGCAUCAUAUCAUGAAAGAGAGUCACUAUUGCUCUUUGAUAAGUGGCACCAGUAUUUUUCAACUAAAAAAGAAUGACUUUGUAACAGAAUGUCCCUCACAUGGUCAUAAAUAUGGUUUUCUUUAUAUCAUCUUGAGCUAUCUUGAUCUGAUUAUAGCCUAAAAAACCAUCCAUAAAGGAAAAUAUAUAGUGCCUAGCAAUAUUAUCUACUAGAGUAUCGAUAUGGGAUAGAAAAAAAUUAUUCUUGGGACUCGUCCUAUUCAGGUCCUGAUAAUCGACACACAUUCUCACUUUUCUAUCCUUCUCAAGAACUGGCACUAUAUUGGUUACCCAUUUCGGAUAUUUUGCCACCUCCAAAAAUUUAAUAUCAAAUUGCUUCUUCACUUUUUCUUUAAUCUUCAACAACAUCUCUAGCUUCAUACACCUUAACUUUUGCUGUACCAACUUGCAUUCUAGUUUCAAAGAUAAUUUAUGCUCUACAAUAUUAAUGCUGAGUCUCGACAUAUCCUAGUAAGAUCACAUGAACACAUCCACAUAUUCUUAAAGCAGUUAUUCUAACUUCUACCUUUCAGUUGGCAAAAAAGAUGUACCAACUUUGACCUCUUUUUUAUUUUUACCGUCUCUCAAAUUCACUAAUUCGAUAAUUUUUUUUGGGAUUCAAUUAGCUUAUCUUCACGUUCUAUUAAUUUUAACAAAUUAAGAGGCAGUGUGUAGUUAUCUGAAUCUUUUUCAUUAUCAAGUUCAUUAAUAUGAAUUAAGUUUUUGAAAUCAAAUUUGAGAUUAUUGCCAUGAUUAUCUUUGAAACCCUGCAAAGGGUAAAAUGAAGAGAACAUUGGCACACAAAAAUGAAAUUGUAAGAAAAUGAUUAAGACAGAAUGAAAAGGGAAAUGAUAUAAACGAGUGAAAGUGAAAACAAAUAGAAGAAAUACGGAUGCAUCUUUUAAGUCUUUUAUUAAAACAACAAAUGUAAACAAGUCACAAAAGAUCUCUUAAUGCCCAUAAAAAAUGAUUAAAGAUUUAAAGUUUUACAGUACCUUACUUCUCAAAAGUUUUAAAGGCAACAAGCAGCUCUAUAACUUUUCAAUUAUCGAACUCAAAAUCUAAAGGAUAAGGGUGCACAAAUAACUCUUCAUUUUAGCUAUUCUUUUCUCUACCAUCCGCCAUUUGAAUGGCUAGCUCUAAAAACUCUUCCAUGAAUUUUGCAUUUAGGGCUUCAAGUGAAUUUGGGUAGAUACAUCCUCCCGAAUAAAAAGAAUCAUAGAGGUAGGGAAAGACCAUGGGCUCUAACUUUAGCUCAUAUCCCCCAAGAUUAGCCCUACUCUUAUCUUUUUUCUUAUUCACCAUUUUCAUUCUGUCUCAUCUUGUUGGCUUAUAUCCUAAGCUGAAUCUAUUUUUCUUGUCAUAUACUACUAGUGGCUUUAUGAUUCCUUACAAGUUUUUUUCUAAUCCAAUUUCAGAUUGCCAUCCCAUUCCAAUGAGCUGUUUAAUGACCAUUUUAAAAGUCGUAGACAGGUGUGAAGAAUAUAAUUUAGAUCUUUCAGCUAUAUAUGUUACGUUAGUAACUUAAAAGAUCUAUAUGAGCACUCUAAGACUUUAUCUGUUACUUUUACAUAAGGAGUAUUUACCGGUUUGGUGACCAGUAAAUCUUUUCUCUUACCACACAUGUCAAAUUUUCAUCAAUAAUGAAUUUAACUUUUUGAUGCAAUGAGGAUGAAACAGCACUCGUCAUAUGAAUCCAUGACCUAACUAACAAGCAACUGUAUGAGGAAGAGAUAUCCAUAAGUUAAACUUUCAUGUUGAAAGUGCACGAACCAAUUUGUAAUGGCAUUUUUAUGUCUCACAGCAUCUCUCUUUGGGUCUCAUCAAAGGCUCAAACUAUUGUAUGACUAGGUUUCAUGUAAGUUUUAUCCACAGAUAGUUUUACCAGAGCAGUCAUAGGCAUAACAUUAAUGGAUGAGCCAUUAUUGAUCAAAAUCUUAGCUAUUAUAUGACUCUUGAAUUUUACAGUAAUGUGAAAAGCCUUGGUACUUAUUCGAUCUUUAGGAAGAAUCUCUUCAUCACUGAAAGAGAUAUAGUUUGAAAUUGUCAGAUUGCCAACAAGCCGUUUUACGUAUUCAACAGAUAAAUUAUGAGACACAUAUGCUUGAUUAAGCACUUUCAGUAGAGCAUUACGGUGUGACUCUAAGCUUAGUAAUAAUGACAAUAGCAAAAUUUUAGCUGGCAUCUUAUUCAACUAUUCUACCAUACUAUACUCACUAUAUUUUAUUAACUUUAGAAAUUCAUAAGCUUCACUCUCAGAGACUGACUUUUAACAUCUUUAUCUGGGACUACAACAUGAUUAUUCUGACAUUCCUCUUUUACUUUCUCUUUUUUGGCUUUCUCUAAAGCUUUUGGAGUAUAACAUCUUUCACUUCGAGUUAUACCUCUUAUGUCCAUUUUGUUCGCAGUAUCUAGAUUGACUACGAUAUGACAAUUGUACUUUUAUGGUACUGCUUUAUCAUUCUGGUAUGAAAAAGGACUAGAAACUUUAAUUGUCACUAUUGGUCGGGAUAUGGAUUUUUUUAACCUCGAUGUUGACUUCUCAUCAUAAUAAAUUGUUACUGGUCUACACAUAAACUUAUUCUUUGAAUCAAUGGUAGACACUUCAUCUUUCAUUAAUUCUUUUUUUUCUUCGUAAAAUUUUAUCUGACCUAUAUUCAUCAACUUCUGCACCUCUUGACGAAAUUGAUGACAACUUUCGAUAGAAUGCCCCAAAGCACCUUUAUGAUAAUUAUAGCUUUCAAUUGACUUAAUUGCUUUAGAGUAAUUCUGAGGUUCUAUUGACUUUAACAUAUCAGCUUUAACCAAGACUUCAAACACUUUAGCCAUCAAAGUCUUAACUUCAUCUAUUUUUUCCUUCAUGUGACUUCUUUGCCCAUCAAUUAAGGUAUUUAUUGAUGGUUUGGCAUGGUUCAGUAGAGGGUUCCCAUUAACAUUUGGAGUCUCUUAUUGGUUGGUUUAAAAGUUUAACACCCCUUUAUUGAUUAAUCAUUACACUUUGAGCUUUAAAAUAGUACAAUUCUCAAUGGAAUGACUGGGUUUCUAUAGUGAUAAUCACAAUGCACGUUGGGAUCAUACCAUUUGGGAAACAGAGGUUUAAAGGUUCAACAAUAACAGAAGCGAGUAAAUGUUUCUCAAUAAGUCAGGGAUACAAAUCUGUAUAUGUCAUGGGAAUGGGGUCGAAGAUAGAUUUUUCUUGGGUAUUUCUUAGGGCUUUUGGACCAUUGUUUGGACUAGGUCUCCAUUCUAGUCUGGUAAGUGCAGCAGGAUGAUUAUAGGAAUAGGUGGGUGUCCAAAAAGAUAGCUAAAACUGAGAUAAAUAAGCUGAUUGUGAUAAUGGUUGGUAUGGCUGAUAUGGAUGAGUAAACGUAACAUUAUUUAUGAAAGGGUAAUGGGUUUAGUAGACUGGUGCAGGAUAGGGCGUGAAAUCUCUAAAUUAUUACCCCAAGUAGUUCACCGUUUGAGCUUCAUUCUAUUUCUUUUUUGAAACUUCACCUUUCUUUGCUCCACUCAUUUUUCAUGCAUUGAGCUUACCAUUCUUUAUAGCAUUUUUAACAAUCUCACCUGAUAUCACUAUAUUUGUAAAGUUCUUGGUUACAUUACCUAUCAAUCUCUCAUAGUACGGUACUUUCAAAGUGUUCACAAAUAAGAUAAUUAUCUCUUUCUCGGUGAAAUGAGGUUGAACUUGUGCAGCCAUAUCUCUCCACAUUUAUACAUACUCUUUAAAACUUUUUAUUAUUUUUUUUCAUACUUUAUAGAGAUAGACGGUCUGAAAUCAGAUCCGUGACAUGCCAAUAUUGUGUAAAGAAUGCCCCAGUGAGCUCUUGCUAGAAAUGAAUACAAGCUUUAUCUAAUUGGACAUACCAUCUAACUAUAGAUCCCGUAAGGUUAUCCUAAAAUACAUGGAUCAACAACUUCUCAUCACGAGCAUAUGUUGUUAUCUUACGAUAAUACAUAGUGAUAUGGGUCAUCGAACAUUUUGUGUCAUCAUUUUUCUUAAAUUUAAAGACCUUGAAUUUAGGUGGAAUGACCACGUCUGGGACCAAACAAAGGUCGGCUGCAUCUAUGGAGCCAUAAAAAUUUAUUCCCUCUACGGCCUUAAGUUUUUCUUCUAAUACUUUCAUCUUUUGUUGGGCAUUGGUAUCUUUUACUUUCUCGAGUGUCUACAUCCCUAGUUUUCUCUCUUCUUGGGAUUAUCCAAGUCAAGAAUUAAGAUUGGCUCGGGUGAUUUUUUCAUCAUAAUGGGAUUAACAAAAUUUUGGAAUUAUCCUGAAACAAGUGUGGAUGUCAUUUUUGGAUAAGGAUUGAGAUAUUCACUGGAGUAAGAAUUUGUACUCUAGUUCUUUGAGAAGGUUGGGUCGAUUAUAGCUCAAAUCUUAAAGGGUAAACAAGAUCUACCAUAUAUGGUAAUUGCUCUUAAAAGCUAGGAUUUUCUUCUACUGCUUUUUCCUUGUUAGGUUUCUUGAGCAUAUAUAUUAUUACACUGAAAUCUCCUCUUAGUUUUCCUUAAGCUUUCUCAAUUCUCUCAAAUUGAUCGACCUAUUCUUGCUUAAUGAUUCUUGUUUGAGUCCUAGUAUUGUAUGAAUGAUAAAUAAGUUGGUCAAAAUUUUUGGUGGGCGAGCUAUUCUUGAACCUUUAUUACCACAAAGUUUUUGUUUUUUUUUAAAUCAGAAUGUUGUGUUGAAAAUUUUAUUUUUUUUACUUAUUUUAUGAAAAUGAUGUACUUAAUGCAUGAAUGCAAGUGGGAGAUAUUUGCUCUUGGAUGAAUUUUAACACUAAAAAUUUUUAUUGAUUCCAUACAACUUUUAUUACAUAGGAUUUACCAUCUUAGAAUUAUAUCCAUAGAAGUAUUUGACUUAUUCAUAAUGGUACUUCACCUCAUAUAAAAAGUUCACUAGGCGCUAUUCAUAUUCUCCUAUGGGAUUAACUUCUCUUCUUAACGCUUCUACCUUUUCAACCAUCUCUUAUGCUUUCGUCACUACCUUGUAAAUUUGAUUAGUCAGGUACUCUAUGUACUGUUGCCUCCCUAAGCUUUCUAUUUUCCAUCUCAUGCGAGCAUUUCUUUCUGAAUCACAUGUAAAAAUCUAAUCUUUUUUCCUUCUAUGCCAUUCAUCUAUUAUUGUUAAAAUAUGGCUCUUAUGGUUUUGCAAUUGCAUCUCUAACCCUUGGAUCACCUAAUGAAAUGAUUCUUUUUUAUUCAGUAUUUCAAAGUACUUUCUUCUCUCUUUUGCGAGCAUGGCUUUCAACCUUUCCUCUUCUUUUUGACAUUCCACCAAUCUUGUUGAGGUUGUAGAGUAUAACCCCUUCCAAUUUUAACUUUCUUAAGAAAUUUUGGUGGUUUCCUUUUGCUUUUCUUGAGCUUUGCUUUUCUAUUGGUUCAUUUUCUCUUGGAGCUCACCCAUUUCGCGUUGUCGACUAAGGUAAGACUUGGUGACUUCUUCAAUUUUAAAUUGAACUCGUAACCUCUUAUUUUCUUGAUGCAGAUAUUUCAAAUCAUUGUUGGCUACAUCUCGUUCUGUUAUGAUUUUUGUCAAUCUACUCCCUUGUAUUUUUGCUUCAUAUUUUAACUAUUCUACCUUCUUACGAAGUCUCAAAUUUUUUCUUCUUAUUUUUUCUUUUUCAGCUUCUAAUUCUUUUUUUGACAAGUUCGACUUCUGAUAAUUGCACUUCUACUGAAAGAUUAGUCGAUUAAUGUGAGCUGUCAUCAGGAUAAAGUAUUAUGUCUCUAAGCUAUUUUACUUUUCAAAUUUGAUAACCAGGGGUGACUUUGUCGAUAAGAGGCUCUAAUCUCAUUCUUCAUGUUUUCUUUCAUGCUUGAAUCAACUGCUCCAAGGUUCUUGAUGAAUUUGGUUCCCCGUAAAUGAAUUCUACCUGAACCAGGCCAUGAAUAGCAGGAACAAACUGCUUUGCACUAAAUUACCUAUAUACCAUCAACGGAGUGUAACUUACAACACCUCAUAACCCUAACAGUGGUAUCCACGACUCGUUUCCUUCACGAUACAAUAAAGGCAUAUGAGGCAUCCAAGGCACCAUCCAUUCAAUUUCAUCAUUGGUAAGCUUUCGUAAGAAAAGGACCCAUUCUUAUUUAGUCUUUAAUAUUGGCCAUCGACUUUUACAGAACUCUUCGAUUGGUGCUUGUUUCGUAGAUAUGGCUUUGAAAAUGCAUUAUUCUCAUACUUAAAGUGACUUCUGACUCAUACAUAUAAUAGUUAUGCAUAUCGUAUGAACUGUCCUUUUCUAUUCCAUCGAUAAAAAUUCAAUGACUUGAUAGUUUUAGCUAGGACUGCUAGAGCGAGAUUAAUUGCUUGGGUUUUAAUUUGCUUAAAAAGGUCUACCACAGUUAUCUCAAUGUAACCCAAAGUCUUCGAAAAGACUACCAUGCCAUACAAUGCUAGAGCACACACAGUCAUACCUUGAUCAUCAUUUAAAUGCCCUUGAAUGAAGUUUCAAAAAAGUCUCAACAGAUGCCAAGAUGUUCAUAUUUAAGCUUUGCGAAUGAAUCAAUGGUUUCCACUUUAACCCUCAUAAGCUUAGCUAACUUUUUACGAUAAUCUGAUUUCAACUUUUAAGUAAACACUUUAUCUAGACACUGUAUUUCUAUUCCAAGCAAAAUCGAAUACCCUUCAAUAGUUGACACCAAAUCUUCUUGAUUAAAAGUGAAGCAUCUAUAGGAUGGAUCUCAAAACUAUAUAGCUGCCCUGACUAGCUGUUCAUCGAUCACUACUGAAAUGAGGGAUGCAAUUUACUUGUACUUCUUGUAAAAGCUUUUUUUUUCUUCACUUAACUGACCCCAGAUAGCAGCUAAGUCUUCUAAAUCAUUUUGUGUGAGAUCCAAAUAUACCUUUUUGGAUAACUCAGACACAUAGUCGAUAGGCAAGCAAUCUCUAUUCUUUUGUUAGGCUACUUUCGACCAAACAUGUACUUCAUUAUACGACUCACAUAGGACACUGAUUGAGAAUGAGCAAAUUUGUAGUUUUAUGGGAUCCAUGAAAACUUCUUAGGAGAAAUAUGUCCUAGAGCAAAUAUCUCGAUGCAAAACUAUAUGAUAUGAUUAAUGCAAAAAAGAAAAAGAAAAUGAAACAAAAUUGAGUUAGUGUGAGGAUGCAGUUUGAGAAAAACAUUUUUUUGAGUUUUAAAAAUUUUUUGUUUUGUUUUGUAGUGCACAACUUUUAUUCUUAGGUAUUUCCUACAAUAAGGUGGACGAGGCUCUAGCUAAGGCUAAUUUCCUAGGCUUAUUACAUGCUGAGUUUGGAUUGACAUGUGUCUAAAGGUUCCUAAAUUAUUCCUCAUUGUCAUCCACGCUAGACUGGUGAGGCACAUCGAUCCUCACCCAUUCAAGCUACGGAUGGAAAUGUUUCAAUUUGAAUGAAAGUAUUUCAUUUGCCAUUGUGGAGGUUAUCACCUCACAAGGGCAUAGGUACUCUACUUUCUCCUAUAAGGGAUAGAGCCCCGGUAUAAAGCUCAUGUAUGAAAUGCAUCGUGUUAUUGUGUGUGCAAAUAUAUUCUAAUUUAUUGAAAGUAACAUAUACAGAAAAAUAAAGCAUAAGAGGCAUAGUAAAAGAAAUAUGUGUGAAUUUUGAAAUCGCCCAACGAAUUUGAAAACAAAAAAUAAAAAAAAAUAGAGUCGCCACUAAUCUUUUCUGGCUAGGUGUGAUUGGCCACCUAUUAAAACAUAUCCUUUUAAUGAAAUCUUAAAAUUAAUUAAAAUUUAUUUAAAAGAUAAUUUUAUGGUCUGCAGAACAAUCUGGGUUCGAGAGUCGAUUACGUAUGAGAAAGGAUUAGCACCCCCACAGCGCCCGUUUAAAACAGUACAAAUUAACUAUGUGUUAUCCAUUGAUUUUGAUAAAAAUAAUCUUAUUUUCGAUGUUUAAAAAAUAAUUUUCUUAAUUUUUUUUGUUUAUUGAAAAGAAAUUUUUUUGUUAUUUGAUUUUAUUUAUUGUUUCAUUUUUUAUUCAAAUUUUAUUUGAGAAAAAUAAAUCAAAACUCUUUUAUUGAAAUAAUUCUUAAAAUGUUCCAAUACGUUGGUAACAUUAGAAGAACUCCUUCUUACCUAUAGAUUUUUUAGGCAUCGCUUCUCGGAAUACCUUAGGAUCUCAUCUUCGGAGACUCAAAUUUAUUUUUCGUAAAAAACUAUGCCAUACAUGCAAUGCAAUAUGUUAAUGCAUGUAUUUUAUUCUCUUUUUUAGAAAUUUUAUUAAUUUUUUUGUUAAAACUUUGAAGAAAAGAAGAACUUUUAUUAUAUUGAAAAUUUUUAUUAAAAAAAACUUCUAAUACACUAGUAAUAUUAAAAAAAAUCUUUUCACCUAAAGAUUUCUUAAAGCAUCUCUACUCGAAAUACUUUUAGAAUCCCUUCAUUGGAUAAAAUUUUAUUUUUUCUUAUUUUUAUGACAUUUUUUAAUUUAUUAAUUAAUUUUUAUUUAUUAUUUUAUAACCAAAAAAUUUUUUAUUAUAUUAAAAAUUUUUUAAUAAAUACUCCAAUACACUGGUAGUAUUUAAAAAAAAUCUUUUCACCUAGAGAUUUCAUACGUAUCACUACUUGGAAUACCUUUGAAUCUCAUCGUCGGAUAAAAUUUUAUUUUUCUUAUUUUUUUAAUUAUUUUUUAAUUAUUUUAUAAGAUUUUUUUUAAAAAAAAUUAUCAUAAAUUUUUACUAUAUAUUUCAUUAUUUAUUCUUAUUUAUUAAUAUUAUAAAACAACAAAAAUUUAUUCUAGCAAAUUUAAACAUUUUAAUAUGCAUAAAUAUUAAUAAUAAAAUUGAAAAUAACAAAAAUAAUAUUUAAAAAAAUAAAAAAAAACUAAAAAAAAAAAUCACCUAAACUGGAUCGAUCAACAAUCCGAUCAAUAUCGAUCCGAACGGUUAGACGGUCUGAUCGGGUUCAGUGGUUUGGGGCAUGUCCGACUUGGUUUGGGGCAUGUCCGUCUCGGUUUGUGUAGGGUUCAGUUAGACCAAUCAGAGGUUAAAUGAAAAUCAGGCCGUCAGGUCUAGUCCGCGGAUCUUAGGUCUGGUCGCAGGCUGACGCGCAGAUUCUUCGACUCAAAACGACAUCGUUUUGACCCUUUAAUGAAACGACGUCGUUUUAACUUUCAGCUUUCUAGAAAAGCUAAAAAAAAAAAAACUUUCUCUCAUUUUCUCUUCUCCCUCUCUCCCUACUCUCUCUCUCUAAACCAGUCGAUCGAUCAUUAUCCGUCUCUCCAGCUGCCGUCAGUGGUCGCGAUCGAUCAUCAAAAAAUAUCAAAAAAACACCAAAAUGUUUCCCUCAACCCCAUCUCGUCGGAUCCGACCUCUUUUUCAUCAAAAACAACCCCAAUUGACGUAGAUUGAGCUUAAAGUUUCGGUCUCCUCCCUUUUUUUUUUAACUAAAACUAACUAUUUUAUUUUUUUUAUUUUUACAGGUUUUGCUUGGCGCUAGAUUCCUCGUCGAUUCGACAAUGACCGUGAUUUUUGUUUAAAUGGUUUUUCUUUGGCAGGAAGAUUUUUUUUUUAUUCUGAAAACUUUUUUUUUUUUUUUUUAGAAUCCCCUUCCCUUUCUCUUUGUCUUUUUUGGGGUUGACUAAGAGCUCUAUUUAUAGAGCUCCCGCUGUGGCCCUAUGCCUGGGUAGGUGGCACAAGGUUUGGUGAAAGGGGGUGCCAUAGCACCAACCUCUCUGCCCCUCUUAUUUCUUUUGUUUUAUUUGGUUUUGGCCUUGUGCUUGGGUAAGUGGCACAGGGCCUCAUAGAGGUUGUUGCAUGCACGACACCAGGCACCCCCUGCUUUGUUUUUUCCUUUUCUUGUAUUUUUUGUUUAUCUUUUUUCUUUCUUUUUUUUGUAUUUUUUUGUAUUAUUAUUGUAUUUAAUAAUAUUAUUAUUUUAUUAGCAAAUUUGAUCAAAACCGGAUAAAUUUGAUAUCUACAAUUAAUGAUCUAAUUAAAACUUUUUAAAUAUUAAAAACAAAAAUAAAAUAUUGCUUAAAGAUUAGGAAUAACAAGUACUAUUAACUUGAAAAAAAAAACCAUUCUUUCGAACUAAUUUUUUACUCUAAAAUCUUAAAAACAAUCAAUUAAGGCUAAAACCUUUUUUAUUUGAACAAAUUAAUCAAAAAUAAAGUUUUGAUUCUAUAUAAACCUCUAGCCACCCAAAUUGCAAGGUGAUUGGAAUCAUCAAGAAAAACCCUAGCUAUUAUUGAAAAAAACCAUUUACCAAUAGCCUAUUUUUAUGUGACAUAUAAAUGUACAUGUCAUUGUUAAUUUAUAAUUAUGUAAUUUUACUAAUUUCCUUAAUUUAUAACUUAAUGAUUUUUUUGUAAGAAAAAUCUAAGAUAGAUAGACUGAUAAGUUCUUUAAAUCAAGACAAGAUAUACCGUACCUGACAGUUUAAGACAAGUGACUACAAAUCGUGUAUUCAAAAUAAUCCCAACAAACGACUACCGAUAGAAUUCAAAUCCAAAACUUCAUUAUCGAAGAAGAUAAAAUUUAAUCAAUUAAAUCAAUCACUUGUUGAUAUUUAUAACUUAAUGAUUAAUGAUUAGUAAAGUUCAACUAAAAAAUUUAUCAUCGCUAACUUCUUUCAGCACAAUUUUCAAUUGAAACAAAAAUGUCAAAACCAAGGCCCAUGUCUAAAUUUCAUUUUGCAAAACAUCAAUACGUGAAAAGGUAAAACCUGAAGCCCAUUGAUCUUUCUGUUCUAAAAAGGCCAAUCCCAUUUUGGCAUUGCAGCAAAGCAUAUUGGGCCCCUGUGAAGUUAGAUCUAAAACCACUUCUCGGCUGAAAGUUCGAUCAUUUCAGUCUCAAAUUAUCCCCAAAACUGGAGAUGUUGUUCGUUGUUAAACACUACUGCAAUCUAGAAAGCUGAAAAAUAGAACUGUCUAUGCUGGAGCCUUCUUCCUUGUGGUUCACUGAUAUCCAUUCAAGAAACCAGUUUUUGAGUAAAUGGUAAGCAGCCCUUUUCUUUAUUUUCUUUGUUUCUUAUCAUUAUAUUUACAUACCAAGACUUAGGUCUUUCGAAUUUUGUUUUUGGUGGUGUGUUCAUCAUGCUGAUGAUAUUUUUACUUCUGCAUAUUUGGUUUAAUCAGCUUGUACUUUUGAGAAAACGGUAUAAGAAAAUUUCCGAGGACCAGAAAAGGUAUUGAAUGAGAAAAAUUAUGGGUAUGAAGUUUUUUGCCAAUGCAAUAUCUGUGUACAGAAAUUAUAGCAGUAAGAGUUUUAGCAAUAGCAGCGUCCGUGAGGGUUAUAGGAGUGGAAAUAAGAACAAGAAGAAUAACUCCAAAACCCCUAAAGCCCGUUUUAAAUGGACUGAUGAACAGAGUAAGGUGUUGGAUCAUGUUCGUAGUGGCCGAUCCUUGUUUAUUACUGGCUCUGCAGGGACAGGGAAAACAGUUUUGCUUAAGCAUAUAAUCAAAUUAUUGAAACAGACUUAUGGAAAAUCGAGGGUUUUUGUGACUGCAUCUACUGGGAUUGCAGCAUGUGCUAUUCGUGGACAGACACUUCAUUCGUUUGCUGGUAUUGGAAUUGGUGACGGUGAUCGUGAAAUGUUGGUUAAUCGGGUUAUAAAUGAUAAGAAGGCUUGUAUAAGGUGGAAUAAGGCACAGGUGUUGGUCAUUGAUGAAAUUAGCUUAGUGGAGGCAAAUUUGUUUGACAAUCUUGAAUAUAUAGCAAAAGCAGUUCGUGACUCUGAUAAGGUGUGGGGUGGAAUUAGGCUUGUUGUAAGUGGGGACUUUUUUCAGUUACCUCCCAUAUUUAAGCAGCAAGAUCCAUCUCGCAAAGAGUUUGCGUUUGAAGCUGAUUGUUGGGAUUCAAGCUUUGAUAUACAGGUGGAACUUUCCAAGAUUUUUAGGCAGUCUGAAGAUAGGUUGAUUAAAUUACUUCAGGGUAUUAGGAGAGGCAACAGUGAUCCUGAAGACUUGCAGAUUCUAGAACAAUCAUGCUCGGUUUCUGAGCCUGAUCCUUCAGUGGUGCGACUCUAUCCUAGAAUUGAUGAUGUAAACAAAGUAAAUGAGGAGAGAAUGAAAGCCUUAUCUGAGGAAAAGGUAAUCUAUGAGGCUUCUGAUGAAGGUGAAAAGCCUUGGAGGAGGCAGCUUGCUUUAGGGCUAGCUCCCAACAAACUUGUACUGUGCAAAGGUGCAAGGGUAAUGCUGAUAAAAAAUUUGAAUGUUUGGCGUGGAUUUGUGAAUGGUGCUACUGGUACGGUCACUGGAUUUACAAAGGAUGGCAAUGGCACGAUCCUAACUCCUGAUAAUCUUUUGCCGGUUGUGGAAUUUGAUUCAGGCCGAGAAAUAGUUAUUGAACCUGAAAAGUGGUAUGUAAUGGAAGGAUCUUCACCCGUUGCUCGUCGACUGCAAUUACCUCUCGUUUUGGCUUGGGCUAUAAGCAUUCAUAAGUGUCAGGGUAUGAGUCUUGACCACAUACAUACUGAUCUUUCUAGAGCUUUCGGGUGUGGCAUGGUUUAUGUUGCACUUUCCCGUGUGAGAAGCUUAGAUGGCCUUCAUUUAUCUGGUUUCUCUCCCUCGAAAAUUAAGGCUCACCCGAAGGUUUUGCAGUUUUAUAGCCGUUUUGCUCCUGAACAGGAAAAGGAAAAGGAAGACGGGCAUGGUGUUGUUGCUGACAAGAAAGAAGAUACCAGUAAUAACUCGCUUUCUGAUUCAGAUAGAACAAGCGAUGGAAAAACAUAUCAGUUUUCGCUUAAAGAGUUCCUAUUCUCACUUGAGCAAAAGAAAUUUUCUCUUAAAGACUUUUUAUCAUCUCACCUAUCACGUCUGCGAGGGAAAUGAAAGGAACUUUCUUUGAUUACAACUAAAAAUACUUUGUUCAUCCCCCCACCUUUGAGAGCAGCCGUAGUGGUGACCUGCCUAGCUUGGGGAUCAAGAAUAUGAUAUAUGGCAACUGUCACUAAACUAAACCUCUUGUGGACAUAAAAGAAAAAAAGAAAAAAGGCCUGGAAGAAAGAAACAGACUUAUACAUGGUUUCUUUUUUCAUCUCUUGAUAGUUUAGAGGUGAGGGGGAGACUAUUUACUUUAUUUAUUAUUAUUGUUUUUUCAUAUUGAGAUUAGAUCUUUGUUUCAUUUUUUCCUACUUUUUAGUACAUUCCUUUACAAGCAACGAUUUAAAUUAUUACUGCAUUUAUUGGCUCCUUCAAGCAUCUAAAUUUUCACUCUUCAUUCACUCAUAAGCUUCUUGAUUGCUUAGGGAGGAGUAUGACAUAUAAAGGAAGAGACUCUAUUGCCUAGAGAGAAGCAUAGCUUCUAGAGAAAUAGAUUCUCACAUUGAAUGCGAAGUAUUCAAUGUGAUUGUUUCAGGAGUGUGGUUUAUAGGUGAAGGAAUUUGCAUACUGAAUGCAUACCUUCAUGCUUACUGUUAUCAGGGUAACUUGUAUAUUCGUGUUUAUUUUGUGUUAAAACACUUGUAAAAUACAAAAAUUAUCAUGUCAUAAUAUGUGUCGACCUAUCAAAUACAAAACUUAUUUUUUAGUCUUUUUCAAAUUCAUACACAUUUGUCAAAAUUUUAGAUCAUGUCGUUUUCACGUACUUUUUUGUGUCUAAAAUUGCUAGAUCUACUUAUUGAUUUCUAAUCUUUAUUCUUCCUUGUUUUUGUUAUUUUGCCUCUCUUUAUGCACUGUUAACUUCAAACUUGGUAGGCUUAAAACUUUGAAUUAUAAUUUGGUAUCAUACCCCAACACUUACAAUAAGAAAUUUUUUUUUUUUAAUGUUUAAUGUUAAGAAAAACUGAUUUUGUUUUCUAUGCUGCAAUUUAAUUUACAUCCGUGCUCCUGAUGUAAGAUAGCAUAUUUUCAUGUUUAAGGUCUUGCCCUUUAACUUCACUUGUUAUUAUUGCAUAACUGCCUGCCCAUUUAAACUUUUAUUUAUGUGGUUUUUUUCUCUAUUUUUUUUUUAAUCUUUAAGUAAAGUAAUUUAACUCGAUAUUGAUUAAAUUAUUCUCAAAAAGUUAUUUAAAUAAAUGAUAUUUGUAAUUUUUGUUUCACUUAAAUAUUUUCUACCAAAAAUUUUAGAUCAAGCUAAAAAUCAAUAUCACACCUAAAAAAUGUAAUAAAGGAGCCGAUCCAAAAUCAAUAUCACACCUUAAAAAUUGAUUUCUUAUGUGAGUCAAUAAUCAUUAGAUUUCUAUAGAAAUUACGAUUAAAGGAUGGAGUAAGAACUCUUUUAUUUAAUAAUAUUAUUGGUGCUCGUUUUCUUAGAUUAAUUAAUUUACUGUUUUACUUUUUUGUAAAUAAAUAAAUUAUACCAUUUUUCACUUAAUUAUGAUUGUAUUUUUCAAAUAAUCAUUAAAUUAUUAAAAUUUUUUAAUUUAACUACUAAAUUUUGAAUAAGUAUUUUUUUAUCUUUCAACCGUUAUAUUCUAAUAGAGUGUUGAUGUAAUAAUAACACGUAAUUAUUAAACGUCACAUGACAUUCACGUAAACAAAUUUUGUUUUUCAUAAAAGAGUAAGUAGUACUUAUGGUUCUUAAAUUUUAGAUUAAAUUUUAUUUUAAUCCCUAAACUUUAAAAGUUCUAAUUGAAUUUUUAAUUAUCCAAACGUAUACCAAUAUAAUCCUUUAUCUACUAGAUCAUUUAAAUAAAUGAAAAAUAUAAUGUAAUAUGACACAUAACUUUUAAGAAGAUAAUUACGUAAAAAAAUUUUAAUGGCCACUCAAAAAUCAUAAAAGAUACAAACCCAUAAAAGAUAAAAGACUAAAAAAAUAACUUACACCAGAUAAAAACACAAAAGACUAAAAAUUUUUUUUCUCUUUAACUAUCAAACUAUGAUAGAGAUAGUGAAGUAAAAAGAAUCUCUAGAAAUAAGGGACUUUGUGAAGUGAAAAAAAAUAUUUGAAAUUGUGGAAAAGAGGAUCGACCAAGGUGGGAUCGCCUGGGUCCAUGUGGUUUCAAGGUUCUAAGAGGAGGAUCUCAUGGGUUAGAGGUUGCUAGAGGAUGAUCGUGACAUUGUUUAUACUAGUUUUUUUGGUUGUUAUGAUUUUUUUUUUUUUUGCUAAUUUUACAUUAUUUAUGAUUUUGGUUGUUUAUUAUUCCUAUUUAGAUUUGGGGAUUAUUUUAGAGUUUACAUUUUCUAACUUGAUUAUUUUAGGUUUUUCAUGUUGAUUAUUUAAGUGAUUAUUUUGGUUUUUUAUAAGUCUUAUUUAGAUUUGAAGAUUAUUUUAGGAUUAUAUUUUAGGGCUUGAUUAUUUUAACUUCUUUACUUGGAUUGUUAUGAUUUAUGUUUUAAAGUUUUUUUGCUCGCCUUGUAAGCAACACUAAUUGACAAAGCAAAUAACAUACACUUUUUCAAGUUAGUUGUCAAAAUAACCUUAUUUGGUUUGUUGGUACCUACCAUAGAAUAUCAAGAAAUAUAAUAAACCCACUUGUUUGCAUUUAUAUAACAUUCUUAUUUUUAUAUGAAAACCAUUUGUUUGCCAUUUAAAAACAAAUUAACAUAUGUUCAAUUUACAUAUUCUGUCCAAACUUUAUAAAUAAUCAAACCCACUUGUUUAAUGAUGUUGUUAUAACUUUGUACCAUAAACAAUAAAACCUACUUGCUCAAUGAUUCUGUCACAACUUUAUAAACAAUAAACCAACUUGCUUAAUGAUCAUGUCAUGACUUUGUACCAUAAUAGAGUGUUGAUUUUAUUUUUUAAAAUUUCGUCCUUAAUUAUAUUAUAACUUUUUACAACAUUGUUUUUUACUUUUAUGCAUGGCAUAUGAUUAUUUCUCUUACUUCAUUAUAACUUUGCAUCAUGGGGGUUACUUUUUAGGUAGUCAACGUAUAAAAGGAGAAAUAGCUUAUUUUGACUUGUGCGAGAUUGAUAAAAUAUCUUUGUUUGAAAUUCUUUACAUGUCAAAAUGGUAACGCAUAUUGGAUUUAGUGUGUAUUUAUAAAAAAUACCUCCUAAACAUCAUAGAUUAGUACAAAUUACCAUAGAUGCUAAUGUGAUGGAGAUGUAUGAGCAUGUGCCUUCAAGUACAUGUAUAGUUGUUUACCAAAAGUCUAAGGUAAAUGUUGCCUAGAAUACUAAAAAGCCUAGUACCAGUGCUAAAGAGCCUAAUGUAUAAUAAGUUUAUAAAAAUGAAUCUAAUGAAAAUGAAACUAAAAGUGAGGACUAUAACUAUAAAGAUAAUGAGUAUGAUUUGGAUUUUGAUGAAAAUGAUGUGACAUUUGAGAAUUAUGUGAAUCCUGACAUUGAAAGUGUAAAGCUAUCGGAGAUAAAGAAACAGAAGAAUUAGGAGUAAAUUCUAACAAUAAUUUUUAUAGUAUUAAUAGAUCCAAUGAUUAUGGUGAUAGCAAGAAAUGGCCUAAAUUUUAAAAUAUUGACAUGGAUGAUCUUAUAUUCUAUGUUAGAAUGUUGUUUAAGGAUAAGAAGCAGUUAAAAGAUGUUGUGAAAAAUGCUAGCAUCAAGGAUAGGAUGAACAUUAGUUUUAAAAAAAUGACAAACUAAAACUAAGAGUUGUAUACAAAGAAUGGUGUGGAUGGACAUUAUAUGUUAAGAAAUUUAGUCAUGAACCAGGGGAUCUUACCUUUUAUAUUAGAACUUACAAGUCCAAGCAUUCUUGUUGCAAAUAAUAUGCCAAUAGGAAUAUAGAUUAUAGGUGAUUUAUAGAUAAGUAUAUGGAUUGUUUUCUUGCUGAGCCAAAUUAUUAUUUGCCUUUAUUUAAAAAACAAGUGUACAAAGACUACGUGUUGAUUGUGCCUAAGUCGAAAUUAUAAAAAAACAAAACAAUUAGCUUUGAAAACACUUAGUGGGACUUAUUUAGAUCAAUGUUCUAAGAUAAGAGCUAUAGAAAAGAAAUUAGAACUAACUAAGGAUCCACUAUUUUAUGUAAGUUAGAUUGUAAUUUCUUCCAAAGACUGUAUGUUUGUCUGAAAGCAUAUAUCGGUAGAGUUGAUUAUUGUAUGCUAAUAAUUAAUGUUAAAGGUUGUCAAUUGAAAGAAAAGUAUGAAGGUUAACUACUUGCUACUAUAGGGUUGAUGCUAAUGACUAUAUUUACCUUAUUGCAUAUACUGUGGUAGAAAUUAAAAAUAUUAAAACAUAGAUCUGGUUCAUUAAAAGUUUGAUGGAGGAUAUGAAAAUUGAAAAUCAAUAUAAUUGGACUUUUAUGUUUGACAAACAAAAGGCAAAUUACAUGCUUCUAUUUAACUUAUAUAUUUAUUAUAUUAUGUAAUAAGUCAAGUACCAUCUAGUCAAUUAUUUUUUAUCAUAGGGUUUGAAAACCUCACUCAAAAGGUUAUUUCCAAAAUCAGAGCAUAGAUAUUAUGUAAAACAUUUACAUAAAACUUUCAAAAUGAUGACCACAGAGGGGAAGCUUUAAAAGAUGCUCUAUGGGCUACAAUAAAGGCAUGUUAUAUACCAUAAUUCAAUGCAAUCAUGGAUAAGCUAAAAGAUAAACACCCAAAAGCAUAUAGUUGGUUUUUUAGUACAAUCCUUAAAUACGAUAUUCUUUUUAACAAUCUGUGUGAGUAUUUCAACAAAUACAUUUUAGAUACUAGAGAUAAGCCAAUUCUGACAAUGUGUGAAACAAUUAGGCACAAAAUGAUGAAUAGAUUCUAUAUGGAAAGGAAUGUUGUAGAGAAGUAUUUACGAUUAAUUUGUCUAAGGAUUCAAAAAAAACUUGAUAAGAACAAAGAAUUGUUUGGGAGAUAUUAGCCACAAUUAUCUACACAGAGAAUAUAUGAAAUAAAAAUCUUGACAGACUAGUACAUAAUUGACUUAAAUGAAUAGUCAUGUAGUUAUAAGAAAUGAGAGUUAUCGGGUAUUCUUUGCCUACAUGCAAUUUUGUUCACCAAGAAGCGUGUUGAAAAUUAUGUGCAUGAAUUAUACUAUUGACAAACAAAAGAAUAUUUACAAAAAAAAACCAUCAAUUUAAUCAAGGGUGAAAAUUGUUGGUCUUUAUCUAAUUACAAGCCAAAACUUCUAUAGGUGCAAAUGAACAACUUGGCAAACCUAAGACUAAGCGAAAAAAAAAAAAAAAAAACUAAUGAAGUAAGAACCACAAAUGCCAAUGUUAAGAAAAUAGGAUUCACAAUGUCAUAUUCAAAAUGUGAACAGAAAGGCCAUAAUAAGAGAUCUUGUAAAAAUAUUUCAGAAAUAUAAUAAAAUACAGUUAAUAGUUACAAUUAUGUUUUUGUAUAAAUGUUCUUAUUUCUCAAAUAAUCUUGAAUUGAUAUUGUUUAUUUUCAAUUUUUCUUUCUCUGUCUAAUAGCAAGAAAUACUCAAAUCCAACCCACUAAAUACAUUUGUCCAAUAACAAGGAAUACCAAAAUUCAUUGCAUGAUAUAACACUUAAAUAUAUGCCUAAUGUAAGUAUUUAUAUUUAUAUUGGUUAAUAAUGACUUAACUAGGAUAUAUUUAAUGUUAUUUAAUCAUCAUGAUUUGUUAUAUUUAAGGGUUUAAGUCAAACAAUAAAUCAUAACAAUCUACCAUUGGCACAUAAUAUUCACUAAGUAAUAUACAAAGUGCAAUGUUGAAUCAUACUCCUACUCUAACUUCCAAUGAAGUAAAUAAUAAAUUUGGUUUAUGAUUAUUAAAGUAUACUCUUUUGUAAGUUUUAUCUUUGUGUGAAAUUUAAGGUUCAAUAACUCUUUCACAUAGUCUAAGGGCAACAAAUAAUACUUUUGCCAUCAAUCCAUCAACAAAAAGGAAGGAAGUUGUAUCAAGGUAUAUGAAAACCUUAUUCAAACAUGUUGCCUAAAAGAGUGUGGCCAAACAACAUGGUGUCUAGAACAAAAUUACCAAUAAAAAAUGACUACUUUUGACUGACUUCAUAUCUUUUUGUUAGAAGUUUGCAUGGUGAAUGAAAUUUGUGUUAUUCGAAUGACUUUCUAACUUGGCCCAAAAUCAAUGUAACCAGUUUACUUCAUAUUUUUUGUCCAUACAAUUUUUUUUAAAACAUUGUAUUUGAUUUUGUUGGCAAAUUUCAAUGUCAUCAGUUUAGAAUAUGAACUUGUUGGCAUUGAAGUGUAAAGUUACAAAACUUAUAUUUUGUUGCCAUUGGAAAGGAAAAUAUGAACUUUAUAUGUAUGGUAUUUGCUAGCCAAGUGAAAUAUAACAAACUUGUUACAAAGUACUAUUUACUUAUUGUAUUUUGUUAUGUUUUAUAUGGAAUUUCAUAAUUUGUAUUCUAUAUGUAAAAGAACAUGCCAAGAUCUAUCCAUUGAUUAUGCUAUAAACACAAAUUUAGGACUCAAAUUAAAACCUUAUUUUUUAGGAUGCUUCUAUUUUCAUAAACUAAAAUAAUUUAAUUAUAACAAAUGUGUAUUAAUACACAAACAUAAUCAUAUUACACAAAUCUGUAAGUUUAGAAUCAUAUCCAGCUUGCAAUCGACAGCAUACAUAUUACAAGCCAAUCACCCUAAACACUAGACUAAACUUUGUUCAUUUUCUUUUCAACAUCAACAUAAAAAUAACAACAAACAAAUAUAUUGCAAUCCACUUCCAACUUCUAUUCUUGCGAUUACAAUUGUUGUUGUUUGCAUUUGCUUAAAUGACUUGAUUUUGGUGUUCCUUUCUUCACAUCUUUCUUGAUAAACCUAAAAUGACUAUCUUGCUGUAUUCAUCUAUUAGAGGAUUACACCAUUGAAAAAACCUACAUGCAUAUGAACUUGUUGGCAUUGAAGUGUAAAGUUACAAAACUUAUAUUUUGUUGCCAUUGGAAAGGAAAAUAUGAACUUUAUAAGUAUGGUAUUUGCUAGCCAAGUGAAAUAUAACAAACUUGUUACAAAGUACUAUUUACUUAUUGUAUUUUGUUAUGUUUUAUAUGAAAUUUCAUAAUUUGUGUUCUAUAUGUAAAAGAACAUGCCAAGAUCUAUCCAUUGAUUAUGCUAUGAACACAAAUUUAAGACUCAAAUUAAAACCUUAUUUUUUAGGAUGCUUCUAUUUUCAUAAACUAAAAUAAUUUAAUUAUAACAAAUGUGUAUUAAUACACAAACAUAAUCAUAUUACAUAAAUUUGUAAAUUUAGAAUCAUAUCCAGCUUGCAAUCAACACCAUAUAUAUUACAAGCCAAUUACCCUAAACAAUAGACUAAACUUUAUUCAUUUUCUUUUCAACAUCAACAUAAAAAUAACAACAAACAAACAUAUUGCAAUCCACUUCCAGCUUUUAUUCUUGCGAUUACAAUUGUUGUUGUUUGCAUUUGCUUAAAUGACUUGAUUUUGGUGUUCCUUUCUUCGCAUCCUCCUUGAUAAACCUAAAAUGACUAUCUUGUUGUAUUCAUCUAUUAGAGGAUUACACCAUUGAAAAAACCUACAUGCAUCAAGUUGUUGCAAAUAUAAACAAAAAAUAUUACCAAAUUAAAGAAUAAAAGCACACUAAAUUAAAGAAAUAAAAAUUAUAAACACACUACCCAUUGUUGUUACUUGCUACUUAUAUAAAAAAUCAUACACACUAAUUUGUUGUGUGUAGACACCCCAAUCUAUCCAGGAUUUACAUUUGAUUUUUGCUAAUAUAAUAAAUAAAAACUAAAAAAAAUGAAAAUGAAAAGGCUAGAAAAAAAUGAAAAAAUGGGAAAAGUUUAAGUGGAAUUAAAAUUAUGAGUUUAGGUAAGAUUAAAAUUUAAAGUUAAAACUUGAAAAAGACUAAAAUCCUUUUUAGUUUAGGGCUCUCAGAUUACACUCUAUAAAUGCACAAAACAUAAACACAAGAGGGCAGAGAUCAUAAACGAAUCACAGAAAAAAGAUCCAAAGAUCAUAAACACACUAGAAAUCGGUAAUGAAACAAAGAAAACACUUAGCCAAAAUCCAAGAGAGAACUUGGCACAGCUUGUGUUUAGAGCGAUAAUAUGCAGCAGACCAUCGUGUAGAGUCACCAACUUGUGGAAAGAAGUAAGAAAGGAAGUGCCUUGAUCGAAAGUCUAAGAAAGAGAGAAGCAAACGAGAAAGUGAAAAGAGCAAAUAAGGAAAGUAAAUAGGUUCGAUAAAGCUUGAAUUGAUUUGAAGACUUUUCAAAGAGUCCCACGUGCUUAUCUUCAUUUUAGUCAAACUUUGGUACUUUUACUUCUUUUAUUUAGUUUUUUAUUUAUAAAUUCUUUAAUUAUUUGUACUUGUUCUUUUUUUAUUAUUAUUCUUUAAUUGAUUGCUUAUUCAUUUAUUUUAUGCAUAAUUGUUUAUUUAUUCACUUUAUUUUAUGGUUUUCAUUAUUUGAUAUUAAAUAAAAUAAUAAUAAAAAAACAUAAAAUAAUAAAAUUUGAAAAUAAGAAUUAAUUAUCCAAUGAUGAAAUUUAUAAAAAUUUCAAAUGAUAAAUUUUUAUAAAAUUUCUACGUGAAAAAUUCUAUUUAAAUUUGUCUCAAAUUGUGGAAUAAUUUAGAUAAAGUUUCAAUAACAAUAAUUAAUAUUUAUUUUAAAAUAAAAAAAAUAAAAAUAAAAAAUAAAAAUUUGGGUUGAAAAUAUUUGAUAAUUAUCCAAGGAUGAGAUUCUUAUAAAUUUCAAAUGGUAAAUUUUUAAAAAAUCUUUAGGUGAGAAAUUUUAUUUAAAUUUGUCCCAAAUGGUGGAAUAAUUUAAAUGAAAUUUCAAAAAAAAAAUUAUCAUAUUAUUUUCUUUCCAAAAAUAAAAAAUAAAAAAUAAGAAUUUCUAAAUAUGUUAAAAUGGUGAAAAUUUUAGAAAUUUCGAAAAAAAAAAAUUUUAAAUUGACCCAAAUGUUGAAAAAUUUAGAGAUAAAAAAAAAUUUAUAAAUAGCACAAAUGGUGAAAAUUUUAAAAAUUCAAAAGGAGAAUAUUUUUAAUUUGACCCAAAUUAUGAAACAAUUAGAUAUAUUUUUGAAAAAAAAAUAAUUAAACUUUUUUCCGACGAUGAAACCUCUUUAAAAAAUUAAAUGAGAUUCUUGAAUACUCUUGAGGUGAGAAAAUAUUUUUUAAGAGUUCUACCAGAUUGAUGGAGAAUCUUAAGAAUUAUUUUCCAUAUUUCAACAUAAAAAUUUGAAACCAUUAAAACCAAAACUCUAAAAUAAAUUUAAAAUAAUAUGAUACCAUCCUUCAGAUAGGCAUGUGGGGGUGCUAUAACAUUCUCCACAUUUAAUCGAACUCUCGAAUCAUGUUCUGGUUUGUAGACCCAAACAUAUUCUUUGGAAACCUUUAGUCAAGCUUAAGAGCUCCUUAAAUGGAUAAAUUCCUUAGGUGACCAAUCACACAUAGAUAAAAAAGAUUGGUGGAACUCCAUUCAUUUGUUAAAUCUAGUUAUAGAUUUACAGAUCUAUAUGUUAUGACAUUGUGUUCUUAAAUAUCUACAAAAUUCAAAACCUAUAGUUAGUUUUCACAUAUUCAAAACCUAUAUUCAAAGUCCACAUAUCAUUUGUUGUGUUCUCAAAAUCUUACUAUAUCUAUAAAACCCAUAAUUCAAUUAAUGAAAAAAAAAAAAUACUAUGUUCUUACACCAUAGUUGUUACAACCUAUAUCUUCCAUAUGUCAACCCCUAACUCCUCUCUUUCAACACCUAGGUUCUCCCUUUCAACCCUUAACUCCUCAUUUCAACCCUCAAUUCCCUCUUUUCAAACUCCCUUUCUUUUCUCUUCAAGACCCAAAAAAUGAAUCUCCUCUUUUGAUCUCCUUUGUUCCUUCUUUUGAUCCCCUUUUUUCUCUUUAAGAUCCAAAAUGAUUCUUAUACAAUUUUUAAGGAAUAUUUAAGGUUUUAUUUUUUUGUAAUUUCACAUAUUUUAAGUACGCAUAUCUUUCGUAGAUAUUAAAAAAUUCCACAUAAUUAAAUUUUUAAAGGUUGUAAGUUAUGUCAAAUUAAAUUUUUCAUCCAUUUAAACGAUCCAACAAAUGAAUUAACUACAUUGAUACACAUUUAAAUAACUAAAGACUCAAUUAAAAUUUUUUAAAGUUUAAAGAUCAUAAUAAAAUUAAUCCAAAUUUUAUAAACCACAUGUGCUACUUACUCUUUACACUUACUCUUUACAAAAUUUAUAAUGACAUAAAAAGAUGUAAGAAUACCAUGUGACACCUAAAAAUUAAGAUAAUAAUAUCAUAUGCCGGAAUACCAUUAAAGACUAACAAUUGAGUAACAAAAAAACUAAAAUUUUAGUAACUAAAUUAAAAAUUUUAAUAGUUAAAUUACUAUUUUUAAUACCAUAAUUGAGUGACUAAUAAUGCAUUUUGUAAAAAAAAUUCAAAGCUAUAAAAAGGAAUGCUCAAAAUGCGAGGAACAUUGUAUCCAUAAAAACCAAGGCUGUUUGUAGCGUACAUAAACUGUCUAAACUCUUCACUCUUCAUCUUCACACUGAUUUCGUUCGCUUUUUCUCCUCUUUCUGCUUUCUUGUACUCCUUUCCUUCUUUCAGCCUCUCUUUGCUAAUCCAAAGGCUUCCAACUAUCCAAUUAGUUUAAUUGUAUUUCUUAGCCCUUUAAAUGAGAGAUGAAUUUAUCAGGCAAGAAUGACUCACUAGGAGAAAUAGAAUGAAACAAAUGCAAUAUAUAUAUAUAUAUAUAUAUAUAUAUGUACAUUUGUUGUUUGUAUAACAAGAAAGCUUAUAAAAAUUUGAUCAUCUGAUUAUGGAGCAAGAUGAACGACUGCUAGGAUUCAGACGAUUUCUCUUCAACAUAUUCUCCAAGUUCUUUAGACACUUGGGCUGUCCAACCUGUAUAAUGGAAGAACACCACAUAAAAUUCUUGUAAGAUUCAUCAAUAGUGGCAGAUCUAGAGUUUUUCUUCAGAGGUGUCUACUUAAAAUAUAUAUAAAAACUGCAAAUGAAAUUAUCGAUUUAAUUGACGGAAAAAAAGUCAUAGGAAAAUUUUUGAAGCAUGUGAGGGAAAUAUUCCUUCAAAUUUUUUUUUUUUAAUUUUUCAAUCUUUGGGGGUGCUCAUGGACAGCCUACUAUCCAUUUGGAUCCGCCUCUACUCAACAAGCGAGCUAGCUAGCCAGAAGAUGUAAUCAUACACAUGCAUAUACAUAUUAUGAAUGAUAAUAGGAAUGUAGAACAUGUCGGUCAUAGUCAAGCCACCUCCAGGCUCCAGACAACGCAAAGUCGAAACCAGCUUAGACCACCAAAGCCACCUAAUGGUUCCAGAAAACUCAAAAGCGAAGACCGGCUAUAUGAAGAAGGCAUACUCUAGAGAGUGAGACAACCACGAACUCAAACUUUCACAACCUAGGUACUCAUGGUCCACUGGAACUAAAACUUAUUUUUGUUUCUGAUCAUCUUUCGAAAUUCAAGUAACAUGGUAAUACAAAGAAUGUAGAAGGAUAGACUAAAGAUAUUGGAUGUAUAAAAGGAGGGGCUCCUGAUACCCACUUUUCUCACUUAUCCUUCCGAUAUUCUCUCUUUAUCAUCACAAAUUUUCCCUGCAAGAAAAUUUUUGGCAUCACCAUUAUAAAGAAACUCCCCACAUAUGCCACUAUUCCUCCAAUUUUAGAAUAAUCACCACAGUAAGCCCUUUUUUCUAGCUGAAGAAAUGAAGCCAUAUUUCUAUAACGUAUUUUGAAAGGUGGAGAUACAACACAAAAAAGACCACAACAAGUUGGUUUAUGCAAAAAAAAGCAGGCACAAGCCCAUUUACAUCCUCUGUGUAUAUGUGUGUGCAUGAGAGAGAGAGAGAGAGAGAAAGAGGAAGACACCUUCCAACGCCCCUUAUGUGCAAGUUGGUUACUUAUGUGAUCAAGCCUUGUAAUUAUCUGCCUGAAUGGUGGUCUCUUGAAUGGCUCCUCAUGCCAACAUUCCUCAAUUAACCUGCAGAAAACAUAAGGAUCUACUUUAGUAAGAAAAGAAGAAAUAUACAUUAAGGGCUACAAUGUAGAUCCUUUGACUUUGCUUUGU